rnacentral:lncRNA from 1 species
UUUGUUUAUGACCUUACAUGAGCCAUUACUUUAAUAGAUUAAGUGGGGUCAAGAAAAGAAGUUGACAUAUCUAAAAUGAAAAUAGAUUUAAAAAAUAAAGAAAUAAAUAAAAACUCCAAGCAAGUUGGACGAAUUUAACUCUGUACAUGUGGAAUACCAUCAAGUAAUAAAAUUUUCUAGAAAUUUUCACUUAGUAUGAAAAAUUUAGGUCUUCCUACAAAAGUUUGGUGUCUUGAUUUAAAAUAUUUACAAUUGUGAUAUUCAUGAAAUUAAAUCUCAUGUUACUGAUGGAAAACAUAUGAUACCUUGCACAUAUUUGGGGGGCAGAGGUUGCAGCCAUGAGAACUCUUGGUGAAAUCAUGGUAAGGAAUGAUCCUCAGCCUCCCUUCUUCAUCAACAAAGCCGGCGUUGGUGUUGAUCUCUGAGAAAUAUUCCCUCAUUCCAAGAUGCUCCAGAAUUGUCUCAACGAAGAACAUGUUUGCAUCACUCACAAUCCUGAGUUCACACUUGAAAAAAUAUUCAAACCAAUUUGAUCACCCUAUAUUUCUAUUGCUUCAAACUGUAGUUUUUAUAGUCACAGGUCAAACACCAAGAGGAAAAGCAUAGAAAAAAAGGAGUACCCUAAAGAAUGAGCCGAUUUAAUAGCAGGGACGAUCCUAGGAUGGAUAGGAGCUCGUUUCAGAACCUCGGCAAUGUCACCACUGGUUUUUUCUUGGGCAUGAAGCUCCUUCAUCAUCCUGUCCUGUAAUUUUAUACCACAAACGCUGACUUUCAAUUUUUAUAAAUGUAAAGCCAACAGAAAGCGAAAUUGCAGAGGGCUUAAUAUGGGUUACCAUGAGAGAAUUCCAGGGCAUGGUCGGAAGAAGCUGGUUGAACAAGUCGGUGAAACCCAAGUCAUCGACAACCCAGUUAUCACUAUCACAGUCGAUGAUGGUGUUGUGAAAAUAAAAAACCACAACAUUUCCAGCCAUCUGUCUGAAUGAAAAUCAAACAAAAUACAAAACAAGAUUGGAAAAACUCAGCAACUCUUUGAAUGUUUUCUUGUUGGUAUAGCAACGUAACAGGGGAUGGGUAUUUAUAUGCAAACAAUGGAUUUUAUUUUAUGCCAAAGGAAUAUUACGUGAAGGGGUUAUUAGGUGUAAGUAGGAAGCAAUAAGUAGGACACAAGAAGCCCUUUUUCCUGCAAGCUUCCUACGCAACACAUUCUAAUCUGAUACAACUGCUUGUAAAUUAUUACUUCGGUACAAGCAAUAUUAACCUUUUGAUGGAUGACUUUUGAACCAUGUGAUUAAUCAAGUUUAAUCAGCGGAUCAGGGGUAAAAAGGUGUAGGUUAAUUAUGAAAGGGAUUAGGUUUAAGGCUUAAGGUUUAUCAAACUCCUCUCCAUUGCUCCAUUCGCAUACUUGUGCCUUUACUAGCCUCCUGUUUUUGCAAAUCAAUUCCCAAACUGGGAAAUUCUUCCUUGUCAUUACAUAGUCCCCAUCUCCCUUCUUCAAACUUGGACAGAAAUCGCCAAGCCCAUCACCGAGGUAGAUUAUUGCUUUCUUCUCCUCCUUGGGCGUGAGAGAGACUUGGAUCCUUCCAAUCAUAAUACCCUAUUAAGAAAGAAUUCAAUCAUUAGUCAAUAGGAUGGGAAGAAAAUGAAAAUAACUUAAAAAUAAUUAUAGCAUAAAAUUAUAUAUCUUACAGCUAAUCAUGCUUUGGAUUCAUUACGUUUACUAAACAUUAGAAUUCAGUGACAGAUGCAUAUGGUAUAGUCGGGCAUUCAUGUACACCUCCAAAGGUUGGAAAAUAAAAAAUGUUUUCUUUGGACACCUUCAAAUUUUCUUUUUGAACAUAUCUUUCUUAAUUCCUUAUUCUUUAAUCCUUCACUCACUGCCACUAUCUAGUAUCCAAUCACAUCUCACAGUUAGUUAAUGCCCAACACACCUCCAUAAAAAAAAUCUUGCAUCCGCUACUGUUAAAAUUCAGUCAUGUUUCACGCAUGAAUGCAUGAUUCAUGUUGUUAAUAACUAGUAUGAUUUUCAAGUUAAAAAUGAUAUACCUUGCACAUGUUUGGAGGGCAGGGAUGAUGAAAUCCAUGAGUAGAUUGAGUGAAAUCAUGAUGAGGCAAGAUCCAUAGCCUGCCUUCUUCAUUUACCAAACCUGGGUUGGUAUUGAUCUCUGAAAAGCAUUCCCUCAGGCCAUGAUGCUUCAAAAUUGUGUCGAUGAAGAGCACGUUCGCAUAACAUACAAUCUUCAAAUCUCACCUGAAAUUAAUAAUGGCAUAAGAGUUUUUUUUUUCUAGCGAGAAAACCAGAAAGAAACUUUAAAUAUACAUGCCGGUAGGAUUGUAGUUCGCAGGAAGGAAACUCCUGAAGCUAAGAAAUGUUGCCUGGGAGCUUAUAAAGUGUAUGGUCUUGCGACGGAGGAAUAAUAUCACAGGCUGCAAUCCCUGAGAUGCAACUGCGGCAUCUGCUCUCUCAAGAAACAAUUGGAUUCAAUAUCUCACUUCUUCUUUACUGAUAAGGGAUAUGCAGCAGAUGUUGGCUGGUCUGACCUUUACUGAACAAGAAGAUGUUGUUUGGCAGGCAUCAAAGUCUAGCAAGUUCAUACUUUCAAAUACAUGGGACUGGAUCAGGGAUAGGCAACCCACUGUGGUUUGGCAUAAACUGGUCUGGAUUCCUCUUCACUCACCAAACAUGGUUUUAUCACUUGGCUUGAGGUUCUUAUAGAUUGAGCACAGUAGCUAAUAUUAGGAGUUGAUGUACUCAAAUGUCACUAGGGAUCAUCUUUUCUUUUCUUGUGACUUCUCAAAGCAAGUUUGGCAAUUAGUUUUAGCAAAAGUGAAGUGUGUUUUUGAUUGCAAUAUCCAAAAAUGACAGCAGGAGCUCGAUUGGAUUAUUAUAGAUGAAGCUUUUAAGACUAUGAUUCUGAGAGGAGUGUGAACAAGUAUAAAUAUAUCACAUAUGGCACACGAGGAAUUCUCCAAAGCCUGGUAUUUGUUCUCUAAACAUUGACAAAUACUUUGCUAGACAUUAGUUUUAAUGUAAAGUUUUGCCUCUUAAAAUUUGUAAAAAAUAUGAAUAAUCCAUCUAUUAGUUCUGUAUGUAAAAAUUGAGGGCCGGGACUGUAUAGGAAAUGCAAAAGCUCAUUGUUUGAUUUGUUGACUGGUAGCCUCCUACUUCUUUGGAUCAAUGAAAUACCAUUUAUGAAAAAAAAAAAAAACUAAAUACACACGAACAGAGAGAAAAAUGUAUGCAUAGUGCAAAGCAUGAGCCGAUUUAAUGGCUUUGAUGAUUCGGGAAUGCAUCGCAGUUGUUUUUAGAACAGCUACAAUGUCAUCAAUUUUUAUUCCUUAUGAAUGAAGUUUUUUCAUCAUUAGAUCCUGUUUUGUAAAUAAAAAAAUAAACCCUGGUUCUUACAUUUGGAAAAGAAGGAAAAAGAAAAAACAUAAAUUAAAAGACUAACCAUAAGAGAGUUCCAAGGCAUGUAGGGAGGAGUUGAUUGAACAACUAUGUAGCACGUCAGAGAUCUAAGACAUUUGAAAUUCAAGUUAAUUGAUUUAUGAAAUUAUUUUUAAGAGUUGAUAUCUAGAGACUUAAAUCUCAACAUUUACAAUCAUUUCUCAUAUUCUCAAAUGGUCUCCUUAAUAAAAAAAAAAGUCUAUAAUAAGAAAUUAAUUAUGUUUAAUUUGUUUGAAUUGUCAAGUUACUUUAUUCUAAGUUUUAAAAUUUUUUACUUUUAUAAAAAUAUGUUUAGAUUUUAAGUUAUAUAAUCAGAAACAAGUAAUUUAUAAUCAUACUUCACAUAAAAAUCAUUUCUAGUUUAUAAGAUUUAAAUUUAAAUUAUAAUUUCAAAUUCUUUCUAAUAAUUAUAUCAUGUAAAAUCAAGAUAUAUUUAAAUUUAUGCUUUAUUCUGAUUCUUAAUCUCUUUAUUAUUAGAAUAAUUAAUCUACAUAAGUAUCUACAUAUAUAUUCAUAUCCAUAACGUGUUUCUAUAAAAGUGAGAAAAUUUCUCAUCAAGAAGAAUCAAAGCGUGUAAGGAAUAUUGAACCUUUGGAAUUUGCCUAGUACAAGCAGAUAGAGAAGCAUUUCUACAGAAGCUGUAUAACAUGAGUAGGGUUUAAAAGAAUAAAAAGUUAGACAAAUAAAUUAAAUAGGUUCGGUUUUUGUUUUAAUAAUUAUAUUUAUUUACGCUAUAGUAAAGUACGUGCAAAACAUUAGUUUAAAAUUUAAUUCAGUUAACUUAUAAAAUUAUUUUUAAAAAAUAGUAUUCAAUUAAAAUUUAAAUUUCAAUACAUGUAUUCUCUUCUUUUAUUCCAUGUAAUCUUUUGUAAUAAAAAAUUGAGUCAUGUGAUGCUUUUUUGUUAAUUUUUUAUUAUUUGUUAAUCUACCUAUUCUACAGUAUAUUAUUAAUUUAAUAACCACCACUCCACCUAAUUAUUCUUAACCUUGCAAUCAAAGAGGUAAAACUUUUCCAUUGAUAGGAACUUACUCAAGUAACUUCUUGGUCAUGGAAAUAGCAAUCUCCAUAUUGAAAUGUAAAUCAUGAAAUUAAAUCAUUAAUCCUACGACACAAUUCAUCCAAUAGAAAUUAAUCUAGUUGGAACAUAUAUCUAAAUUUGAGUAUAUGUGCAAAAACAAUAGGCGGACGAUUCUUAAGUGAUGAAAAAUUUGGGUAAUUUGAAACUAAACUUUAGUAGUUCAUGUAUAUAGUUGUUUUAGGAGAAGGUAUUCAAUAAGUUUAAGGUUUAAAUCUCAACACUUUCUUUCAUUUCAAAAUUACGAUCUCCUUUGUAACAAAAAAAAAACUAGAAAUAAUCUUUUAUUUGUAACUUUAAACUAGUGAAUUUAAAUAAUAAUAAUAAUAAAAAAAUACAACAAAAGGAAGUUCAUUUGCUCCUUAAAUAAAAUGAUUUGAAAUAGCUAUCAGAUAUAUGGAAAGGUAUGAGUCAGUCUAGAUAGUUUGCUUUUUGUGAAAAGUAUGGUCAUGUUACACAUCUCCUUUUAAUGGUAGUUGAACUUUCCCUCAUUACAGCAACAGUGCAAUUUUGGGAUCCUUCAUAUAGAUGCUUCAUCUUCAAUAAGGUGGACAUGACACCGACUAUAGAGGAGUAUUUUACAUUGAUGGGUUUGCAUAUCUAAUUAUCAGAUGAGAUAUAUGUUAGGAGGCAAAAAUCAACAUUUCGUAAAAAACUCAGAUGUCAUGGAGUCAAAAAGAAAGAUGUAAAUGUACAGGUUUAAGAAAAAAAUGACCAUAUUUGUCUACCUUGAGAGUUUUUUCAUAAUUUUAUCAUAAAGCAUCUAAAUGAUGAUCAAGGGUUGGAUAUAUUUGCUUUAGCCAUAUAUGGCAUGGUAGUCUUUCCUAGAAUUUUAAGUCAUGUUGAUAUAGAAGUGAUUGAUUUUUUCUAGCAUGUGGAAAAAGGUUGCAAUCCUUCUUCUGCAAUCUUAGUUGAAACAAUUAGAUCCCUGAAUUAUUUACAUAAAAAAGGUAAAGGGUGCUUUGUUGGAUGCAUGCCAUUAUUAUAUUUGUGAAUGAAAAGUCACUUUAUGUGUAAGAAGAAUGCAUUUUCCAAACUCUACUUUCAUAAUCGAGCUUCAAUUAAGCAAUUUUGUAAGAAUGAAUGGCCAAAGCCCAAACCUAAGGAGGAAUGGAUGGUCUUACUACAAGGUCUUGUUUGCACCCAAGUGAAAUGGUUAGUUCUAUGAAUGGAUCGUGAACUGAUGUUAUAUCAAUGUAGAGAUGAAAUAGGGGUCCCAUUUCUAGGUUUAUAUAGAGCAACAAGUUACGUAUCGCUUAUGAUUUGAAAGUAGUUUAGGGCUGAGUAAUUCAAUCCUAUGACGUUACAAACUCACACAAUCAGAUAUUUUACAUAGUGAGUUAAAAAUACUGCAAACGGUGGAUAAUGAUAAUGUGAUGAAAGCAUGGAAAAAGCCCAAAAGAGUGAAUCAUUGGUCAGUUAUUGAUAAAGUUCAUAGGUAUUUGGUGUGGAAAGCCAGGAGGGGCAAGUACGUUGUGUUUACAUUUAAAGAUUAUUGCCAGCCAGUGAAUUCAGAGUUAGAUGAAAUACCCUCAAAGUUAGAGUUUGCAAGGAAAGAAUUUAAAGCUAAGAAAGACAAGAUAAAGCAAGAGAUUGAAUGGCUUUAAGAAGAGAGAAAGCAAUGGAAAGACAAGGCAGAAAAGCUAGAAGUUAGAGUCCACAAGAUCUCUAAUGAGCGUGAUACAAUAGUUAAUAAUUUGGCCAAACUUCAUCAAUAACAUAAGAAGUUGGAAUCUGAAUUUAAAGCCCAAAAUGAUGUUAGAGAGCAUGACAAUGACCUUAAAGAGAUGGUGGAGUUGGGUUUAAAGCAUAAAAGAUUGCAUAUCCGGAUGAAGGCCAAAGAAAUCAAUAUCACUAAUUUGAUUUUUGAGAAUGAAAAGUUGAAUAGAGAAUAUUCCCAAAUGGAGGAUAAUUGUGUUGAAGCCCAAAAGGAGAAUGAGAUGCUUAGAGGGUAUAUUUAUACAUUGAAGUAAAAGUUGAAUGAAUAAAGAGGUCAUAUCAUGAUACUCACAAAAGAGCAUAGAGAGCUGUCUUACCAAGUAUGAUUUGGCAAAAAAAAAAAGUUUGAGAAGGUAAAAAUACAUAGAGCAUAUUGCAACCUAGAUAAGUAAGGUAGUGAUUAGGGCAAGAGAAAUGGUUUAAGAGGCUGAGGCAUUGAGAAUAAUGGUUACACCAACAGAAGAACAUGGAUAACGUUUAUUAAACUUCAUUAAAGAGUUUAAGGAUCAGUAUAAGCAGAUUAAAUGUUUUUACAAGUAAAGAAUAAUAGACUUGUGUAAAACAAACUUUUGUGGAAUAAAUGAAAGUUCACUUGUGUUGAAAAUUUUUAAAGAGGCAAAUAUUUUCUUUGUUUUUUUUUUCAUACAUUGCAUUCAUUCAUACAUAAUUAAAAUUUUAAUCAUGGCAAUCCAUAAUAAAACCACUAAUUUAAGGUUAUGGUAUACAAAGUUCAAGGAUACAUCAAACACCAGUGCAACAUUAGAGCUUAAGCUAGAAGAAUUGAACAAGACAAUGCAAGUCAUGUUAAAAAAUUACAAAAAGCUUAAGAGGAAAUCAAUGGAGAAUUGAGCAAAAUCUUUGAAGCUUUGAGUAAGCUAAAUAACACAAAUAUGGUAGAAGAAGAUAUUUUAUAUGAAGUUACUGAUCUUUUAUAUUCUUUGAGUUAUGGCCUGUACCAAGCCCAAUCUACUCAAAGUUUCCCACCAUAACAGCUCGCAUUGAUACAAGCUAUAUUUAUUUAGAAAUGUCAUUUGUACUGACACUAGAGUGUCUGUACAUCAUAUAACUUGAGCUGAGGCUAAGAUAGACUUAUCCAAAACUAAGAUGGACCUAUUCUUAGUCCAAAUCCACUAAGUAAAUGCAAAAAUAAGGUAGACUAGACUAGGGAGAUUGUGUUCACACUAGUUAGAGAAGAAGAGUAUGAAUAUAGAUGGGAUUAUGGUCAGAUUCAUUAUUAUGUAAUCUGCAGGAGUAAAUAAGUUCAUAUGCAAAUCUUUUGAUUUUAGGCAUGAUUCUAGCAAUACAAUCUAAAAGCUUCCAUGCUUGAAGGGAUAUUCCUAGCCUAUAUAUUUUUUAUUAUUCUUUGAUAGAAGGCAAAAUAGAGUUUUCUUUAUCCUUAAGUAAUAUUUUAGAUUAUUCUUUAAGUUUUGUAUCUUUUAGGUGAAUUUUCUAGAGUGGUGAACUUUUAUUAUUCUGUAUCAUUGAUUAGAAUUCUUAGAUUGUGUUUCUAUAUCCCUUAAUUUCUAGUUUUGGUGAUGAACUUUUAUCCCUUUUAAUCAAAUAAUCAUAUUCUGUUAUUAUUUAAAUCCUUGUGAGUUGUUUUCUUUGCAAGUUUUUUUAUUUGCAGUUAAUCUCCACAUCUUAAACAUCAAUUCCUAGCAUCAAAUUAGUAUUAGGGCUAUAGUGGGUUGUCAUCAUCAAGCAUCAAUAGAAGAGGUUAAAGCCAAUACCGACGUUGCAACAACUACUAAUAUUGACUAAAGGGAUGCCCUUAUAGAGAAGAUGCAGUAACAGAUCUUUCAACUAUAACAUUAGCUAUAUAUACAAAAAAAAAGAGAUAAGGAGGCAAUGAAAGAGAAACAAAAAUGAUGAAGGAGAAACCAAUCCAUACUUUGGAAUAACAAUGAUUCUAAUGAUAGCACCCUCUAUCACCUACGGUAAGUCAAAAAGUAUUUAAGCAGAAACCAACUUCAACUUAGCAUAUUCAAUCUGAAGAUAGAGAUUCCUGAGUUUGAAGAAAAAAUACAAUAUGAAGAAUUCUUAGAUUGGCUAUACACAGUAAAAAUAUUUAAAUACCAUCAUGCCCGUUAACAUUGCAAGGUAAAGCUAGUGGCCAUCAAACUUAAAAAGCAUGCAUCUUUUUAGUGAGAAAAUUUAAAAAAAUAAAGGGAAAAAAAGUAAGAGAAAAAUUAUAACUUAAGAGAAAAUGAAAAAAGUUGAAGAAAAAGUAUCACUCAGAUAACUUUCGAUAAGAUGUCUUUCUUAGGCUUUAUAACUUGAAGCAAAAAGAUCUAUUAGUGGAAGAAUAUACCGUUAAGUUUGAUCACCUUAUGUUAAAAUGUGAAUUAGUGGAAUAACAGAAGCAGAUUGUUACCUAGUAUCUUGGAGGAUUAAAGAUUGAGAUAGCUAAUGUGGUGUAGCUACAACCUAUUGGACUUUCCAUGAUGUAUGCAAGCUUGCCCUUAAGUUGGAGAGACAAAAAAAAGAGGCCUAUGCUAGCAACUUAAGAUUUAGGUUUUGAAAAAGCAAGCCUUAGUCUAGUGCACAAACUAAAAGGUGUUUUAAAUUUUAAGGGCUUGGAUACAUUACCUCAAAAUGCCCAAACAAAAAGAUUAUGACUCGAGUAGAGGAAGAAUUAGAGAAAAAAGAAAAGAAGUUAACUGAAAAGGAUUAAAACCUUGAAGAGGAGAAAGAGGUAACCUAUGGUGAUUGUAAAGCAUUUUUAGUCAUACAAUACAGUUUGAGUACCGCACCUAUUAAGAAAGAAGAUUAAUUGUGUAAAAACAUAUUCCACACUCGGUGUAUUGCCCAUGGAAAGGUAUGCGAUAUUAUAAUUGAUGGUGAAUGUUAUGAAAAUGUUGUUUCUGCCUUUAUGGUACAAAAAUUAGGCCUCAAAGUAAUGGAUCACCUUCAACCAUAUAAGCUGUUUUGGCUACAAAAAGAGAAUGAAAUCAAUGUUAGCAAGAGGUGUUUGGUUCUUUGUUCUAUAAGAAAGUAAUAUAAAGAUGAAGUAUGGUGUGAUAUAACUUUAAUAGAUACUUGCCAUUUACUACUUGAAAGACCUUGGAAUUAUGAUAGGAAGGUUAUUUAUAAUAGUUACUACAACACUUACACAUUUGUGAAGGAUGGAUGCAAAAUCAUCUUAGGCCUUACGAAGCCCAUGGUGAUGUCAAAACCAACCAAAAGGAAAAGAAAUAGCUUGUUUACUAAGGCCAAUUAUAGAAAAAAAAUUAAGAUGGACAAUACUAUAUACGCACUAGUAUUGAUUGAGGAGAAUAAAGAUAGUGAGGAGCCCCCGUAAUACCAUUAUUGGUAAAAUUUCAAAAUGUUGUUUAAAAAGAGUUAUCAGCUGGUUUACCAUUAAUGAGGGACAUUCAACACUACAUAGACUUUAUCCCAAGAGCUGUUUUACCCAACAAGGUGAAAAUUUUCUUAAAAAGUUAUGUGGAAAAGAAAUUAAAACAAUGAGAACUUAUUUUACUAUAGGUGGAGUUUGCCUACAAUCAUUUCCCAAGUCAAACCAUUGGUUGUAAUCCUUUUGAAAUUAUUCUUGGUAAGAAAGCAAUUUAUCAUUUAGUUUUAAGUCAACGUUAUACUAAUCAACAUUUUGAUAGAGAUGUAGAAAAAAAGCCAAGAGUAUCAAAAUAUUUUAUGAAUAGGUUUAAAAUAAAAUUUUGUAAAAAAAUGAGAAAUAUAAAAACGCAAUAAUCAUGCAUCGAAGACAUAUGAAGUUUAAAGAACAUGAUUUGGUGUGGAUUAACUUGCAAAAGAAAGAUUUCCUCCAGAAAAGUUUGACAAAUUACAACCUAAGGUAGAUGGUCCAUUUAGAGUUAUCCAAUGUAUUGGGGAUAAUGCCUACAAGAUAGAGCCUUCCAACACUUAUAGAGUAUCUUUCAUCUUUAAUGUUACUGAUUUGUCACCCUACCAUGGCGAGAAUACUAGUUCAGACUUGAGAACAAGUCUUUUUCAACCAAAGGAGAUUGAUAUCAGAGUAUCUGUACAUCUUACAACUUAGACUGAGACUAAAGUAAACUUAUUCAAAAAUAAGAUGGGCCUAUCCUUGGUCCAAAUCCACUAAGUAAAUGCAAAAAUAUACUAGCUAGAGAAAAAGAGCAUGAAUUUGGAUAGGAUUAUGGUUAGAUUCAUUAUUAUAUAAUAUGCAGAAGUAAAUGAGUUCACAUGUAAAUCUCUUGAUUUUAGGCAUGAUUCUAGUAAUACAAUCUGAAAGUUCUCAUGCUUGAAGGGAUGUUCCUAGCCUAUAUAUUUUCUAUUAUUCUUUGAUAGAAGGCAGAAUAGAGUUUUCUUUAUCAUUAAGCAAUUUUUUAAAUUAUUCUUCAAGUUUUGUAUCUUUUAGGUGGAUUUCCUAUAGUGGUGAACUUCUAUUGUUCUAUAUCCUUGAUUAGAAUUCUUAGGAUAGUAUUUCUGUAUCCCUUAAUUUCUAGUCUUGGUGGUGAACUUUUAUUCCUUUUAAUCCAAUAAUCAUUUUCUAUCAUUAUUCAAAUCCUUGAAAAUUAUUUUUUUAUGAGUUUUUUUGUUUGCAAUUAAUCAACACAUCUCAAACAUCAAUUCCCGGCAUCAUGCACCUAGCCAAGGGAAUAUCCAAAGUUAUAUCAACCCUACCUUCACUAAAAAGGUAGUUAAACCGAUCUAAGUCCUCAAUUUGAACAAUCUUUGAAGAUGACUAAGUCUUUGGAGGACUCUAAAGCUAAUUAAAUGAUGAAAAUGCUUUAUAAGAGAUUAAAAGCUGUGAAAAGUAUUAAUUUUUAAGGUACCAAAGUUUAAGAAAUAUGACGAUACAAAAUGUCCCAUCAUGUAUGUUACAAUGUACUGUUGUAAAAUGGUAGCUUAUGCUAGUAAUGAGAAAUUACUCAUGCAUGUAUUUCAAGAUAAUUUAGCUGGUUUUACUGCGAAGUGAUAUGUCAAAUUAGACAAAACUCAUACCCGAUCAUAGAAGAAUCUAACUCACUUUUUCCUUAACCAAUAUCACUAUAUCAUAUAUAUGGCUUUUGAUUGCCUUUCCUUACAAAAUAUAAAAAAAAAGGCUAAGUUUAAGGAAUAUGCCCAAAUUUGGCAAGAUAUAAUUGUUCAAGUGCAGCUACCCUAAACCAAGAAAUAGACAACAAUUCUAUUUUUGAGCACUUUGAAAUCAUCCUAUUAUGAAAAAAUGAUAAGGAACGUGACUAAAAAUUUUGUUGAUAUGAUGAUCUCAGGCGAGAUCAUUGAAAAUGCCAUUAAGAAUGGCAAGAUUGAAAGAGAAGAGUCAUCGUGGCCAAGAGGAUGCCCAAGAAAAAGGAAAGUGAAACUUAAGCUAUGAGUUUCAAAAGGUAAAAAUUCAAAAAUUAUACUCCUUACCCACAACCCAUUUACCUUACAUUAUUCCACUAAAAAUAAUGCUUUAACUUUUCCAUACCAACUAGUUUCACAACUUUCUUAUCUUUCCACCUAUCAACCAGCAUUUAGACCACCCACCAACACAUACUGCCCUAAUACCCCUCAUACUAUAAGGCUUUUUAUGAGCCUAUCUAACUUAACAACUAGUCUAAGAAAACCAUGAAAUAAUAAAAAAAAGCCUAUAUUUUACCCCAUUCCUAUUAUUUGUACGAGUUGUAUCGAAAACUUUACAAUAAUCAUUUAAUUGCUCUUCUCUAUAUAAAUCCACUUAAACCUUCUUAUCUUAAAUGAUACAAUUCUACUUUUCAUUAUGAUUACCAUUAUAGAAUCAUAGGUUAUUUCAUUAAAAGUUAUACUGCUUUGAAACACAAGGAGCAAAAUUUAAUCAAAGAUAGGUUGAUUAACUUUGACACCAAUGAAAAUAACAUCUAAUGUCAGUGGUAAUCCAUUGUGCAAUCACACCGUAAAUGUUUUAAAUGAGGAUAAAAGACAUUGUAUGAAGAAGAGAGUAGAGGAGAUCAAGAGUCAAUUCAAUAAAUUAUAUGAUACUCUAUAUGAGGUUGAGAUAGUACAAUCAGUGGACCUACACACCUACCAUAGGAGAUGUAUCUUAAGUCAAAGUUGUAAGUAUCAUAGUAGGACUUCGAGUCAUUCUAUUAAGACUUGCAAUUAAUUUUAGGAAAAGUUAUAGAAGUUGAUGGAUUCCUAUCAAAUUGAGCUAUAUGAAGAGGGAGAAGCCUCGAGAAGUACUAAGGUGCCUAUGACUGAUAAGUCAAAGUGGGUACCAAAGUCAUAACUACUUAUGGUGGUGAAAAGUCAAAAUCAAUUAUAGACAAGCUUGUCUCUAACUUGGUGACCUUUAAAGUCCAAAGCCCAUUCCCAUAUAAGGAUGAAAAGGUUAUGCCGUAAAGAUAUGACUGUGAAAUGAUAAUCCAAGGACAAUCAGAGAUCACACCCAAGCUAGACAUCACCAAUAUAACUAGUGUAGGUGAUAUAACUAGAAAUGAGAGGUGCUAUAAUCUGAAUAUGGUGGAAAGGGCAAGAAAAAAAAUCAAUAAUGAUAAAAAAAGUAGGUUGAUCUAAAGAUAGUUUCAAAAAAAAAAAAAAUCUAAGACCAUUGUUUGAAAAAGAAGCCUAUGAGUUCUUAAAGCUCGUAAACAUAAAAAAUAUUCUAUGGUAUGAAAAGUUUAUAGUACCAUAGAAUAUUCUUUUAUAGUACCAUAGAAAAUAAAUAAAAAUUUCUCACCUAAGAAUUUUAUAGUACCAUUUAUAAUUUCUAAAAAUUUCGUCAUCAGAUAAUUAUUAUUUAUUCUUAAAAAAAUUAUUAAUGUUUUAUUUUAUUUUAUUAUUAUUUCUUCUAACUUUUUUUAAAAUUUAAUCAAGCAAAAACACUUUCAAAAUAAAUAAAUAAAUAAAUAAAAUAAAAAUACCAAAACAGGAAUCGACUUGGCUCGGCUGGUGUGUGUGGCUAGGCUGCAAGCACGAAAUUGGCUAAAAAGGCUUGGAAAAUGGCUUAACUUGGCUUAGGUGUAGGUUGGUAGAUUCUAGGAUUAACUACCAGAAUAUGUGUAAUUACAUUAGAAUUUUACCCUCAAUUACUGUCAAACCCUUGCUCUUACUUUCUCCUCUAUUUUUCUUUUCAAUUGCUCUUUGAUUGUUCUCGUUUUGUUCUGUGAUUUAAAUGUCUAUUUAUAAGGUACAAUAUGGAGAAUUUCAUAUUGAUUCUAACUUAAAAAUUAGGAUUAUCAUGAAAAAAUAAAAUUUACCUUUGAAAAGUUUAACUUCAAAUUUAAUCAUGAUAAAACUACAUUAUCACUAGCUACUCCUUUUUAAUUUAUUGCCAUUCAUUCUUUUUUACAAUUAUCAAUUUUUUUUUAAAUAUCCAAAUACAUUUUAAAAAAUUAGAUAAAUAUAGGGAAAUAAAAUUAAAGAUAAACAACAAAUAAGUAAGAUAAAAUAAGUAAUAAAAUAAAAUAAAAAAGAUAAAUAAAAAAUAUAUAUAGAUAAAUAAUGUAAAAACAUAAUUUUGACAAUUAAACUUGGAUCAAAUUUGAGCCCAAUUGAUUUAGGCCUUUGGCUUUGAAAUUAAAUCGAGCCUAGUUGAUUUAGACCUCGGACUAAAUUGGGUGUCUACAGUUGCCUCUCUUUGCUCAUUUUCUAUGCAAUAUGAAUUGUGCAAAGAUAUAGAUAUUCAUUACUUCUGGAUGUAGCUUAACAACAAUUAUAAAAUCUCGAAACUCCAAAGAUUCACAAUUUGAAAUAUUCAAGAACUUCACAAUUGGACAAUUAGUAAUGCAAGUUGAAACUUAAAGAUUCACAAUUUAAGUUCAAAGAAUCACCAUUUUGAAAUUCUAAGGUUCGCAAUUCAACGAUUAGCAAGGUUUAGUUUCUUAAGAAUUUGAUUCACAAAGAUUUUCAAAUUCUCAAAAUUUCAGUUUCACAAGGAUUAAAGAUUCACAAGAAUUUGAUUCUCAAAUUUUCAGUUUCAUAAGGAUUUAGAUUCACAAAAUUUUAGAUUCAUAAGAUUUUUCAAUUUCACAAGAUUUCAGAUUUGCAAGAACUUAGAUUCACAAAAACUCAUAUUCAUAAAAUUUUAGAUUCAUAAGAACUUAGAUUCAUAUUUGAGAGAUUCACAUCCAAAGUUCAAUUCAAGGAUUUGCAUCAAAAUUGCAAGACUUACGUACAACAUUUAAAUAUUCACAUUCUUCUAGAGAUUCAUUCCCAAAAGUUUAACGAUUUUUAUUUAAAAAACUUUAGUAAUUCAUUUCUAAGAUUUGAAAUUUUCAUUCGAGUUCCAAGAUUCACAUUUGAUAAAUUUUAUAGUUUCAAAUCUAUAUUCAAAGGUUCUCAUUAAAAAAAAAAAUUAGGGGUUCACAUCCAAAAAUUUCAAAGCUUCUUAUUCGAGUUCAAAGAUUUACAUUCAAUAAAUUUUUGAGUUUCAUAUCUAAAUUCAAAGGUUCUUAUUAAAAAAUUUAGAGGUUCACAUACAAAAUUUUCAAAGCUUCUCAUUCGAGUUGAAAGAUUCACAUUCGAUUGAUUUUAGAGUUUCACAUAUGAUUUAAAGGUUCUCAUUCAAAAAAAAUUAGGGUUUACAUCUAAAAGUUCAAAGCAUUUUAUUUGAGUUUAAAGGUUCACAUUCGAUUGAUUUUUAAGUUUUAUAUCUAAAUUCAAAGGUUCUCAUUUAAAACUCAAAGAUUCUCACUUAAAACUUAAAGUUUCUCAUUUAAAACUUCUUAAAGAUUCUAAUUUAAAACUCUUUAAAGUUUUUCAUUAUUUUUAACUUUAAAAAUACUCUAUUAAAAGGCUCCAAAACUUUAAAAUUCUAAAUGUUCUUCUCAUAAAAAUUUUUUCGUUUAAAGAUUCUCAACUUUAUAAAAAUUAUCAAUCUUUCAUCAAAGUCAAAACUUUGUAUAUAAAGAAUGUCAUGAUUAUGAUGUAAAUGAAACAAUCUAGAUUCUCUUAAUAAUGUAGACACCAUAUUUUAAACCAUAAUUCAAAUGUUUACUACAUGAGGCAAAUGCAUGGCCAGCCAAGGUUCAAAUAUUCACUAGAUUAUAUACAUGUAUUCUUUAAAUAACAAUGCAAACACAAUGCUUGGAAUGCAAAUAUCAGUGUCAUGAAAUUCUUACUUAAUUGUGGUAAUAUGGUUCUUAAGACUCCACCAUCUCACCUUUUCUCUUUUUAGCAUCUUAGCAUUAAUUAUUUCAGAAUAAAUUUUAUCGAUCGAUCCAUAUUAUUUUCAUCAUUUGAUCACGACUCAAAGGCAUCCAACACAAGCAAUUUUAGAAAAUUUUGUCUACUGAUUCACAUUAUUUUCAUCAUUUGAUCACAAUUCACAAGUUAUGUCAACCAAUCAUUUACCAUAUUCAUCACUUGAUCAUCCCAUGUGUCUUUCAAAUAAUCUUUUUAAGCUUUUUUCAUCUUUUUUUUUUUUUUUUUUGCCUUUUGGACUUCUUUUUAAAGGAAUAUAUGAAUCUUUUUUUUUCAAUUUAUUUUGAGGAUGCAAAAAUAAAAGAGUACAAGGUGAAUUAAGAGAAAAGUAAUCAAUAUAAGAAUGAGUCUGGUACAAAAAUAAAUGGACAGAGGAACAAAUUCAAAACAUAUCACUAGGGAUGAUAUUGAAUGGUACAAUAAUGUCCACACAAAGAAUACUCAGACAAUUCUUCACAUUAAUCCAGAAUUCCUUUUUAAAGACUCAUUCCAUUGUCUUUCAAAAUUAUAUGGAGCUUAUUGAAUUUUACCCCAACCUUAAGAGAUUUUUAGAUGUCUUUGAUCUUUUAUAUAUUUGAACUGUUUAUCUAAGUUUCAGCUCAAAUGUUUUUCUACCCAAAUCAUCCUUUCAGGUUUUCAAUAUGAGUCUUUAUUUUCUUUUAUUUUACAUUUUUUUUCAUUUUCAUUUUCAUUUUCUCUUUUUUUUUAUUUUUCAUUUUUUUCAUUUUUUAAUUUCUCAUUUUUUUCAUUUUUCAUUUUUUUCUUUUCUUAUUUUUCAUCCAUUAUUAAUAUCUUUCACACAUCGGUCUCUAAAACACAUAGCAUGAUUCCAUUAUUCCAUUAGAAGCAUGCCUUAGCCUAACAUAUGAUCAUUCAAUUUGAAUAUUCAUAUUUGAUCAAAAUAGACUUUUAAAGGUUGUAAUGUAGGCUAUGGUGAAGGGUCAUGAAAGAAAUUGAUAAAAUAGGCUCAAAACACAUGUUUACAGGGUUCAAACCAAAUGAUCAUUUCCCAUUAUGUGAUGUAGUUUAGAAUUUUUCCCUAUUCUAUAUCAUUUCACUACUUUUUUUUUUCAUCUUAUUUCUCAUAAAAGGAUUCUCAUUACUUCAACCCAAAUCAUUUAUUGCAUUCGUUUUUUUUUUUGUAAAGGGUUAUUUUUUUCCCUGUUUUCUUUUUUUUUACUCUAUAUCUUUAAAGCCUUUUGUGAACUCUUGUCUUUUUCUUGUUUCAAGUAUGUUUUUCUCAAAAUUUUCCCUUCAGUGUGAAGGAUAAUCUUUGGUUGGGGUUCUUUAGGAAAAAAAUCAUAAUAGGCUCAAAAGGGGUAACAAUAGAUGGUUUUAUGAAUGGUAAAAGAAAUAUGGCUAUUUUUUAUCUCAAAUGUGAAUGCUUUCUUUAAAGAUCAUCUAUUAAACAAAGACAAACUCAUGGAUCAUUAUAAAUGACUGCAUAUCUUCAAGACAUAUCUAUUUUACAUCUAUUAACAGCUUACUUUUCUUGCUCAAAUAGUCUCCAUAGAUCAAUGUGAAUGAGUUCUCAAAAUUAAAUCCUAGAAUUAUUGUUAUCAUUGUCUAAAAAUUCAUUAUUGAGAAUGGGAAUAAAAGACGUGAAAAAACUAAGCAUGAAAUAGUAGUUGGGAUAAAAGAAAAAAUAUAAUGAAAUACACCAUACUUACCUUUUAUUAAAAUGAUAAAAAAUGAAAUCUUAUUACACAAAAACAUCUUAACAUUACUCUGAAAGAAAUUCCAAACUGACAAGUAACAUCCAACCAACCUUAACGUCCUUGUCCAUCUUAAAAUUAUGCCCCUGUGUAAUUAGGUGAAGCAUUUUUAUUGACAUCUUGCCCUCUUAAUUCAUCAAAGUUCACCAAGCCUUUUCAGAUCAAACUUUGCACCUUAUGUUUGAAAGCAGGGUAAGUUUUAAUAAAAUGAGUCAUGUUUCUAUUAUGAUAAUCGCAUGUCAAUUAGCAUCAUACCAUUUUGGAUAAAGUGGCUUUAAUGGUUCUAGAAUAACUAAAGAUACCAAGUCAUUCUUAACCAGUUUUAGAAUUAACUCAGUGUAAGUCACAAGGAUAAGAUCAAUGUAAGCCCUUUCUUGGUUAUUUUGAGAUUUUCUUAAACCACUUAUUUAGUUGUUAAGCUUUGAAGCUAAUGUAGUGAUAUGACUAGAUCUAUAUACAAGUAUUUGAAAAGCUGAUUGAUAAGUUGGUGGGUAAGCUAGUUAUGGAAAUGGUUGGUAAAGGGCCUGCGCAAUACAUUAACUGUGGGAUAGUAAACAAGAUGAACAAGUGGUAGAUAUGAAGCAUAGCUUCUAAAUUGUUGCCUAUCAAAAUUUAUAGCUUAGGCUUUGACUUUUUUCUUUUUAGGCAACCUUCUUUUUUUGAUGGUUUCUCUUUCAUGAAGCUUGCCACUGUUGAUGGCAUUUUUAAUAAUUUCUCCUGAAAUCACUAUAUCAAUAAAGUUUUUUAUUGCAUUCUUUAUCAUAUUUUUAUAAUAGGGGAUUUUAAAGUGCUCACAAACAACACUGUGAUCUUUUUUUAAAUAAAAGUGACUGAAUUUGAGUAGCUAUAUCUCUUCACCUCUGGGCAUAUUUCUUAAAUUAUUCAGUCAUCUUUUUUUUCAUAUUCUGUAAGGAAAAGUAAUCAGAAGCUAAAUCUAUUAUAUGCCAAUACUAACCGAAAAAGUCAUAGGCCAUUUUGCUCUAAGAGUGAAUGCAAGUCUUAUCCAAUUGGGCAAACCAUCUAGCAAUAGAACCAAUAAGGUUAUCUUGAAAUACGUACAUUAAUAGCUUUUUAUUAUUAGCAUAGACAACCAUCUUAUGACAAUACAUGGUAAUGUGAGUCUUUGGACAUUUUGUACCAUCAUAUUUCUUAACCUCUAGUACUUUAAACUUCAAAGGAAUAACAACAUAUGGGAUUAAAUUUUACCCAGUAACAUCUAUAAAACCAUAAAAACCAAUUCUUUCUACUGUUCAUAACUUUUCCUCGAGCAUAUUUAGCUUUCUAUUAGCUAUUGAGCUUUCUAAAGUCUCUUUUUACUUAGGCCUUAGCUUUUUUUUCUCUUUUAGGUCAUCCAAGUUAGAGAUUGGUAUUGAUUCUACUAUUUUUUAAAUAAAGACAAGAUUUACAUAACUUUGAAGAUUUGAAGUUGAUGGCAUUACAGGGUAUGUAUACCCUACAAGGUAUGUGUAUUACUACGAUAGUGCAUCCUGUGUGGACUAAGCUUGAUGUGGCCCAUAACUAGGAGGAUAAAGAGGAUCAACAACAUCUUAUGCGAAAUAAUCUUGUGGGUUAUUUUUCUUUUACACUUUUUCCCUUAUUCAAUUUAUUCAAAAAUACUAGAAUCUUACUCAACUCCUCUUCAAGCUUUUCUCGGGCUUUCUUUAUUUUUUCCAAAUGAUUUGUAUUUUCCUAUUCUAUUUGCCUAGCUCAAGCUCUAGUGCUGUAUUGAUGGUGAAUGUGUUGAAUUAGGUUCUUAGAUGGUGGAGCUAUCUUUAAACCUUGUACCAUAAUUAACUUACUUAUGUUACUAAAUGUGUAUGUGAAAAAGCUUUCAAAAUUAACUUAACUUUUUUAAGAAUGAAUGUAUUGAAUACUUGACAUAACAAAUUAUGAUUCAUAAACACAUGAAUGUAUACACGACAAUGUAUGAAUGCAUGUAUUGAUGUUUGUCUCAUUAUGAUGCGUGGUUGGAUACAUAUGUUUGUGAUACUGGAAUAAGAUACAACACACAACAUACAACAACUUAAUGAAUAAGGAUAAAAUAACAUUUAUCAUGAAUGUGAUAUGAAUGAAGCUCAAAAGGUUCACUCAUAUGUCAUAAUUAGGGUUAUAUUCCAGUGAUAGGUAGAUAUGGCUCUAACCUAAGGUUGGCUUUUUAUUUUUAUAUGGUUUGGUUUAAAUCUAAAGGUUUCCAAAUUGUUCUCACAUCAUUGUCCAUCAUAAACUAGUAAGACACACUCAAAUCCUCAUCCAUCAUAGGCUACAAACGGAAAAGAUUCAGUUUGAGUUAGAGUAUUUCACUAGCCAUUAUAGAGAUUAUCAUCUCACAAAAACAUAGGUACUUUACUCUUUCUUAAAGAGGAUAGAGCCUGAGUAUAGAGCUUAUGUGAUGCAUAUGCAUGUGAUGGUGUGUGAAGGAACACAUAUAUCUUUAUUUGUAAUUUUCACAAGCCAAGUUAAAGAAUUAAAAAAUAAUAAUUCAAGAUCAAGCAAAAAAACAAAAGGAUAAUUCAAAAGUAAUUGAUGGCUUAACUCUCUGGUAUCCCCAGUAGAGUCACCAUACUAUCAUAACAUAUAGAUUUGUAAAUCUAUAGGUAGACUUAACAAGAGAAGUUACCACCAAUAUUUUUUCUAAGUGUAAUUGGCAACUUAGUGAAUCUACCCUUUUAAAGAGCUCCUAAGCUUGACUAAGGGUCCCUAAAGAAUAGGUUCUGACCUUCUAAACAAAACUAGGUUUGGGAGUUUAAUUACGUGUGGGAAAGGUUAUAGUAGCCCCACAACGCCCAUCUUAAGAUGAUACUAUUUAAUUUUAAAUUAUCCUAACAAUUAUCUUGGUUCUAAUGGUUUUUAUUUUAAUGUUUAAAUAUUGGAAAUGACUUAUAUGAUUUUUUCAUUAAUUUGGUAGAAUUCUUAAAAAUACUUUCUCACCUUAAGAAUAUUCAAGAAUCCUAUUUGUUUUCUUAAAAAAGCUCUGUCGUCAAAAAAAUGUUUAAUCAUUUUUAUUUUGAUUUUUUUAUUGAAAAUAUAACUAAUUAUUCCAUAAUUUGGGUCAAAUUAGAAAUAUCUUCACUUAAAAUUUUUUUAGAUAAUUAACUAUUUGUGAUUAUUAAGAAGUUCAUCAUCGAGAUUUAUUUUUAUUUUUGAUUUCUAAAUUUUUCACUAUUUGGGUCAAUUUAAAAAUUCUUUUUUUGUUUCUUUUGUUAUUUUUGGAAGAAUAUAAUAUAACAAUUUUUUUUGAAAUUUUAUUUAAAUUCGUCCACUAUUUAUGAUAAAUUUUAAAAAAAUUUCUCACCUAGAGAUUUCUUAUGAAUUUUACCAUUUGAAAUUUUUAAGAUUCUUAUCUUUGGAUAAUUGUCAAACACUUUUAGCGAAAAAUUUUUAUUUGGAAAAGAAUACAAUUACUUUUAUUAAAAUUUUAUCUAAAUUAUUCCACAAUUUGGGACAAAUUUAGAGAAAUUUCUCACCUAAAAAUUUCUUGGAGAAUUUACUAUUUCAAUUUUGUAAGAAUCUCAUCCUUAGAUAAUUAGUAUUUAAUUCAAAAUUUUUAUUAAAAUUUUUAUAUUUUUUAUUUUGAAUUGAAAAUAAAUAUUAAUUGUCAUUAUUGAAACUUUAUCUAAAUUAUUCCACAAUUUGGGAGAAAUUUAGAAAAAAAAUUUCUCACCUAGGAAUUUUAAAGGAAUUUACCAUUUACAAUUUCUAAAAAUUUCAUCAUUGGAUAAUUAUUAUUUAUUCUCAAAAAAAUUAUUAAUUUUUUUAUUUUUAUUAUUUUUUUUUAGCUUUUCCUAAAAUUUAAUCAUGCGAAAAUACUUUAAAAAUAAAAUAAACAAAAUAAAUGAAUAAAUAAAUAAAAUAAAAUAAAAAUUUCCAAAAUAGUAACUAGUUUGCUCGGUUAGUGUGUGUAGCUAGGCUACAGGCACGAAACUAGCUGGAAAGGCUUGGAAAAUGGCUCAACUCGACUCAGGUGUAGGUUGCUAGAUUCUAGGAUUGACCAUCGAAAUCUGGGUAAUUAUGCCAGAAUUUUACCCAUAAUUGUUGUCGAACCCUUGCUAUUAUUUUUCCUCUAUUUUUCUUUCCAGUUGCUCUCUGAUUGUUGUCCCUUUGUUCUAUGAUUUAAAGUUCUAUUUAUAGGGUACAAUAUGGAGAAUUUCAUAUUGAUUUCAACUUAAAAAAUUAGGAUUAUCAUGGAAAAAUAAAAUUUAUCUUUGAAAAAUUUAACUUCAAAUUCAAUUAUGAUAAAACUAUAUUAUCACCAGCCACUCCUUUUUAAUUUAUGGCCAUUCAUUCUUUUUUUCAAUUAUCCAUUUUUUUUUGAAAUAUCCAGAGAAAUUUUAAAAAAAUUAGAUAAAUAUAAGGGAAUACAAUUAAAGAUAAAAAACAAAUAAACAAGAUAAAAUAAAUAAUAAAAUAAAAUAAAAAUGAUAAAUAAAAAGAUAUAUAUAGAUAAAUAAAGCAAAAACAUAAUUUUGACAUUAGACUUGGAUCAAAUCUGAGCCUAAUUGAUUCGGGCAUUUGGCCUUGAAAUUAUAUUGGGCCUAGUUGAUUUAGACCCUGAACUAAAUUGGAUGUCUACAACCGAUGGUCAUUCUACAUCUGUAUGAAACUUUUAGGCUAGUAGGAUAUAUAUAUAUCUAAGGUCAGAGGAAUAUGCUAAAGAGAAACUGAGUGUGGAAGAAGGUUUUGCCAAGUUGUCCAUCCAGAUAGUAGGUGAAAAAAAUACAAAAGUCCAAGAGGAAAAGGUGUUGGUCCAUCCAUAUCCACCAAGCUUUGAACUAAAAAAAUUAGAGUAUCAUCGAGACUCUUACUGUCCUUGAUACCUUUCUAAUAUAAAUAUAACUCCUAAUUGCUUAUGUCAUAACGUCUAGAUCUGAGGAUAUAUCGCUAGACAUUGACUUGAGGAGUUGCCACCAAUCUUUUUUGUUUAGGUGCGAUUGGCCACCUAAGGAAUCUAUCCUUUCAAGGAAUACCUAAGCUUGAUUAAGGGUCCCUAAAAGAAUAGGUUUAGGUAUAUUAACCAGAAUAGGGUUUAGGAGUUUGGUUACAUGCAAGAAAUAUUAUAGCACCCUCACAACGCCCAUCGAAAGAUGGUACUAGCUUGAUUUUGUGUUAUCCGAAAAGCCUUAAAAAUUUUACCAAGUAAUUAAUUAUUGUAAAUUAUUCUUAAUUAACUCCAAUACUUUUGGCAAAAAAUUAAGAAAAUUCCCUCACCUUAAGGGUAUGCAAGAAAAUUACUGUUUCACUUGCAAAGACUCCAUUGUCAGAUUAUUUAACAUUUAAAAAAAAUUCAAGAAAAGAAAGAAAAAAAAGAAUAAAAUAAAAAGGAAUAAUGAUUCAACUCUUGAUAUAAAAUCUUUUUCUUUUCAUAAAAAAAACUCAUUGCUUCUGUACAAGGAAAAUUGAUACUUUAAACUUUUUCUUAAAAUGUUUUUCUUGAUAAUUUUUAUUUUUAAGGAAAAUUAGUAUUUCCAACUUUUCUUCAAAAUGUUUUUUUUGAAAUUUUAAUUUUAAGGAAAAUUGAUACUUUUAACUUUUCCCCAAAAAAUUUUUUUUUUGAAAUUUUUAUUUUAGAAAAAUCAUUAAAAAAAUAAAAUUAAAAUUAAAAUAAAGUAAUACCAAAUAAUUCUAAUUUUAAAAAAAUAAAUAAAUAGAAAAAAAAAACCUUAAGGUGGCUCGGCUUAGCGGCUGGAAUUGUCUCGACUCUAGGAAGAAAAACGGCUCGAAAGUAUGACUCAACGAGAAGCGGCUUGGCUAUGCUCAGCUCUAGGGGUCGACUGGCACUUAGGUCAAACGCGAGUUAAAAGCGGGCUGACGCUCGGGUUGAGUCGAAUCUUGGCAAAACGCACGGAUCUUCUGAGAUUUUAAACACAAAAGCGACGUCAUUUUUGGACAAUAUAAAAGGCUCCAACCUUCUGCUCGUCCGUAGAUUGCUUCUUUCCCUCUCUCUUUCCUUUUUCUCUCUAAAAGAUCCCAAAUCCUGGUUGAAUGUUCUACCGAAAUCUGAAAAAACAUGUCAAAAACUUUAAAGUUGGUUGAAAAAUUCGUCGAAAAAUUCAAAUACCAUCGAAAAAUUCAUCGAAAUUUGAAAAAUUUUUUAAAAUUUUCCAAAAAAAAAAUGCUGAAUUCUUCAAAAUUUUCCUAAAAAUUCUAGAGUUGCCUUCAAACUUUUUUGCUUUUGUUUUCUCUCUAUUUUUUUUGUCUAUUCUGUGUGAUCUAUGGACCCAUUUAUAAAGAUUGAUCAGAAGAGUUUUUUAUCAAUCCCAAUUCCCUCUGGAAUUUAGAUUUAAUUUUUGAAUCCAAACCCAACUCUGUUAUCCCUUAAAUUCACGACAGAAUACAUUCCAAAUUUUUUUUAUCCUAAUCCCAGCCAAAAAUUGAUAAAAAAAAAAGAUAAAGUAAAAAAAAGAUAAAAAUAUAUAUACUAAUAGAUAGUUAAUAAAUAAAUAAAUAUUUAAUAGAUAAAUAAUAAAAAAUCUUAAUAGAUAAAUAAUAAAAAAAUAUUAAUAAAUAAAUAAAUAAAAAUAAAAAUACAAAUGAGCUUACCCAUUUGGACCAAGCCCAAUUAAUCCGGGCUUGGAUCAAAUUAGUUGUCUACAGCUGCCCUUCUUUGCACAUUUUUUGUGAAACAAGAAUUGUGCAAAGAUAUAGACACCCAUUCAAGACUCCACUUGACCCUUUUUUUUUAUUUUUUUUUGUGUUAAAAUUUUGAUCAAAGCUCCUCUAAGUAAAGGCUCAAUGCUUUUGAGAAACAUAAACAAAGCUCCUCUAAGUAUAGGCUCAAUGACUUAAAAAAAUAGACAUAGCUCCUCUAAUUAGAGGCUCAACGACUUAAAAAAUGAACAAAGCUCCUCUAAACAGAGGCUCAACAACUUUGGAGAAAUAAAUAAAGCUUUUCUAAAUAGAGGCUCAACGACUUUGAAAAAAUAAAUUGCUUCUCUAAACAGAAGCUCAACAAUUUUGAAAAAAAAAAUAAAGCUCCUAUAAACAGAAGCUCAACGACUUUGGAGAAAUAAAUAAAGCUUCUCUAAACCAAGGCUCAACGACUUUGAAAAAAUAAUUUGCUCCUCUAAAUAGAGGCAAUAAAACUUUGGAGAAAAUAAAUUGCUCCUCUAAACAAAGACACCACAACUUUUGAAGAUAAAUUACUCAUUAACAAUCAUGUCUAGAGGAGUCGAAGAUCUUGUUUGAAGGAAUUUUAGGAGAUUAUAUCCAAGAGUCUUACAAAUCGAUCCUGAUACCAAGAGAUAUCCUUUUCCAAGGAUUAGAAACUUACUUCACAAGCUUUUUCUCAAAUGAGCAUUGAAAGAUCAAAAGUCUUCACAUCUGUCUUCUUCAUGUAAGAUCCUAGAAUACCCCAGCUCUUUGAAUUUAUGCACUAUACUUUUUUGAAUGUAGUAUAUGCUAUGUAAAAUGCAAUACGUGCAAAAUUCAAUGCAUGCUAUGCAAAUGCUGGCUAAUUAAUUCAUAUUCAAUUGUGGUACUCAAGUUUCUCAAGCUUUUUCUUAAGCCUCGAACCUUUUGUUCCUCAAAGACCAAGUUAGCGUAACUUUUAAUCAUCUUCUUCAUUUAAUUCUCACAUUCUUUCUACAAGAAAUCCCUUUCCAAAUUAAAUGUCCUUAUUAGGAACUGAACAUCUCAAAUUUGACCUUAUCAUUCUCAACUUUUCCAAAGUAAUGUAGAAAUCUUUCAUAUUAUUAUUCAUUUAUCAAUCAUUAUUUCAAUAUCAAAAAUUAAGAAUGCAUUCACACAUUUCUUCCAUUGUAAGCUAUUAAGUAGAAAAGAAUAAAAAUGGUUAGGCAAUAAUCAACAAAAGAGACACAAUAAAUGAAAUAGAAUGUAUUUUAUUAGCAAAAAUACUGGCAGAAUUUGGCUAAGAAAGAAUAGGUAUGGGGAGACAAUGCCCAAAAAUGAAUAAUUGGAUAAUCAUGAUAACACAUCUCAAAGUAUUUUUCGAAAAACUCAACCACCCAAUGCACUUAACAACUUAGAGCUCCUCAGAAUAUGCUAGCCUUCAUGCCAAUGAAUUUUUAGAUUUGAUGCUGUGUUCCCCUUAUUUAAGCUGCCUUUUCAGGUUUUCAACUUAGAUAAACCCCCUAUGACUCAAAUUACCCUCUUGAGGUUGUCACCUUGAGUCCUCAUUUUUCUUUGUUUUUCUUAUUUUGUUAUUUUUUAUUUUUUUUAAGCAUAGUACUUCUUCACAACAUUAGAAUUUAUAGGAUGUGGUAAAUUAUUUCCAUCUGUCUCAGCUAGUAUCAAUGUUCCACCUAAAAAAGCUCAUUUCACCACAUAUGGCCCUUUCCAAUUCAGAGUCCAUUUUCUUCUAUUAUCAUACUAAUUUGGGAGAAUUUUUUUUAAGAUCAACUCUCUUUCUCGAAAGCAAUGGGGUCAAACUUUUUUGUCAUGAGCCUUCAUCAUUCUUCUUUGAUAUAGCUGACCAUGGCACAAUGCAGUCAAUCUCUUUUCUUUAAUGAAAUUUAACUGUUCAUAGCACUUUCGAACCUAUUCAGCUUCUUCCAGUUCAACUUCUUUCAGAACCCUUAAGGAUGGGAUCUCUACUUCAUUGACAAUACAGCUUCCAUCCCAUAAGCCAAAGAAAAUAGAGUUACCCCAGUAGAGGUACGCACUGACGUUUGAUAUGCAUACAGUGCAAAUGGUAAUUUUUCAUGCCAAUUUUAUAUGUUUCGAUCAUCUUUUCAAGAAUUUUUUUUUAUAUUUUUAUUAGCUGUCUCAACUGCCUUAUUCAUUUUUGGACGGUAUGGCACCGAGUUAUGACACUUGAUCUUAUAUUGGGCACAUAUUUCUUGCAUCAUCUUACUAUUUAGAUUCUUGACAUUGUUUGAAAUGAUUUUCUUUGAAAGUUCAUAUCUAUAAAUGAUCUCUCUUUUUAUGAACCUACAAACCAUAGAUCAUGUUACAUUUGCAUAUGAUGCUACCUUCACCCAUUUCGUGAAGUAAUAUAUCAUCAUAAAAAUAAAUCUAUACCCAUUAGAAGUCUUUGGGGUAAUAGGACCAAUGACAUCUAUGCCCCAUAUCGAGAAUGGCCAGAAUGGUGUCAAAACAUGUAAAGUAGAUGACAGAGCAUGGAUCUUGUCAGCAUAGAUCUAACAUUUAUGACAUUUGUGAGCAUAGUCAAUACAAUCACUUUCCAUUGUCAAUCAAUAGUACCCUACUCUCAUGAUCUGUCUUACCAUCAUAUGUCCAUUAGCAUGUGCCUCAUAUAUUCCAUCAUUCACCUCUUCAAUGAUUUUCCUUGCCUCUGCCUUAUUUACACAUCUUAGUAAUACUUGAUCAUGAUUUUUUUUUUAUAGAAUAUCUCCAUUUAGGAAAAAGAUCAUAGUUAAUCUUUGGAUGACCCUUUUAUCAUUCUUCGUUGCUUGGAUUGGGUAUUGCUGGUUCUUAAUAUAUUGUAAGAUAUCAUAAUACUAGAGCUUUCCAUCCUCCUCAUCUUUUAUAUUAGAGUAGUGCACUGGCAUAUCUUUGACAUCUAACUUGAUAGGCUGAAUGUUAGUAUUAUUACUAAUUCGGAUCAUUGCAGCCAGAGUAGCCAAGGUAUCAGUUAUCAGAUUCUUCUUUCGAGGUAAAUGAUUAAACUGGACAUCUUCAAACUAUUUUAUCAACUCUAAAAUAUACUCGUAAUAUGGAACGAGUUUUGAAUCUCUUAUCCCCAUUCUUUUUUCAAUUGAUAUGUAACUAGAGUUGAAUUCUCAAACACUUUUAAUGCUUUAACUUUUUUAUCUAUAGCAGCUUGUAAACCCAUGACAUAUGACUUAUAUUCAAUGAUGUUAUUUGUGUAAUUGAAAUUUAAUCUCGUUGUUAUAAGGUAGUAUUAUUCUUUUGAAGAGAUCAGAAUUGCUCUAAUGUCAUGUCAUAAGGCAUUGGCAGCUCCAUCGAAAUACAUAUUCCAACACUUCCCUUUAUGCUCUUUUUUCUCUAAUUGGGAAACAGUCAUCAGAUCUUCAUUGAAAAGCUCUAAUCUCAUUGGUUCGUAUUUUUUAGCAACACGAUCUGUAAAAAAUUCAGUUGUAACACUCAUUUUUAUCACCUUUUAGCUUACAUAUAUGAUAUCAUAUUUUGAGAGCAUCACUUGCCAUCUAGCAAUUCUCUCAAACAAAAAAAGUUUUUUGAAGAUGUAUUUAAUUGGAUCCAAUUUUGAUAUAAGCCAAGUGGUGUGAUAGAGCAUGUAUUGUUUGAGUCUUUUGGCAGUCUAAAUUAAUGCAUAACAUAUUUUUUCCAAAGAAGAAUACUUAGAUUCAUAUUCGAUGAAUUUUUUACUCAAAUAGUAAAUAACUCUCUCUUUUUGACCAUAUUACUGCCCCAACACACAUCCCAUUGAAUUUUCAUAUACUGUCAGGUAUAAAAUUAAGGGUUUCCCUGAAACAGGUGGCACCAACACUGGAAGAUUUGAUAAAUAUUGCUUAAUUUUAUCAAAAGUCACUUAGCAUUCCUCAUUCCAUUCUUCAAGAUUAUUCUUGUGGAGAAGCUUAAAAAUAGGAUCACAUUUAUAAGUAAGCUAAGAUAUGAACCGUGAAAUGUAGUUCAAUCUUCUCAGAAAACUUUAAACUUCUUUUGGUGUACUUAGAGGUGACAAAUUUUGAAUGGCCCAUAUUUUGUCUGGAUUGACUUCAAUCCUUUUUUCACUGACCAUAAGGCCUAGCAACUUCUCUAACUUUAUCCCGAAGGUGUACUUAACUAGGUCAACUUGAGUUGGAAUUUCCCCAAUCUCUCAAAUAGCUUUCUGAGGUUGGUGACAUGAUCUUCGUCUUCUCGAGAUUUUGUAAUCAUAUUUUCCACAUACACUUCAAUCUCUUUACGCAUCAUGUCAUGAAACAACAUCACCAUAGCUUUUGGUAUGUUGCCUUAGCAUUCUUUAACCUAAAAGGCAUGACCUUGUAACAAAAAUUUUUUCACACGGUCAUGAAAGUGAUUUUUCCCAUAACAUCUGCAAUCAUUUUUAUCUGAUUAUACCUUGAAAACCCAUCCAUAAAGGAGAACAUUGAAUGCUUUACCGUGUUAUCUACCAGUGUGUCGAUAUGAGGUAAAAAAAAGUUAUCCUUUAGGCUAGCCCUAUUCAAAUUACAAUAGUCUACACAUAUUCAUACCUUUUUAUCUUUUUUAAAAACUGGUACUAUAUUGUCUACCCACUCUGGAUACUUAGCCACUUGCAAGAAACUUACAUCAAACUAUUUUUUUUACCUAUUCUUUGAUUUUUAGUAGGAUUUUAAGCUUUAUUCAUCUCGAUUUUUAUUGGACUGGCUUACAUUCUGGCUUUAAAGGUAAUCUAUGCUCUACUAUCUCUGUACUCAGUCUUGAUAUAUCCUGGUAAGACUAAGCAAACAUAUAUAUGAAUUUUUGAAGUAAAUCUUCCAAGCAUUACCUAUCUUCUGAUGAAAGUAAAGUGCCAAUUCUAACCUCUUUCUUAUUCUCCCCAUCUCCUAGAUUCACCAAGUCAGUUAUCUCCUGAUAAGGCUCAAUUGACUUACUUUCUUAUUCAAUCAAUCUCAUUAGGUUCGAAGGUAUAACAUACUUAGAAUCAUCUUCAUUGUCAAGUUCAUCAGUGUUAAUUGAAUUUUCAAAACUAACCUAUUGAUUGUUAUCAUAAUUAUCUUCUUGUUUAUUUAAAGAUUUGAAAUUGAAUAAAAUGGGAUAUAUUAGCAAGAUGUGUUUAGAAAAAUAAAAAAAAUGGCAAUAAUGAAGGCAUAAGAAGAAAUGAAUGAAAAUGUAUCCUUCAUAAUCUUUAUUAAAAUAAUAAAAGAUAAAUGGUCCAAACAAAAAAGAUCACCAUAAUGCCUUGGGCAAUAGCUAUUGGGAUGUACAAUUACAUUGAAUUAGUCUCAAGAGUAAAAGGUAUUUCAAUGGUAUUCCAAUUGUUCAGCUCAAAAUCUGGUGGAAAAAGAUGGACCCACCCUUCUUGUUCAAGCCUUGUUUUAUCUUCAAUAGAAUGGAUGGUCAACUGGGUGAAUGCCUCUUCCAUACUUUCUUCUGCAUUUGGGUACAUGAAUCUUUCAGGCCUGAAAGUCACAUAUAAGUGUGAGAUGAUCAUUAGUCUUGUCAUUUUACCUAUUAGUCUUCUCUUAAUCUCUUAUUCUUCUACUUUAUAGUCGAGGCCUAGCCUUUCACUGUUGUCCACCACUGUUGCGGGCUCUUUUAUUCCUUGUAAGUUCUUGUCCAAUCCUACUCUUGGAUACUAACCCUUAUUAAUGACUUGACACAUCACUAUCUUUGAAAAAGGUUGACUUUUAAAUCCUUCACCCACAGAGUUGACUAACUCAAAAGAUCGAUAAGAGCAUUCCAUUGUUUCCUCAAUGACUUUCACAUAUAGAGCAUUCAAUGGUUAGGUCACUAGCAUGUCCUCUUCUCCAAACAUUACCAUUAACAUGCCUUUCAUAUUGAACUUAAUUUUUUGGUGUAGAGUAGAAAGAAUAACCCUGUCAUGUGAAUCCAUGACUUUCUUAGCAGAUAACUAUAAGCUAGAGAGAUAUCUAUUACUUGAAACUUUACAUUAAAAGUGUAUAGCCCAAUUUACAAAGGCAUCUCGAUAUCUCCAAGUACUUCUCUUUUAGUCCCAUCAAAAGCUUGGAUGAUCAUUUGGCUAUUUUUCAUAUGAGAAUAAUCAAUGGGUAACCUUGCCAAAGUUAACAUAAGUAUAACAUUAAUAGUAGAGCCAUUAUUAAUAAAGACCUUGGCUAUGAUAUAACUCUUGCAUUUGAUCAUGAUAUACAAAGCCUUGGCACCUCUCCUUUCUUCUGAGAAAAUCUCAUCAUCACUGAAUGAAAUAUAAUUUGGCAUGACUAGAUUUCUAGCUAGGUGGUUCACAUAUUCAAUAGAUACAUUAUGUGCCACGUAUGCUUGGUUCAACACUUUCAACAGGGCAUUUUGAUAUGGUUCUGAGUUUAACAGUUAUGAUAAUAAUGAGAUUUGUGCUGACAUUUUAUUCAACUAUUUAACAACUGAAUAUUCACUAUGUUUUACCAGCUUUUAAAAAUUCACAAGCUUCUUUUUCUGACACUGACUUCGAACGAUCCUCUUUAGGUUCCACUUCAGGGUUGUUUCGCUCUCUCCUACCUUGGCUUUUUCUCUUAUAGCCUUCUCUAAUAUUUUUGGAGUGUAGCAUCUUUUACUUCGGGUAAUGCCUCUUACACCAGUUAUAUUGGAUGAGUCAGUCUUAGAAGCAUUCUCCUCUUGUCAUUGAACUACUAUAUCGCAGCCAUAUUUCUAAGGUACGGCUUUAUCAUUUUUAUAUAGGAAUGAAGUUGAAACUUUAAAAGUUACCAACAUGGGAAUGAGUUUGUUUAUGACUAACUUUGGCUUGUUCCUAUAGUGAAUUAUUACCGACUUUGGAAAUAGUUUUACAAGCUUGUCAGUCAUGGAUAUUUCAACACUCUUUAAGUCUUCGUUUUCUUCAUAGACUUUCAUCUAGUAUGAAUCCAAGAGCUUUUGUACCUCUUGGCGAAACUACUCAUAAGUUUUGAUAAAGUGACCAAUUAUCCCACUAUGAUAUUUACAACUUGUGCCUGCUAUAUAUGCCCUACGAUAACAGUGUGAACUUAUUGGUUGUAUCAAUCAGCUUUCAUAAAGCAUCAAACAGAUGAUUAAAAGGUACCGUAAUAUCUGCCACUUUUUUCUUCAAAUGGUACUCAUGUUUCUCACUCAAAGCAUUCAUAUUGUGAUUAGGCAAAGGAUUACCACUAACAUUUGGUGCAGUUACCCCUAUAGUAUCGAAGUUAAUCAUCCCAUCCUUGAUUAACUGUUGCACUUUAUGUUUUAAGGUAGUGCAAUUUUUGGUAGAAUGACCAACAAUCCCAUAGUGAUAGUCAUAAUAGGUUAUGGGAUCAUACCAGUUAGGGUAAGACGGCUUGAGUGGCUUUAGUUUGUUGGAGCAAUCAGAUGAUUGUUAUAAAGCUCACGAUAUAACUUUGUAUAAGUCAUGGAAAUUGGGUCAAAUACAGGCUUUUCGUGAGUAUUUCGUUGCUCUCGUAAUCCACUCAUUGGGCGAGCUGGACAAGUUUGAGGUCUAAAGGUAGGUUGGGUAUUAGGACUAUACGUGGUAUUUUAAGGCCUAAAAAAGGGUUGAUAUGUUUGAGGAUAAGAUAACUGUGGGAUAGUUGAUAUGGGUAAGGGGAAAUGUUAUUCACGGUAGGAUAAUAUGAAAAGUAUCCUUGUGAUGGGUAAGGUUGAUAACCUUUGAAUUGUUGCCUAUCAAAGCUCACAGCUUGAGCUUCAGUCUCUUUUUUUUUUGGGGCUCUUUUACUUGAUACCUCCUUUUUUUCUAACUUGCUAUUCUUAAUGGCACUCUUAAUAAUUUUUCCUGAAAUCACCAAGUCUAUGAAACUCUUGGUUUCAUUUCCUGUCAUAUUUUCAUAAUAGGGAGAUUUUAGAGUGUUGACAAACAGCACUGUAGUUUCUUUUUUGGUUAGAGGAGGUUGUAUUUGAGAAACUACAUCCCUCCAUCUCUGAGCAUAUUCCCUAAAAGACUCAUUUGCCUUUUUCUCUAGGUUUUGUAAGGACAAACGAUUAGGAGCUAGAUCUAUAAUAUGUCAAUAUUGACUUAUAAAGUUAUGGGCCAUAUCGUUCCAAGAACAGAUGAGGGUUCUGUUUAGUUGGACAUACCACCUAGCAGCGGUGCCCGUAAGGUUAUCUUGAAAAACAUGCAUUAAUAGUUUUUCAUUAUGUGUAUGGGUUACCAUAUUUUGACAGUACAUGGUGAUAUGAAUCUUUGGGCACUUUGUACCAUUAUAUUUUUUAAAUUUUGAUACUUUAAACUUUAGUGGAAUGACCACAUCUGGGACUAAGCAUAGCCCAGCAACAUCGAUAGAACCAUAAUAUCCAAUUCCUUCUAUAGCUCGUAACUUUUGUUCAAGCAUACUAAUCUUUGAAUCUUCUUGAGAUUUCACCACCUUUGCCUUUUCUUUCUCUUUCUCUUUCAAGACAUCAAGAUCAGGAACUUGGAUUAGUUAUACUACUUUUUCAAUAAAAAUAGGAUUCACAUAACUAUGGUAAUGUCCAGGAUUUGAAACUGAUUAAAGUCGAGUAUUCUUCAAUAGUUGAUGUCAUAUCAACUUCAUUAAAGAUGAAGCACUUGUAUGCAGGAUCCCAGAAUUGUGCUGCAGUUCUAAUUAGUUGAUUAUCGACAUUUACUUCAAGAAGGUGUGCUAUAUGCCCAUGUCUCUGGCAAAACUCUUUUUAUUUUAAUAGACUCAUCUUCUUCCAUAUAUCAACCAAAUCCUCUAGAUUGUUUUGUUUGAAAAGGAUAGAUAUCUCUUGAGACAAAGUAAAAGCAUAUUUGAUUGGUAAAUAGUCACCCAUUUUUAGUUGAAUCUUUUUUGAUUAGACCUUUACUUCGUUGGGUGACUCACAAGGAGCUAAUACAGACAAAGAGCAAACUAGUCAUUUUGUGAAGUCCAUGAAAAACUUGUUGUUGAAAAAAGUCUUUCAGGCAAAUAUUCUUUAUGCAACUUUAUGAUAUGAGUAUGGAGCAUGCAAACAUGAAUAAGAAAGGAGGUUAGUAUAUCAAAUAAAGGAGAUAAACAAAUUAAAACGUCACACGCAAUAAGAAAAAUGAAUCCUAUGCUUUUGGUCAAUUCUAAUGGGAAGAAGAUAGCUCUAUCUAUAGGUUAGGCAUUUCUAAGGUUCAUUAUAUGUGGUUCGAGGUUAAAGUCUAAAGGUUCCUAAAUUGCUCCUUAUAUCAUCAUCCAUUACAGACUAGUAAGGCACUUCAAUCCUUACCUAUUACAGGCUAUAAAAGGAAAAUGUUCAAUUUGAAUAGGAGUAUUUCACUAGCUAUUGUAGAAGCAUUAAAACCUCAUGAAAGCAAUAGGUACUUUACACCCUCCUAAAGGGAUGGAGCUCGGGUAUAGAGCUCAUGUUAGGCACAUGCAUAUGAAUGAUAGAAUUAACAAAGUAAAUAAAUAUGAAUGAAUAAAAAAUCUAUACAAAAGGUUUAAUUUUAUUAGGCUUUUGGAUAACACAAAUUUAUUUGCUAGCAUGACUCUUGGAUUCCCCAGUGGAGUUACCAAACUAUCAUAAUAUCUAGAUCCGAGGAUCUAUCGCUAGACAUUGACUUGAGGCGUCGCCACCAAUCUUUUUUGUUUAGAUGCGAUUGGUCACCUAAGGAAUCUAUCAUUUCAAGGAACACCUAAGCUUGAUUAAGGGUCUCUAAAAGAAUAGGUUCAGGUCUAUUAACCAGAAUAGGGUUCGAGAGUUUGGUUACAUGAGAGGAAGGUUAUAGCACCCUCAUAAUACCCAUUAAAAGAUAAUACUAGCUUAAUUUUGUGUUAUCCGAUAAGCCUUAAAACUUUUACUAAGUAAUUAAUUAUUGGAAAUUAUUCUUAAUUAACUUCAAUACUUUUGGUAAAAAAUUAAGAAAAUUUUCUCACCUCAAAGGUAUGCAAGAAAACUACUGUUUCACUUGCAGAGACUCCAUUGUCGAAUUAUUUAACAUUUAAAAAAAAUUCAAGAAAAGAAAGAAAAAAAGAAUAAAAUAAAAAGGAAUAAUGAUUCAACUCUUGAUAUAAAUCCUUUUAUUUUCAUAAAAAAAACUCAUUGCUUUUGUACAAGGAAAAUUGCUACUUUCAACUUUUCCUUAAAAAUUUUUCUUGAUAAUUUUUAUUUUUAAGAAAAAUUGGUAUUUCCAACUUUUCUUCAAAAUGUUUUUUUUGAAAAUUUAAUUUUAAGAAAAAUUGAUACUUUCAAUUUUUCCUCAAAAUACUUUUUGAAAAAUUUAUUUUAAAAAUUUUACUUCCAAGGAAAAUUGAUACUUUCAACUUUUUCCCAAAAAUAUUUAUUUUUGAAAUUUUAAUUUUAAGAAAAAUUGAUACUUUCAACUUUUCUCCAACAAGUCUUUUUUUUUUGAAAUUUUUAUUUUAGGAAAAUCAUUAAAAAAAUUAAAUUAAAUUAAAAUUAAGGAAUACCAAAUAAUUCUAUUUUUAAAAUAAUAAUAAUAAUAAUAAUAAUAAAUAAAAUAAAUAAACCUUGAGGCAGCUUGACUCAACAGCUGGAAUUGGCUUGGCUCCAAGAAAAAAAAUGGCUCGAAGGUGAGGUUCGGCUCGACUGACACUCGGUCAGACGCGGGUCAAAAGCGAGCUGACGCUCGGGUCAGGUCGGAUCUUGACAAAACGCGCGGAUCCUCUUGGACUUUAAACAUAAAAGCAACGUUGUUUUUGGACGGUAUAAAAGGCUCCAACCUUCUGGUCGUUCGUAGAUUGCUUUUUCCUUAUUUCUCUCCUCUUUCUUUAUCUCUUCCUUCUCUCUAAAAGAUCCUAGAUUUCAGUUGAAUGUUCUACCAAAAUCUGAAAAAACACGUCGAAAACUUCAAAGUUGGCCGAAAAAUUCGUUGAAAAAUUUAAGUACCAUUGAAAAAUUCACUAGAAUCUGAAAAAUUUCAAGAAAUUUUCCAAAAAAAAAAAAUGCUGAAAUCUUCAAAAAUUUUCCUAAAAAUUCUAGAGCUGCCUUUCAACUUUUUUGCUUUUGUUUUCUCUCCAUUUUUUUUUUUGUCUAUUCUGUGUGAUCUAUGGACCUAUUUAUAAGGAUUGAUCAGAAGAGUUUCUAAUCAAUCCCAAUUCUCUCUGGGAUUUAGAUUCAAUCGUUGAAUCCAAUCUCAACUCUGUCAGCCCUCAAAUUCACGACAGAAUACAUUCUAAUUUUUUCUGAUCCUAAUUCCAACCAAAAAUUGAUCAAGAAAAAGAUAAAGUAAAAAAGUAGAUAAAAAUACAUAUACUAAUAGAUAAUAAAUAAAUAAAUAUAUUAAUAGAUAAAUAAUAAAAAAUAUUAAUAGAUAAAUAAUAAAUAAAUAAAAAUAAAAAUGCAAAUGGGCUUACCCAUUUGGACCAGGCCCAAUUAAUUCGGACUUCGACCAAUUUGGGUGUCUACAGCUGAUGCCCAAAAGUAUUGGGAUGGUCUUUUAUGUACAAGCCUUUUAUUAGUUAUUAUCUCAAUAAAAGAAUAGAAGUAUACAUUUUUCUUCAUUUGUUCUAUUCAAUUUUCAUUUUUUAUCUAGUCAAAACAUUUUUCCAAUACUUUCCAUUUUAUUUAAUUUCAGGUCCUCAAAUUAAUACGAAGAUAAUCAUCAUAACAAUUAGAAAAUUAAUUUUGAAAACUCAAUUAAUGCUGAUGAACUUGACACCAAAGAUGACUAUAACGAAUGCACUUUACCUUUAGAUCUAAAGAAAUUGAUUGAAUAGGAGAAUAAAUCUAUUAAGCCUCAUCAAAAAAUCACUAAGAUGAUAAAGUUAGGGGAUGAUAAGAAUAAGAAAGAAGCCAAGGUUUGCUUAUCACUUCCAUCAGCUGAUAGAUAAAGUUUAAAAGAUCUACUUUAAAAAUUUAUAAAUGUGUUUGCCUGGUCCUAUCAGGAUAUGCCUAGUUUAGCACCAAAAUAGUGUAGCAUAAGUUACCCUUGAAACCUAAAUGUAAGCCUAUUCAACAAAAAUUGAGAAAAAUGAAACCUAAAAUGCUAUUAAAGAUUAAAAUAGAAGUAAAAAAUAGUUUGAUGUAGGCUUUCUACAAGUGGCCAAAUAUCUUGAGUAGGUAGCUAAUAUAGUAUCUGUUCUUAAAAAAGAUGAAAAAAUACGAAUGUGUGUAGAUUAUCGUGAUCGAAAUAAGGCUAGCUUGAAGGAUAAUCUUUCUUUACCUCAUAUCGACACAUUGAUGGAUAAUAAGGCCAGGCAUUCAGCAUUCUCUUUUAUGGAUGACUUCUUAAGUUAUAAUUAGAUAAAGAUGGCCCAAGAUGACAUGAAGAGAACUAUAUUCGUAACCAUAUGAGGUAUUUUUUGUUACAAAGUUAUACCUUUGGGAUUAAAAAAUACCAAGGUAAUUUAUCAAAGGGUUAUGGUAACACUCUUCUAUGACAUGAUGCACAAGGAGAUUGAGAUGUAUAUGGAUGAUAUGAUCACAGAAUAUAGUGAAGAAAAAGACCAUGUAACUAACCUCAAAAAGUUGUUUGAGAGGUUAAAAAAGUUUCAACUAAAGUUAAAUCCAUCUAAAUGCACAUUUGGAGCUAAGCCAAGGAAAUUGCUAGACUUCGUGGUUUGUGAAAGAGGGAUUAAAGUUGACUCAAACAAGAUACGAGCCAUUCAAAAUCUAUUUCUUUUAAGCAUGCCAAAGGAAGUUUGAGGUUUUUUAGACAAAUUGAAUAACAUUUCUUGAUUCAUUUUUCAACUUACCUCCAAAUGCAAUUCCAUCUUUAAACUCUUUCAAAACAACAAUCCUGUUGAGUGAAAUAAAGAGUGUCAAGAGGCUUUUGAUAAGGUUAAGUGGUACCUGUCAAAUUUUCUAGCGCUGGUAUCAUCUCUUCUAGGGAAACCGUUAAUUUUGUAUUUAACUGUAUAUAAAAAGUCAAUAGGAUGUGUGUUUGGGCAGCAUAAUAAAUCUAGUAAAAAUGAAAAACCUAUUUACUACUUAAGCAAGAAGUUCAUGAAAUAUGAGUCCAAGUAUUCAUUAUUGGAGAAAAUGUGUUGUGUUUUAGCUUUGAUAGCUAAAAACCUCAGGCAGUACAUGCUUUACCAUACCACUUGGCUUAUAGCCAAAUUAGACCCAAUCAAGUAUAUUUUCAAGAAAUUGUCAUUGUUUAGAAGGAUUGCAAGAUGGCAAAUAAUGUUAUCAAAGUAUGAUAUUGUGUAUGUAAGCUAAAAACCAAUCAAAAUAAGUGUCAUAGCAAAAUUUCUUAUAGAUUAUAUUAUUGAAAGCUAUGAGCCAAUGAAACUUGAUUUUUCAAAUGAAGAACUAAUGGCCAUUUUUUAGCCAUAAGAAAAAGAUGAUAAUCAGAAAUCCUAAAAAUGUACUUCAAUGAGGUUGGUAAUACCUUGAGGCAUAAAAUUAGGACAAUUUUGGUAUCUCUCAAAGGAUGUUAUUAUCCCGUUAUGGCAAGGUUGAACUUCAAUUACACUAAUUAUGUGGCAAAAUACGAGGCCUAAGUCAUAGGUUUACAAGCUACUUUGAAUAGGAAAAUUAAAGUAUUAAAGGUGUUCAGGAAUUCAACUUUAAUCUUUUAUCAAUUGAAAAGAGAAUGGGAGACAAAAGAUUUGAAACUUAUUCCAUAUCAUAUAUAUAUAUAUAUAUCUUAGAGUUAUGCAAACAGCUUAAGGAAGUUCAAUUUAAACAUUUUUCCUGUGAAGAAAAUCAAAUUGUAUAUGCCCUAGCUAUUCUAACAGUGAUAAUUCGGGUUAAUAACAAUACUGAGAUUUAGCCCAUUAAGUUAGAUAUCCAAGAUAUGCUAAUACAUUGCACUAAUGUGAAAGAGAAAGAAGAUGGAAAACCUUGGUAUUAUGACAUCCUAUAAUACUUAAGGAAUCAGUAACACCUAGAUCACGUAACAGAGAAUGAUAAGAGAGUCCUGAAGAGAUUGGCUAUGGUUUCUUCCUAGAUGGUGAUGUCCUUUAUAAAAGAAGUAGAGAUAAGGUGUUAUUGUGAUGUGUAAUUAUAGUUAAGGUAAAAAAGAUUAUUAAGGAUGUGCAUGAUAGGGUAUAUGAAGCAUAUGCAAAUGGACACAUGAUAACAAGAUAGAAUAUAAGAGCUGGAUACUACUAGUUAAUAAUAAAGAGUAACUGCAUUGAUUAUGUUCAUAAGUGUCAAAAGUGUCAGAUUUAUGCUAACAAGAUCUAUGCUCCAUCAAUUACUUUACAUGUUUUGGCACCACCUUGGCCAUUAUCUAUAUAAGGCAUGGAUGUUAUUGGUCCUAUUACUCUAAAAGCAUUAAAUAAAAAUAAAUUCAUUUUUAUGAUGAUUGAUUAUUUUACUAAAUUAGUUGAAGCAUCUUUAUAUAUGAAUGUGACAUGAUUAGUGGUCUGCAAGUUUAUAAAAGAAAAAUAAUCUACAGAUAUGGACUCCGAAAAAGGAUCAUUUCAAAUAAAGCUAAGAAUUUAAAUAGCCUAUCAAAUGUUAGUACAUAUCUCUACUAGGGCAACCCUAUUUUUCUUGGAUUAUGGGAUAGAGGUUGUAUUACUAGUUGAAGUAGAAAUUUCAUCUUUCAGAGUCUUAAAAGAAGUGGGAUUAGAAGAAACUGAAUAGAUUCAAGAGCGCUAUGAAUAACUAAACUUCAUUAAAGAGAAUAAGCUAUUAAUGCUAUGUUGCGGUCAAUUAUAUCAGAGAAUGAUGAUGAGAGCUCAUGACCAGAAAAUCUAUCCUCAUCAAUUUUGAGGAGAAGAGUUGGUGUUGAAAAGAAUUUUCCUAAGUUAGAUGAUAAUAGAAGAAAGUGGACCCCAAUUGGAAAAGGUCAUAUGUGGUAAAAAUGGCUUUUUCAGAUAAAAUAUUAAUUUUAACAAAGAUGGAUGGAGAUGAUCUUCCCAAUCCCAUAAAUUCUAAUGCUAUGAAGAAGUACUUUACUUUAAAAAAAAAGUCUGAACUGAAAACUCAAAAGGGCAAUUUAAACCGAAAUUAGGUUUAUUCAAGUUUAAAAAAUGUAAAGGCAACUUGGAUAAAGAGAGUAAAGCAUCAUUUGAGAGGUUCACCAACAUGAAAGCUAGUAUAUUUUGAAGAUCUCUAAAGCACUAAGGGCAUUGUAUGGUUGAGUUUUUGAAAAAAAUCUAAUAUAUGUUGUCAUAAUUAUUUGAUUGUAUAUCUUGAGGGCAUUGUUAACCCAAAUAGCCAUCAUUAUGUACCUUUACCAUGUCCAAUUAGCCACCAAUUAUAGUCUGGCUUCUUUUCCAAAUAAAGAUAUUCAUUUCAUUAUUUUUAUCUCAUUUUCAAUCAUUGUCAUUUUUUUAAAUUAUUUGCAAUGAAUAGAAGAAAUGUUUGAUUUGCAUCUUGUAUGUCUUGAAAAUAGGAUAAUGAUUGAUAAUUAAAUAAUAUCAUGAAAGAAUAUAUAUUACUUUAGAGAGAGUGAAAGAUACAAAGGCAAAAGCUAAAACUUUCAAAACCUGGUAAGGACAUUGAUUUAGGAAAGAAAAGAAAACAAAAUUCCCCUAAAGAGAAAGGCAAGUGCAUACUUUGAACAAUGAAAAAUAGAGCUUAUUUUGUUCCCAUUAUUGGAAACUUGAAGAGUUUAGAAUUCAAAAGAAAAAGUCUUGAGAAUCUAUGUACCACAACUGAAAGUUCAUUAAUUAUCAUUUGCACUGCAUACAUUGCAUAUAGGGAUAUCCUUUCCAUUUAUCUAGAGUAAGGAUGUCAUAAGAUCCAAUAUAAAGAAUGUGAAUCCAAAGAUUUCAAAUUCUUAAUGGAGAAAGAAAUUUUUAAGGUAAGAUUUUUUAAUCUUCAAAGAAAAAGCUUUUCAAAAUCUUUGAACCUCUGAUUAGAGGACUCUAGUUUAAAGUUAUUUAACCUCUGUAUAAAGGAGCCUAUUUCUUAGUUUAAAGUUGUUUAGUCUCUAAAUAGAGAAGCUCAUUUCUUAAUUUAAAGUUAUUUAGCCUCUGUGUAGAUGAGCUUAUUUCUUAAUUUAUUAGCCUAUGUAUAAAGGAGUUUAUUAUGCCUCUGUUUAGAGGAGUUCGUUAAAAUUUUUCAAAAAUUGCAAGCCUCUUUUUAGAGGAUUUUUUAAAAAUUGCUUGAGUUGAUCCAGACUCAAUGGUUGCCUAAUUCUUUGUGUCAUUCUUAUUUCACAGAAAUGUGCAAAAAAAGGCAACCGUAGACACGCCAUUUUGUGCCUGUAAUUGAACUUCAGUUUAGGUUUUUUGGGCUUUCAAGGUGUCUAUCGAGCCUAUAAAUUGGUGUGGGGCCUUAAACUGAUUAUGGGCUUUAAGCCAGUAUGGGGUACCUUUUGAUAUUUGGGCUUUGAGUCCACUUUAUAAUUGCACUUAUGUUUUAAUUAAACAUUAAUAAAAAAAUUAAUUUAAAAACGAUAAAAAAAAGGAAACAAAAUCAAGAAUUUUUGGAAGAUCAAUCCUGAAAUCAUGAUUGAAUAGAAUUGGAAACAAAUCAAAAAUAAAAAUCGUUGACCAGAAUCAAAUUAAAACCCAAGAUCAAACUAUGAUUUAGAAUGAAUUUGUUUAUGGUAGAUUCGAUCUUAAAUACUGGAACCCUAAAAUUUUUUACUAGAAAAUCCAUAUAAAUCAUGCUCAAACCCAUAAAUACAUACACAGAGAUUAGGCAAAAGCUACAAAGAGGAAAUUUUUUUGCUAGAAAAAAGGGUUAUAGACACUCAUUUGAGUCCGAGGUCCAUUGCAUUAAUUUUUAUUUUUUUUGCCACUACUGUUAUGUUACCACACUAUUAUUAUAUUACUACUAUACUAUUAUUAUAUUAUUAUAGUAUUAUAUUAUAUUAUUAUAGUAUGUUGAUAUUAUAUUACUAUUAUUAUAUCAGUAUUAUAUUAUAUUAUAGUAAAUUAUUAUAUUAUAUUAGGUUAUCAUAUUAUGGUUAUUAUUAUUAUUAAUAUUAUUAUAUUUGAUAUUAUUAUUACUUUUAUUAUUUUUAUCAGAUUUUUUUUCUUUUUUUUCUGAUGGGGGUUGAACAAAUUAUGGAAACCAAAAUCGAAUUGGUUAGUCAAAGGUUUAAUGCACAAUCAUGUCUAGAUAAUAGUUGAAUUCAAUGGUGAUCAAAUCAGUGAACAAAAUAAUGCUCAGGUAGAAUCUAAUCCCAAGAUUUAAGCUUGGCAUUGAUUCUAUUUGUUUUUAAAAUCUAUUCUAAGGGGGCCUAUAAAUUUAACAAGAAAUCAAAAGAAUGACAGAAAAAAAAAGUAGUGAAAAAGCUAGGGUUAUUAUUUUGGAAAUAAUUUUUGGGCAAUAAGGUUUUCUGGAAAAUUUUGGUCUUAUGGGAUUUGGAUUCUUGGGAGUUAUAGGUUUGAUCUAGAGUUUCUAGGUUUAGAUUUAGGAUUCUAAGAUAGGUUUAGAUUUUUUGAGGGAUUUCGAAGAAUUUGGGAAAAAUCUUUUUUUUUUUUGGAAAAUUUUGGAAUUUUGGAAGAAUAUAUGAAUUUUUUGAUGAAGUUUUUGGCGGGAGUUUGAAGCUUUCAGUGAGAUUCUAGCAAGAUUUUCAAAAACUGGCGAAGUUUUUAUAUUCUAAUUAAAUUUCUAGAUAGGUUUUUAGAGAGACGAGAGAGAGUUUUUGGGUUAAAGAGAAUGUGGGUAGAAGGUUUAUAAAGCUAAACGUAAAGGCUUAGCUUUUAUACUGGUAUAAAAUGACAGCGUUUUGAACAUUCCAAAUUCAUGUGUCUACCUGGCAACCCAUGUAAAGAUUCGUAUGCAGACCUAACCCAUUUUCAUAAGUGUCUUUUUUUUUUUUCAUUUUAUUUUUAUUUUUAUUAUUUUCUUAAGUUUUUAUUUUAUUUUCAAUAUUUUUUAUUUAAAUUUGCUAGUUUGCAAAAAAAAGAAAAAAAAUCUUUUCAAAAAUAAAAUAAAAAAGCUAAAGAAAAUAGUCCCUUCAAAUAAGUUUAAAAAACAAAGAAAUCGGUCUAAAAAAGAAAUCUUUUUUCCAAAUAAAUUUAUGGAAUCCACCAAAUUAUUGAGAAAUUUCAUAAAUUGGUUUUUUUAAAAAGAAAAAAAAAUAAUAGAAUAUUUUUCCUCUAAACUAUUGGAGGAUUUUUUUAAAAUUAAGUCUUACCAAAAUAUUGGAAGACUUAAUGAAAUUCACAAAAUUUUUGUAAAUCUUUUUAUUAUAAAAUCUCAUAAACUAUUAGGAGAUCUACCUCAAAGUAAAUCCUUUCAAACUAUUACGAGACUUUACUAAUUUUUUUGAAUAAAAUAUUAUAAUAAAUCCUAUGAUAAAGCCUCUUUAGAGUAUGACACUAGUCUUUAUGAAUACUGUUGAGAUGAGAGAAUUAUCUUAAAUUGCUACCAAACUAUUGGGAUAAUUUUAAGAUUAAUUUUUAAUAUUAAAUAAUUUGAUAAAUUACAAAUAUGAUCAAGGCUUGGAUAAUCUAAAAUUAAACUGGUACUAUCCUUUAGAUGGGUGCUUGAAGGUCUAUAGCAUUCUUCACAUGUAACCAUACUUUUGAACCUAAAAUCUAGUUUCACGGAUUAUAAUCUAUUUCAGGUGGCCAAUCACGCCUAAACAAAAAAGUUUGAUGGUGACUCCUUUAAUCUAUGUCUAGCAGUAGGUCUAUGGAUCUAUAUGUUAUGACAGUUUGGUGACUCCAUUGGGGAUAUCAAGAAUCAAGCCAGUCAAUGAUUGUUUAUUAUCUAAGCCUUGCUUAAUAAAUUUGAAAUUAUUUUUUAUUUUUCCUAUUUAUUUCUUUUUAUUGCUUAUACUUUUUUAUUUAUUUAUUUAUUUAUUAUAUUAUAUAUCUAUCAUUCAUUUGCAUAUGCAUAACAUAAGCUAUCCACAUGAGCUUUACCUUUAGGAGAGAAUGAAGUACCUAUGCCUUCGUGAGAUUUUAUGUCUCUGCAUGGGCCUGAGAAACAUGUCCACUCAAAUUGAACCAUUUCUGCUUGUAGCCUAUAAUGAGUAAGGAUCGGGAUGCCUUACUAGUCUAUGAUGGACAAUGAUGUAAGGAACAAUUUAAGAACCUUUUAAAGUUAACUCAAACCACAUAUAGUUAACUUUAAGAGCCCAAACAUAGGUAGAGCCACCUUUGCAGCCAAUCCAAAAUUCAAGGUCAUGCUGUUAUCUUACUUGCUAUAUGGUGCUUAUUUUAUUUUUUUUUAUUAUUAUUGAAGUGACUUACUAAUUUUCUUGUCUUCUUUUUAUUUCUUUUCCUCUUGUGCAUAUUCAUAAACAUACUCACAGAUUACAUAGUAUUUUUACCCUAAAGUCAUUUCAACAAAAGCUCCUAUGGACUUUACAGAACAUCAGGUUUGUGCCUCAUCUAUAUUGUUCAAAUGUGACUUGCCUAUAAAAUGUGAAACUAGAAUUAGAGAAGAGGUAGCAAGAAAAAUGAGAUUGUUUGCCACCUGGUCAUAUUUCCACAUUAUCAAAGGAAGUUUGCAUGUUCCUCAAACAGAAUGAUUUGAAAAGCCUAUCAGAUAUAUGGAAUAACAUGACUCCUUCAAAGUAGAAAGCUUUUUUUCAAAAGUUUGGGCAUAUUGCAUAUCUUUUAUCAAUGGAUAUUGAUAACUCACUAUUAAGGUGAUGGUAUAAUUUUAUGAUCCUUCUUAUCGUUGUUUCAUCUUUAAUAAGGUUGAUUUAGUGCUAAUGAUAGAGGAGUAUUCAACUUUAGUAGGUAUGCAUCUAUUAUAUUCAGAUAGAAUAUAUGUGAAAAAACAUAAAUUAGGAAAUCGCAAGAAAUUAAGCCAGAUUUUAGGAGUGAGAAAAAAGAUCAUAGAUUCAUACAUUCGAGAAAAAAGAUAUCAUAGAUGAUAAGAGUAUUCCAGGAAAAAUUCUCUAAGAUUUCAUUGUUAAAAAUUUGAAUAAUGAUUAGAGAAUGAAUGUGUUCACUCAGCCAUAUAUGAGAUGAUCAUCUUUCUCAAAGUCUUAGGCCGUAUUGAGAUAGAAGUGGUUGUUCUAUUUGAGUAGAUUAAAAAGGGGUGUAACAUUUCACCAACUAUCUUGGCAGAAACCAUCAGAUCUCUGAACUUUUGUAGACAAAAUGACAAGGCAAGAUUCAUAGGUUGCAUACCAUUACUAUAUCUGUGGAUGAAAAGCCAUUUCGAAUGCAAGAAGAGUGCUUUUUUCAAGUUUUUUUUUUGGUAUUCAAGUCCCAAUUAGGAAUUUCUCUAAGAGCAUCUGGCCACAAGCAAAGACUUAGAAAAGGUGAAAAUGUUUGUUAUAAAAACUCAUAGUCGGUCAGGUAAAAUGAUUAGCUCCAUGGAUGAAUCGAGAACCUAUGCUGUAUUAAUGUGGAGAUGAGACAGGGUUCCACUUUUAAAGUAUGUGGGUCAACGAGUUAUGCACCACAAAUGGUAAGGAGACAGUAUGAAGAUGAAUAGUUUACUCGUAUGACUUGUAAGCUCAGCCAAUUUAAUUGUUCAUAUGAGGAGCUCAGAACCUUUUAGAAGAUUGAUAAUAUGAUCAUGGCCUAGAAAAAGCCUAAAAAAGUAAGUCUUGUACCAUUUACUGAUAAAGCCAUUUAGGGGUAUUUGAUUUGGAGAACCAAAAGGGGCCAAAAAGUGGCAUUUAUACCUAAAGACCAUUACUAGCUAAUAAACUAGAGGUCAAACGAUGUGCCUCUAAAAUCAAAAUCUACAACGAAAGAACUUGAAGCAGAGAAAGAGAAAUUGAAAUAAGAACUUCUAAAGCUUUAGAAAGAAAAUGAAUAAUGGCAAAACAAAGCAAAAAAAAUUAGAAGUCCAAGUCCACAAGAUUUUCAAGGAAUAUAAUAAGGACCAAAAAGUUAUCCAAAAAUGAGAUGAUGCCCUUAAGGAAUUGAAAGAGUUACGAUAAGAGCAUAAGAGAUUACACAUAUAGGUGUAGGCCAAAGAGAUAAAUAACAUAGAUCUAGCUCGUGACAAUGAAGAGUUGAAAAAAGAAUGUGCACAAAUAGAAUAUGAUUAUGUUAAAGUUUAGUAAGAAAAUGAAAUGCUUUCAAAUUACAUUUUGACCUUGAAACUGAAGUUGGAUGACCAGAGAAACCAUGUUAAAACACUCAAAAAAAGCACAAAGAAUUAUCCUAUAAGGUGUGGUUCAACAAAAGAGAAAGGUUAUGAAGACAACGAUACAUAGAGCUUUUCACAGCUCAGAUAGGGAAAGCAGUAAUCAAGGUAGGUGAAUUGGCAUAAGAGGCUAAGGCAUUGAGAGCUUCAGUCACACCAACAGAAGAGUAUUGACAAAGAUUGCCAAACUUCAUUAAAGAGGCUAAAGACCAGUAUGAGCAAGUUAGGUGUUUUUAUAAAGGGAUAGUAUUAGAUUUGAUGUAAAAUAGACUCCGUGAAAUAAAUGAAAGUUUACUUUUGUUAAAAUUGUUAAAAGGCAAACAUUUUUCUUUUCUUUCAUUUUUUUCAUGCACUGCAUCACAUUCAUUCAUUGUCAUUUAUUGUCAUGACAUGAUCACUGAUUUUAAAUCAUGAUACUAAGGUACAAGAAUAGCUACACAUUCAUAUAGUACCUGACCUAAAGCUAAGAAGAUGGAGUAAGACAAUGCAAAUAAUCUUGAAAGAAUAGAAAAGGCUCAGUAAAUACUCAAAGGAAAAUUUAGUAAAAUUCUGGAAGCUUUGGAAAAAGAAAAUAGAGGAAAGGCAAUAGAGGAAAAUAUUUCACCUAAAACUACUGAAUCAACAUAUCCUCCAAGUUUUGGUCUACAUCAGACCCAAACUACCCUAAUUUUUUAACCGUAACAGCCAACCAUUCCAAAUUAUAACUAUUUGAGAAUGACUUAUGUACCUGAUCAUAAGAACAUCUAGAUUAUAAUAAUCUUAUUUUUGUCAAAAAGGUAACUGAACCCACUCAACUCCUUACUUUGGUAAGAUAAAGGAGAAAGAAAAGUUGCAAGCAGCUGCAUCUUUGGAAAAUCUUAAGACUAAUUAAGCCAUGAACAAGAUCAAAGAAAGAGUACGGGUUGUAAAAAGAAUUGAUUUCUAUGGAUCCAUGAAUACAAUAGGGCUUUAUUUAGUACCAGACGUGAUGAUACCUCUCAAAUUUAAAGUAACAAAUUUAAGAAGUAUGAUGAUACUAAGUGCCCCAUCACACAUAUCACAAUGUACUAUCACAAAAUGGUAGCACAUGAUAGCAAUAAGAAGCUAUUCAUACAUAUCUUUCAAGACAACUUGAUUGGAUCUACUGUAAAAUGGUAUGUGCAGCUGGAUGAAACCUACAUAAAGUCAUGACAAGAUUUGACCCGAUCUUUUAUUAAUCAAUAUCGCCAUAUCAUUGACAUGGCCCUUAAUCACUUUUCAUUGUAAGGUAUUGAAAAGAAAAAAUUUGAAUCCUUUAAGCAAUAUGCCUAAAAGUGACGGGAUGUAGCUACUUAGAUACAACCUUCCUUGAUGAAAAAAAAAUUAUAGUGCUAUUUGUGAGCACUCUAAAGUUGUCAUACUAUGAAAGAAUGAUAGAAAAUAUAACUAAAAACUUUGCUGAUAUGGUGAUUUUGAGAGAGGUCAUAAAAAAUACCAUCAAAAAUAGCAAAUUUAAAGGAGAAGAGUCUUACAAAAAAGUGUUUAAGAAGAAAAAAAUAAGACUUAAGUUGUGAGUCUUGAAAGGUAGUAAUUUAGAAACUACUUUCAGCCAACCUAUCCCAUAUAUCACAACAUUAUAAAUCAUACUUCCACUUCCCCCUACUAACCAACUUCACAACCUUUUUAUCCAUCAUCACCACAAUUACCUGCCUACCCAAUCGACAUAACAAGUAGUGCUCAUGAACCACGAACAAGGAAAAGACUCAUCUUUGAUCUUAUACCCAUAAGCUACAUAGAGUUAUAUCAAGAGCUCUAUAAAAACCACCUCAUUAACCCCAUUCCUGUAAAAUAACUUGAACCUCUAUAACUCAAAUGCUAUGAUGCCAUCAUCCAUUGUCACUACCAUUAUGGAGUAAUGACCAUUCUACUAAAAAUUACCUUUUUUUUAAGUAAAAAGUGUAACAUCUGAUUAAAAAAAGAUUGAUAAGUUUUUAUGCUAGUGCAAACUUAGCACCUAAUAUUAGCGAAAAUCUUUUGCCCAAUCAUACAAUUAAUGCCUUGGACAAAGACAAAAAGCACAUGAAAAGAAAGGUAGAGAAGUUUAAGAUGUCAUUCAACUAGCUGUAUGAUGCCUUAUAUAAGGCUGGGUUAAUACAACCAGUAACCCCACGUAUCUAUACAAGAAGAUACAUCCCUAAUCAAAGAUGUAAGUAUCAUAGUGGAGUUUUAAGCCAUUUUAUUAGCAUCUAUAAACAAUUUUGUGAUGAGGUGCAAAACCUAAUAAACUCAUACCAGAUAGAAUUAUAUAAAAAGUCAAAAGUCUUAAAAAAUAUUAGGGUGGCUAUGACAGACAGGUGCAUACCAAAACCUAUCACAUACACUAUAAUGAGAAGUUAUGAUCAAUUAGGAAUAAGUUUAUUCCCAAAGUAAUAGCUUUUAAAGUCCCACGCCUAUUUCCUUACAAAGAUGAGAAGGCUGUACCAUAGAGAUAUGAUUACGAGGUGAUAACCUAGGGGUAACAAAGUUAUGCCAAAGUUUGAAUCUGCUAACAUAAUAAAAUAAGAGGCAUAACUAGAAGUGAGAGAUGUUAUACUCUAAAAACCUUAAAAAAAUAAGAAAAAAUAAAAAAAAAUAGACUGAACCAGAAGAGAUUCCAAGGAAGUUGCCUCAAGGUCUAUGUAAAAAAAAGAGGCUUGUAAGUUUUUAAACCUAGUAAAACAUAAUGAAUACUCUGUGGUGGAGCAAUUGAAUAAGAUGCCAACUAGAAUAUCUCUAUUAUCACUUCUUCUAAACUUAGAACCACAUCGCAAUGCCUUGCUAAAGGUAUUGAAUCAGACUUAUGUGGCCCAUAACGUAUCCAUAGAGUAUGUGAAUUACUUCACAAAAAACUUUGUGGUGCCACAUUAUAUCUCUUUCAAUGAUGAUAAGAUUUCGCCUGAAGGUAGAGAGAGCACUAAGGCUUUAUACAUCACUAUUAAAUGUAAAAGCUAUAUAGUAGUCAAGAUUCUUAUUGAUAAUAGAUCGAUUAUUAAUGGCAUGCUCGUGUCCAUUUUAGCCAAGCUACCUUUUGAUUUGUCUCAUAUCCAAAAUAGUCAUAUGGUGGUCUGAGCAUUUGAUAAGACCAGACGAAAAGUUUUAGGGGAUGUUAAGUUACCUAUACAAAUUAGGCUGUAUGUCUUCAAUAUAAAAUUUUAAGUCAUGAAUAUCUUUCCAUCAUAUAAUUGCUUAUUAUUGCUUAUUGGGAAGUCCAUGGAUCCAUAAAACAGGUGUUGUCCCUUUCUCACUACAUCAAAAGAUCAAAUUCAAUGUGGAAAGAUAAUUGAUGAUUAUGACUGGAGAAGAAGUUCUAUUGGUGACACAACCUAUAAAUGCCUCAUAUGUAGAAGUGACAAAAAAAUCCUUGAAAUGCUUUUAUUGAUCUUUUGAACCCAUCAAUCUAGUAGGUGAAAGGCUUAAAUUCAAUUGGGUUAUGACUAAUCAGAUGAUUAACAAGGGUUGGAGUAUUGGGUUUGGCUUGGGCAAAAACCUUCAAGGGAUAAAAAAGCCUCCGAAGAUUGAAGACAAUAAUGGUCAAUUGGGAUUAGGUUAUGAGAAAGAGAAAAUACGAAGCAAUAGCAAAAAGAUAAAUAGUAAAAUAAUGAUUGUUUCCUAUCUAAAUAAAACUUUUAUUCCUAGAGGAUACAUACACUCGAGAGCGGAGGAAUAUAUAAAAAAAGAACCAAGAUAGAAGGAAGCUUUUGCCAAGUUAUCCAUUCAUAUGGUGGAUAAUGAAAGUCAAAAUGAGGAAGCUUUAGUUUACCCAUAUCCACCUGGCUAUGAACUAAAAAAUUGAAGGGUCAUCCAAAUGCCUGUUGUUUUUUAUAUUUUCUCAAUGUAAUCACAUCUCCUAAUUGUUUAUGCCUAUAAGUAUUGGGAUAAACUUUUAUGUUUGGGCCUUUUAUUUUUCAUUAUUUCAAAAAAAGUAUAAGCAUACAUUUUGUCCAUUUAUUCUAUUCCAUCAUUACCUAUCCAAGCAUUUCGUCAAUAUUCCUAUUUCAUUAACUUUUAGGUUCCCAAAUAAAUAUGAAGAUAAUCAUGAUAAUGAUCUGGGAUUUAAUUUUAAAUUUUCAAUUAAUACUGAUGAACUCGAUACUAAAAAAGACUCUAAAGAAUACACUUUUUUCCUCUAGAUUUAAUAAGACUAAUUGAACAGGAAGAUAAGUCCAUUAAGCCUCAUCAAGAAGUUAUUGAAAUGGUCAAUUUAGGGAAUGUCAAAAAUAAAAAAAAAAGUCAAAGUUGGCACUUCACUUCCAAUAAUUGAUCAUCAAAGGUUAGAGGAUUUAUUAUGAGAAUUUGUAAAUAUGUUUGCUUAGUCCUAACAAGAUAUACUUGGGUUUAGCACCAAAAUAUUAGACCAUAGGCUACCAUUAAAGCCUGAAUGCAAACCAGUCCAACAAAAGUUAAGAAGAAUGAAGCUAAAGAUGUUAUUGAAAGCUAAAGAAAAAGUAAAAAAACAAUUUGUUAUAGGUUUUUUGUUAGUGGCUAAAUAUCAUGAAUCGGUGGCUAAUAUAGUACCUAUCCCUAAAAAGGAUGAAAAAGCAUAGAUGUGUGUAGACUAUCCAAAUCUAAGUAGAGCUAGUCCAAAUGAUAAUUUUUUUUACCUUAUAUUGAUACUUUGGUAGACAAUAUGGCCCGACAUUUGAUGUUCUCUUUUAUGGAUGGAUUCUUUGGUUAUAAUCAGAUAAAAAUAACUUAAAAUGAUAUGGAAAAAACCACUUUCAUCACUAUGUGAAGAACUUUCUAUUACAAGGUCAUGACUUUUAGAUUAAAAAAUAUUAAAGCAACCUAUCAAAGAGUUAUGGUAAUACUUUUUCAUAAUAUGAUACACAAAGAUAUUGAGGUAUACGUGAAUGACAUGAUUAUAAAAUCUUGAAAAAACAAAGAUCAUGUAGCUAACCUUAAAAAAUUGUUUGAGAGGUUAAGAAAGUUUUAGCUUAAGCUGAAUCCAUCUAAAUGUACAUUUAAAGCUAGGUCAAAGAAACUGUUAGGAUUUAUAGUUAGUGAAAAAGGGAUAGAAGUUUACCCAAAUAAAUUUGAGCCAUCUAGAACUUAUCUCCUCCAAGCACAUAAAAAAGGUUCAAGGCUUUAAGCAGAUUGAACUAUAUUUCUCAAUUCAUUCCUCAACUCACCUUUAAAUGUGAUCCCAUCUUUAAGCUCUUCCAAAAGAAUGAUCUCAAUGAAUGGAAUGAAGAAUACCAAAAAGUUUUUAACAAAGUCAAUCAAUACUUAUCAAAUCUUCCAAUAUUGGUGUCACCUAUUUUAGGAAAGCCAUUGAUCUUAUAUAUAGUGGUACACGUGAAAUUAAUAGAAAGUAUACUAAGGCAACAAGACAAAUCUAGCAAGAAAGAAAAAGCUAUUUACUACUUGAGUAAGAAGUUUAUAAAAUAUAAGUCCAAGUAUUCAUCACUCGAGAAAAUGUGUUAUGCUUUAGCUUGGAUAAUUAAAAAACCUAGGCAGUACAUGCUAUACCACAUAAUUUGGCUUAUAGCUAAACUGGAUUCAAUCAAAUACAUCUUUGAAAAGUCAUCACUCUUAGGAAGAAUCACAAGAUGGCAAGUGAUGUUCUUGAAAUACAUCAUAGUGUAUGUGAGUUAGAAAGCAAUCAAAAGAAGCAACAUUAUCAAAUUCCUCAUGGAUCAGGCUAUUGAAGACUAUGAACCUAUGACACUAGAUUUUUCAAAUAAAGAAUUAAUGGCCAUCUCAGGAGUAGAAAAAGAUAAGGAUGAAGAAGAGACAUGGAGAAUAUAUUUCAAUGGGACUGCCAAUGCCAUGGAGUAUGAGAUUGGAGCAGUAUUAAUAUCUCCAAGAGAAUAUUAUUACCCUAUGACAGCAAUAUUAAAAUUCAACUAUACCAAUAAUGUGGCUGAAUAUGAAGCUUGUGUUAUGGGAUUGCAUGCUACAUUAGAUAGAAAAAUUGAGAUAUUAAAGGGGUUUGAAGAUUCAACCUUGGUUAUGUAUCAACUAAAAAGUGAAUGAGAGACAAAGGAUUCAAAACUCAUUAUUUACUACCAAUACAUCUUAAAGUUGUGUAAGCAAUUCGAGAACAUCCAGUUUGGACAUUUGCCUUAUGAAAAUUAUCAAAUAGCAUAUGUUUUGGCAAUCCUUGCUAUAAUGGUGCAAAUUGGCGAUACCGUUGAAAUUCAACCCAUCAAAUUAGAAAUGAGAAAUACAUUAACACAUUAUGCUAACCUGAAGAAUGAAAAAGAUUGUAAUCCUUGGUAUCAUGACAUUAUGCGAUAUCUAAGGAAUCAGUAAUAUCCAAAUCAAGCAACAGAAAAUGAUAAGAGAGUCUUGAGAAGAUUGGCUAUUGGAUUCUUUUUAGAUAGGGAAGUUUUAUAUAAGAGAAGUAGAGAUCAAGUGUUACGACAUUGUGUAAGUGCCUCUGAGGCUAAAAAAAUUAUUAAAGAAGUCCAUAAUGGCAUAUAUAAUGCAUAUACAAAUGGAAAAAUGAUGGCUAAAUAGAUCAUACGGGUUGGAUAUUAUUGGUUGACAAUGAAAAAAAAUUGCAUUGAUUAUAUUCGAAAAUGUCACAAGUGUUAGAUUUAUGUUGACAAAAUUCAUACUCCACCUACUGCUUUACAUGUUAUAGCACCACCUUGGCCAUUUUCUAUGUGAGAAAUGGAUGUCAUCGGUCCUAUUAUUUUGAAGGCCUUAAACGGAAAUAGAUUCAUUUUUGUGAUGAUUGAUUAUUUUACUAAAUGGAUUGAAGCUACUUCUUUCACGACUGUGACUAGAUCAAUGGUCUGCAAGUUCAUCAAAAGAGAGAAAUUAUAGAUAUGGGCUCCCAAAGAUGAUCAUUUUAAAUAAUGCAAAGAACGUGAAUAGCAAAAUGAUGCAAGAAGUAUGCACUUAGUUCAAGAUUAAGCAUCACGACUUAGCUUCAUAUCGCCCAAAAAUGAAUAAGGUAGUGAAAGUUGCAAAUAAGAAUAUUAAAAGAAUUCUAGAAAAGAUGAUCGAAAUAUAUAAAGACUGGCACAAAAAAUUUGCUUUUACUCUACAUGCUUACCAAACAUUUGUAUGUACUUCUAUCAAGGUAACUCCAUUUUUUCUAGUCUACAGAAUGAAAGCCAUAUUGCCAGUAAAACUAGAAAUCUCAUGUUUGAGAGUCCUAAAAGAAGUGAGAUUAGAAAAAGCUGAAUGGAUUCAGGAAUGCUAUAAGUAAUUGAACUUUAUUAAGAAAAAGAGAUUGACAACACUUUACGAUAGCCAGUUGUACCCAAAGAGAAUAAUGAAAGCUCAUGACAAAAAAGUUUAACUUGAUCAAUUUCAAAAAGAGGAGUUGAUAUUGAAAAGAAUUCUUCCAAGCUAACAUGAUGAUAGGGGAAAUGGACUUCAAAUUAGGAAGGACCAUAUGUUGUAAAAAAAGUUUUUUUAGGAGAAACCUUAAUCUUGUCAGAAAAUGGAUGAAGAUGAGCUUCCUAAUCCUAUUAAUUCCAAUGUCGUGAAGAAAUACUUUGCUUGAACAAAAAAAAAGAGAAAGUUCGAGUUGAAAACUCGAAAGGGCAACUUGAACAAAAAAAAAAGUUCAAGUUGAAAACUUCGAAAGAUGGCUUGAUUGAGAGCAACUUGGAUGAAUAGAAUAUGACAUCACUUAAAAGGCACAACAGAGACAAUGAAUUUCAAAGAGUUCAAAACUGUUAAGGCAUCAUGUUUUGGUUAAAUUUUUGAUGAAAUCCAAGAUUUAUUGUCAUGAUUACCUGAUUGCUUACAGAUCUGAUCUCAGUCCAAAUCAUAUCAUUUUUAGAUUUGCAGUAUCAUUCCAGUCAUUAAUCUAUGAUCUCGAAUUAGUCUUGGUCACUUUUAGACUUGCAGCAUCGUUUUAGUCAUUAAUCUAUGACUUUGACUCAGUCUUGGUCAUUUUUAAACUUACGACAUUGUCCCAGUUAUCCGAUCUCAAUUCAGGCCAAAUCAUUUUAAGACUCAUAGCAUCAUCUCAAUCAUUAAUCUACGACCUUGACUUGAUCUUGAUCGGUCCCAGACUCAUGACAUCAUCAUAGUCAUUUGAUCUCGAUUCAGGCCAAAUUUUGAUUCAGGCCAAAUCAUUUUAAGACUCAUGACAUCGUCUUAGUCAUUAAUCUAUGACCUCAACUCAAUUUUGGUCACUCUUAGACUUACGGCAUCAUCUUAGUCAUCCGAUCUCAAUUCAGGUGAAAUCAUUUUAAGACUCAUGACAUCAUCUCAAUCAUUAAUCUAUGACCUCAACUUGAUCUUGGUCGCUUUCAGACUUGCAGCAUCAUCUCAGUUAUUCAAUCUCAACUCAGGCAAAAUCAUUUUAAAACUUGCAACAUUGUCCCAAUAAUUUAUUUUUUACCUUGAUUUGAUCUUGGUCGCUUCUAGAUUGGCACCAUUAUACCAAUCGUCUAAGCCAAAUUCACAUCAUCAUCAUAAUCAUUCAUCUUCGACCUUGACUCGAUCUUGGUCAUUUGCUAACUUGCGAUAUUGUCCCAAUCAUUCGACUUCAACUCGAUCUUGGUCACUUUUCAACUCGUGGUUUAUUUUUGAUCAAUUUUACUCGUUGAUUUGACUUGAACAAAGUGAGUAUCUAGGUCUUUGCAUCAUCUCUAUCUAAUAGUGAUGUGCAAAGAAAGGCAGUUGUAGACACUCAUCAGUGUCCAGGGUUAAUCGCAUCAAUUUUUAUUAUUUUUUACCACUAUUGUUACAUUAUUAUACUAUUAUUACAUUACUACUAUACUAUUAUUAUAUUAUAGUAUUAUAUUAUAUUAUCUUAUUAUUAUAGUAUGUUGAUAUUAUAUUACUAUAUUAUAUUAGUAUUAUAUUAUAUUAUAGUAUAUUAUUAUAUUAUAUUAGGUUAUCAUAUUAUUAUUAUUAUUAUUAUUAUAAUAUUUGAUAUUAUCAUUACUUUUAUUAUUUUUAUCAAAUUUUCUUUCCUUUUAUUGAUCAAGGCUAAACAAAUUAUGAAAAUCAAAAUCGAAUCAAUCUGUCAAAGCUUUUAAUGCAGAAUCAUGUUUGGAUAAUGGUUGAAUUCAAUAGUGAUCAAAUCAAUGAAUAAAAUCACUUUCGAGUAGAAUCCAAUAUCAAGAUUCAAGCCUGAGAUUGAUUCUAUCCGUUUCUUAAAAUCCAUUCUAAAAGGGCCUAUAAGUUGAAUAAGAAAUCAAAGGAAUGAUAGAAAAAAAGUAGUGAAAAAAUUGGGGUUAUUAGUUUGAAAAUAAUUUUUGGGUAAUAGGUUUUUUAAAAAUUUUUUGAUCUUUUGGGAUUUGGAUUCUUGGGAGUUUUAGGUUUGAUAUAGAGUUUCUAGGUUUAGAUUUGGGAUUCUAAGAUUAUAUUUAGAUUUUUAGAGGGAUUUUGGAGAAUUUGGGAAAAAUCUAUUUUUUUUUUGGAAAAUUUUAAAAAUUUAGAAGAAUAUAUGAAUUUUUCGAUGAAGUUUUCAGUGGGAGUUUAAAGUUUUUAGUGAAAUUCUGAUGAGAUUUUCAAAAACUGGUGAAGUUUCUAGAUUUUGGUUAAAUCUUUAUGUAGGUUUUUAGAGAGAAGGGAGAGAGUUUUUAAGUUAGAGAGAGUAUGGGUAGAAGGUUUCUGAAGCUAAACAUAAAGGCUUAGCUUUUAUACUGGUCCAAAACAAUAGCGUUUCGAACACCCCAGAUCCACGCGUCUACUUGAUAACCUAUUUGAAGAUCCGCGUGCAGACCCGACCCAUUUCGCAGGUUUCUUUUUUUCAUUUUCAUUUUAUUUUUGAUUUUUCUUUGUUUUCUUAAGUUUUUAUUUUAUUUUCAGUAUUUCUUUAUUAGUUUUGCUGGUUUUCAACAAAAAAGAAAAAAAAAUCUUUUCAAAAAUUAAAAAAAAAAACCUAAAGAAAAAAAUCCUUUCAAGUAAGUUUAAAAAACAAAGAAAUAAGUCUAAAAAAGAAAUUUUUUUAAAUAAAUUUAUGGAAUUUACAAAACUAUUAGAAAAUUUUAUAAAUUAGUUUUUUUUUAAAGAAAAAAGAAUAAUAGAAUUUUUUUCCUCUAAACCAUUGAAGAAUUAUUUUUAAAUUAAAUCCUACCAAACUAUCAGGAGAUUUAAUGAAAUUCACAAAAUUUUUAUAAAUCUUUGUACAAUAAAAUUUUCACCAAACUAUUAGAAAAUUUGUCUCAAAGUAAGUCUUACCAAACUAUUGGGAGACUUGACUAAUUUUUUUGAAUAAAAUAUUAUAAUAAAUUCGACGAUGAUCCUCUUCAGAAUAAGAUAUUAGUCUCUAUGAAUACUCAUGAGGUGAGAUAAUUAUCUUAAAUUGCUAUCAAACUAUUCGGACAAUUUUAAGAGUAAUUUUUAAUAUUAAAUAAUUUGGUAAAUUAUAAAUAUGAUCAAGGUUUGGAUAAUUUGAAAUCAAACCGAUAUUAUCCUUUGAUGGGCACUGUGAGGGUGCUAUAACCUUCCUUACAUAUAACCGUACUAUCGAAUCUAAAAUCUAGUUUUACAAAUCCAAAUUUGUUUUAAGUGGCCAAUCACACCUAAACAAAAAAGAUUGGUGACGACUCCUUUAAUCUAUGUCUAACAGUAAGUCCACGGAUCUAUACAUUAUAACAAGGGUUUUUGAAUUUUUGGCUUUAUUUUAUUUUUUAGAUUUUUGCACUUGGUUUAAUUUUUUUUUUUUUUUUUAGAACUGGGAUUCAAUCUCUUGUUUGAUUAGAUUUCUUUUAGGUUUUUGGGGAUUUUGGAUUCAAGUUUUUGAUUUUUUUUUUGGAUUUUUUGGAAAAUUCUUUGAAUUUUCUUGUGUAAGGUUGAAGUUCCUAGCAACCGGCACUAAAAAUCUAGCCAACUUCUAGAAGUUUCUUGCCACAUUCUGAGCACCAUUGAAUUUACCAUUUGAAUGCUAAAAAGAGAAACAGAGAAAAAAAUGGAUUAGAGAGAAAAGAUUCUAGUAGUUUUGAAAAAAAAAAAAAAAAGAGAUUUAGGGGUUUUAUUCUUGUAUAAAACAACACUAUUUUUUGGAUUCAUAAAAACCUGAGAUCUGUGCAUUUUACUGCAUUCCAACCCAACCCACAAUGUGGCCCAUCCUUCAACCUGAAUUUCCUUUGUGCCCUGAGCCAAGCCAUACCCUAGUUAAGUGUCAAGCCAUGUCGAUCCUUGUGCCUACAGCUGCAUUCUUUAGCCACUAAGCCAAGCUGACUUGAGGUAUUUUUUAUAUGCUUAUCUUAUUUAUUUGUUUUAUUUACUUAUUUAUUUAUUUAUUUAUUUAUUCAUCUAUUUAUCUACUUGUUUUUUAAAUUACUUUUACAAAAUCAUAUUUAAAUAAAAAAGCCUUACCAAUAUAUUGCAGAACCAAUAUUUUAUUUUCAAAAUAAAGUUUUACCAACAUAUUAGAAUGCUUUACAAAUUUUAAUUUAAAAAAUAAUAAUUUUUAAGAAAAGCUUUACCAAUAUAUUGGAGGGCCAAUAUUUUAUUUUUAAAAAUAAGGUUUUAUCAACAUAUUGAAAAGUCUUAUAAUUUUUUAUAAUUUUGAAUAAAAUAAAAUAAAAUAAAAUAAAAUAAAAUUUAUUUUUCUUUCAUAAAUUCUUACAAAUAUAUUGGAGGAUAAUUUUUGAUAGAAAAUCUUGUCAACAUAUUGAAAGGUAUUCUGACCAUAAACUAGGUUUGUAGAAAUUUACUACUUCUACAAGCAAAAUUAAAUGAAUCUGAUAGCGAAACUUUUUUAAAGCGUGACAAAUAAUCUCCUUGAAUACUUUUAAAGUGAGAAAAAAUUCUUAAAUUAUUACCAAUAUAUUAGAGAAAUUUAAGGAAAUUUUCUAAUGUUAAAAUUAUAUGGUAAAAUUAUAAAUAUAUUUUAAGACUUGGAUAACUUGGAAUCAAACUAAUAUCAUCUUUUGGAUGGGCGCUGUAAAGUGUUAUAACCUUCCUCUCAUGCAACUAUACUCUCAAACCUAAAAUUUGGUUUCAUAGACUAGAAUCUACUAUUUCAAGAUACCUAAGUUAAUCUUAGAAUUUUUUUUUAAAUAAAACAAAUUUAGUCAGAUGGCCAAUCACAUUUAAACAAAAAAGAUUAGUGGCAAUUUCUUUAAUCUAUGUUUAGUGAUAGAUUCACAGAUCUACUCGUUAUGACAAAACUCAAAUCUCAACAUUUACAACUGUUUUUCAUAUUCUCAAACAUUCUCUUUAAUUAAAAAAAUAGUCUGAAUAAAAAAUUAGGUAUGCUUAAUUUGUUUGAAUUGAUAAGUUACUUUGUUCUAAGUUUUAAAAUUUUUAACUUCUUUUCAUAUAUGUUCAGAUUUUAGGUUAUAUAAUCAAAGACAAGUAAUUUAUAUUCAUAUUUCAUAUAAAAAUCAUUUCUGAUUUAUAAGAUUUAAAUUUAAAUUAUAAUUUCAAAUUCUUUCUAAUAAUUAGAUCAUGUAAAAUCAAGAUAUAUUUAAAUUUAUGCUUUAUUCUUAUUCUUAACCUCUUUGUUAUUAGAAUAAUUAAUCUAUAUAAGUAUAUACCAUAUAUAUUCAUAUCCAUAAUGUCUUUUAUGAAAAUGAAAAAAAUACUCAUCAAAGAAGAAUCAAAGCACGUGCAAAGAAUAUUGAACCUUGUGGAAUUUGCCUAGUACAAACGGUCAGAGAAGCGUUUCUAAAAUACAUGUAUAGGGUUUAAAAGAAUAAAACUUUGACAAAUAGGUUUGGUUUUUGUUUUAAUAAUUAUAUUUAUUUAUGUUGAAGUCAAGUAUGUGUAAAAAGUGAGAUAUGUUAAUUUAAAAUUUAAUUCAAUUAAUUUAUAAAAUUAUUUUUAAAAAAUGGUAUUUGAUUGAAAUUUAAAUCUCGAUACUUGUGUUUUUCCUUUUUAUUCCACAUAACUUCUUUUAAAAAGAAAAAAUGAGUCACGUGGAUUUUUUUGUUGACUUUUUAUAAUCUACCUUUGGUCCAACUUUUCAAUAGUAUACUAUUAAUUUAAUAACCAUCACUUCGCUUUAAUAAUUUUAACCAUACAAUUAAAGAGGUAAAACUUUUUCAUUGGUAAGAACUUACUCAAGUAACUUCUUGGUCAAGAAAAUAGCAAUCUCCAUAUUGAAAUGUUAAUCAAGAAAUUAAAUCAUUAAUCCUGCUACAUAAUUCGUCCAAUAUGAUCUAAUUUGAUUGGAACAUAAAUCUAAAUUUAAGUAUAUAUGCAAAACAAAUAAGCAGAUGAUUCUUAAAUGAUGAAAAAACUUAUGUAAUUUGAAACUUAACUCUGUUAGUUUAUGCACAUAAUUAUUUUUGGAGAUAAUAUUCAUUAAAUUUGAUAUUCAAAUUUUAACAUUUUAUCUCAUUUCAAAGCUACAAUCUUCUUUUAUUACAAGAAAAAAAAAACUAGAAAUAAUCUUUUAUUUGUAACUUUAAUCGGGUGAAUUUAAAUUGCUAAGACUUUGCAGUCAUAUUUUCAUUGGCAAAGUUUAUUUACAUUUAUUUCAAAAGUAGAGAAAAAAAAAAGGCCAUCUGGCCUAACAAUCAAUAUCCUUUUGAGCAACUUCGCAAUAGAUGAGCAUUGGCCUCCGAUCUCCCCAACAACUAAUCUACUGAGGAAUUGGCAGAGCUUGAGGCAAAGCUUGAGGCAAAGCUUGGUUUGAUGCUGAAAUCGUUUGUAGUUUGCAGUCAACAGAGAUCAAUUGAGCAGAGUUAUCAUUGUUUUCCUCAACAGAAAUCAUGUUGAUUAUUUGUAGCAAAACACGCUCGAGCUAUUCACCAUCACUCCAUUCAUGAAUCUCAGCCUUGAUGGGCAUAGGAUUCCUGCAAAUUAAAUCCCAGACUAGAAAAUUCUUCCUUGGCAUCAUGUAGUCUGCUUCUCUAAGCCUUAGACUUGGGCAGUAAUCUCCGGCACCAUCUCCUAGGUAGAUGAUUUUUUUCUUCUCCUCUAAAGAAUCUUGAAUCCUUCCAAUGAUCAUCCCCUGUUACACAAAGCAGAAGCCAAAAUUAAAAUUUUUGACAUCUUAUUUCAUGAUUUUCAUUAAAUUUAUAUGACUGUUGACCCAUGUCAAGAUCUUGGGUUUCGUUUAUGUCCUUAUAUGAGGCAUUACUUUAACAGAAUAAGUGGGGUCAAGAAAAGAAGUUGACAUAUCUAAAAUGAGGAGAUUUAAAAAAUAAAGAAAUAAAUAAAACCUCCAAGCUAGUUGGAUGAAAUUGACUAUGUACAUGUGGAAUACCAUCAAGUAAUAAAAUUUUCUAGAAAUUUUCACUUAUAUGAAAAAUUUAGAUCUACAAAAGUUUGGUUUCUUGAUUUAAAAUAUUUACAAUUGUGAUAUUAAUGAAAUUAAAUCUCAUGUUAGUGAUGAAAAACAUAUAAUACCUUGCACAUAUUUGGGGGGCAGAGGUUGCAGCCAUGAGAACUCUUGGUGAAAUCAUGGUAAGGAAUGAUCCUCAGCCUCCCUUCUUCAUCAACAAAGCCGGGGUUGGUGUUGAUCUCUGAGAAAUAUUCCCUCAAUCCAAGAUGCUCCAGAAUUGUCUCAAUGAAGAACAUGUUUGCAUCACUCACAAUCCAGUUCACACCUGAAAAAAAUAUUCAAACCAAUUUGAUCACCCUAUAUUUCUAUUGCUUCAAACUGUAGUUUUAUAGUCACAGAUCAAACACCAAGUGGAGAAGCAUAGAAAAAAGGAGUACCCUAAAGAAUGAGCUGAUUUAAUAGCGGGGACGAUCCUAAGAUGAUAGGAGCUCGUUUCAGAACCUCAGCAAUGUCAUCAAUGGUUUUUCCUUGGGCAUGAAGCUCCUUCAUCAUCCUGUCCUGUAAUUUUAUACCACAAACACUGAGUUUCAUUUUUUAUAAAUGUAAAGCCAACAGAAACAGAAAUUGUAGAGGGCUUGAUGUGGGUUACCAUGAGAGAAUUUCAGGGCAUGGUAGAAAGAAGCUGGUUGAACAAGUCGGUGUAACCCAAGUCAUCGACAACCCAGUUAUCACUAUCACAGUCGAUGAUGGUUUUGUCAAAAUCAAAAACCACAACAAUUCCAGUCAUCUCUCUGAAUGAAAAUCAAACAAAAUGCAAAACAAGAUUGGAAAAACUCAACAACUGUUUGAAUGUUUUCUUGUUGGUAUAGGUCACGUAACAAGCGAGGGGAAUUUAUAUGCAAAGAACGGAUUUUUUUUAUGCCAAAGGAAUAUUAAGUGAAGGGGUUAUUUGGUGCAAGUAGGAAGCACUAAGCAGGCCACAAGAAGCCCUUUUUCCUGCAAGCUUUCUACUCAACACGUACUAAUCUAAUACAACUACUUGUAAAUUAUUUCUCUGGUAUAAGCAAUAUUAACCGUUUGAUGGAUGACUAUUGACCAUGUGAUCAAUCAAGUUUAGUCAGCGGAUCAGGGGUAAAAGGGUGUGGGUUAAUUAUGAAAGGGAUUAGGUUUAAGGUUUAAGGUUUAUCACACUUCUCUCCAUUGCUCCAUUCGCAUAAUUGUGCCUUUACUAGCCUCCUGCUUUUGCAAAUCAAAUCCAAAACUAGGAAAUUCUUCCUUGUCAUUACAUAGUCCCCAUCUCCCAGAUUCAAACUUGGACAGAAAUCGCCAAGCCCAUCGCCGAGGUAGAUUAUUGUUUUCUUCUCCUCCACGGGCAUGAGAGAGACUUGGAUCCUUCCAAUCACAAUACCCUAUUAAGAAAGAAUUCAAUCAUUAGUCAAUAGGAUGGGAAGAAAAUGAAGAUAACUUAAAAAUAAUUAUAGCAUAAAAUUAUAUAUCCUACAGCUAAUCAUGCUUUGGAUUCAUUAAGUUUACUAAACAUUAGAAUUCAGUGGCGGAUGCAUAUGGUAUAGUCGGGUAUUCAUGUACUCCUCCAAAGGUUGGAAAAUCAAAAACGUUUUCUUUGGACACCUUCAAAUUUUCUUUUUGAACAUAUCUUUCUUAAUUCCUUAUUCCUUAAUCCUUCACUCACUGCUACUAUCUAAUAUCCAAUCACAUCACACUGUCAGUUAAUGGCCCAACACCCAAUAAGCAUCCACUAUAUUAAAUGGACACCUCCAUUAAAAAAUUUCUUGCAUCUGCUACUGUUAGAAUUCAGUCAUAUUUGAUGCAUGCAUGCAUGGUUCAUGUUGUUAGUAACUAGUAUGAUUUUCAAGUUAAAAAUGAUAUACCUUGCACAUGUUUGGAGGGCAGGGAUGAUGAAAUCCAUGAGUAGAUUGAGUGAAAUCAUGGUGAGCAAAGAUCCUUAGCGUGCCUUCUUCAUUUACCUAACCUGGGUUGGUAUUGAUCUCUGAAAAGCAUUCCCUCAGGCCAUGAUGCUUCAAAAUUGUGUCGAUGAAGAACACGUUCGCAUCGCAUACAAUCUUCAAACCACACCUGAAAUUAAUAAUGCCAUAUGAGUAUUUUUUUUUCGGGCGAGAAAACCAGAAAGAAAAAUUAAAUAUACAUGCCGGCAGGACUGUAGUUGGCAGGAAGGAAACUACUAAAGCUAAGAAAUGUUGCCAGAGAGCUUAUAAAGUGUAUGGUCCUUUAAUUACUUCUUGCGACAGAGGAAUAAUAUCACAGGCUGCAAUCCCUGAGAACGCAACUGUGGCUUCUGCUGUCUCAACAAACGAUUGGACUCGAUAUCUCACUACUUCUCUACAGAUGAAGGAUUUGCUGCAGAUGUUGGCUGGUCUGACCUUCACUAAAGAGGAAGAUGUUGUUUGGCAGGCGUCAAAGUCUGGCAUGUUCAUACUUUCAAAUACAUGGGACUGUAUCAGGGACAGGCAAUCAACUCUGGUUUGGCAUAAAUUGGUCUGGAAUUCCUCUUCACUCCCUAGACAUAGUUUUAUCACUUGGCUUGUGGUUCUUAAUAUAUUGAGCACACUAGCUAAUAUUAGGAGAUUCUGAGAGGAGCGUAAACAAGAAGUAUAAAUAUAUCAAAUAUGCCAUGCGAGGAAUUCUCCAAAACUUGGCGUUUGUUCUUCAAAUAUUGAAAAAGUCUUUCCUAGACAUUUGUUUUAAUGUAAAGUUUUGCCUUAUAAAAUUUGUAAAAAAAUAUGAAUAAUCCAUCUAUUAGCUCUGUCUGUGAAAAAUUGAAGGAUUGUAUAGGAAAUGCUAAAGCUUAUUCUUUGAUUUGUUGACUGGUAGCCUCCUACUUCUUUGGAUCAAAGAAAUACCAUAUGAAAAAAAAAAACUAAAUAUAUACGAAAACUGAGAAAAAUGUAUGCAUAGCCUAAAGCAUGAGCCGAAUUAAUGGCUUGGAUAAUUCGGGGAUGUAUUGGAAUUGUUUUUAGAACAGCUACAAUGACAUCAAUGUUUGCUCCUUGUGAAUGAAUUUCUUUCAUCAUUAGAUCCUGUUUUGUACAUAAAAAAAAUAAGCCCUAGUUCUUACAUUUGGAAAAGAAAAAAGAAGAAAAACAAAUAAAUUAAAAGACUAACAAUAAGAGAGUUCCAAGGCAUGGUAGAGAGGAGUUGAUUGAACAACUAUGUAGCUAGUCUAGGAUUUGUGAAAUCCGAAAUUCAGGUUAGUUGCUUUAUAAAAUUACUCUUAAGAGAUGUUAUUUAACUGUGACUCAAAUCUUAAUAUUUAUAAUCAUUUCUCGUAUUCUCAAAUGACCUCCUAAAAAAUAAAGUCUAUAAUAAGAAAUUAAGUAUGCUUAAUUUGUUUGAAUUUUCAAGUUACUUGAUCCUAAGUUUUAAAAUUUUUAACUUUUUUAAUAUAUGUUCAGAUUUUAAGUUAUAUAAUUAGAGACAAGUAAUUUAUAAUUAUAUUUCACAUAAAAAUCAUUUCUAGUUUAUCAGAUUUAAAGUAAAAUUAAAAUUUUAAAUUCUUUCUAAUAAUUUUGUCAUGUAAAAUCAAAAUAUAUUUAAAUUGACACUUUAUUCUGAUUCUUAACGCUUUAUUAUUGAAAUAAUUAAUCUAUAUAAGUAUAUACCAUAUAUAUUCAUAUCCACAAUGCCUUUUUAUAAAAGUGAGAAAAUUCUCAUCGAAGAAGCAUCAAAGCAUGUGCAAAGAAUAUUAUGUAAUACCUAAGUCCAAGUUAUUAUAGCCUAAUUAGUGGUCCAGCCCAUAAGUAUCAUUAGUAAGAAAAAUCCUAAAGAAGAAGAAAAUAAAAAGAAAACUUAUCAACAACUUUUGUCGAUAGUUUUCUUUGACAGUAAAAAAGGAAAAAUUUUAAGAAAUACUCGGGAUGAAGAAGAGAGGAUGAGAUAACACAAAUCAAUUCUAGAAAUCACUGAUUAAGAUAAAAUUUUGCUUAAAAACUCUUGAAAUUUUUAUGUUUUAUACAAUUUUCUACAAACCUCAAGUUAUAUUUUUAUAUCUUUUCAACUUCAAAAAUAUUUCAACGACCUUCUAGUGACAAUCCGAUGAAAUUGAAGGUACUAAUGGAAAGGUCUCUUUAAGACCUUUCUAAUGGUAUGUGUGGUACUUCAUUUAGUUAAGUAAUUUAGGAGAAUUUAGUGUUUUAAAUUUUUUAUUUUUAGGUUUUUGACAAUUAUAGACGCCCAACUUUGAUCCAUUGAAAUUCUUUACCCUGGUGGCCUAUUUGGUUGUUCUUUUUAUGCUUUUGAUAGUACAAAAUGAGAAUUUUCUAUUGGCAUAAUUCUUUUGUUUAGAUGAUUUAUAGGCUAAUAGAAUCGAAACUCCAAAACAGACUUCAUGAAUCUGAAACUAAAAAAAUCAGGGCUGUUUAUGAUGAUUUGUCAAGUUUUGACCAUCGAAACUUUGGUUUUUAGAAAUUAUUUUUGCCAAAACAAAAUUCUAUGUUGUAAUAUUACAUCCCUACUUUAAAUUUCCACUUCAUUUUGUCAUUAGGAACUGUAGAAUGUUCAAGCUUUUGUGACUCAAAUUAAACCAAAUGAUCACAUAAUUUAAAAAUUCUCGUUUUUAAUUAUUUUAAAAAUUAUUUUCAGCCAAUAUUUAAUGUAUUUAGUUAUAAAUUACUUAAAUUUUAGUUAUAGUAUUUUUAAUGAAUUUUUACUUAUUUUAAUAUAUUUUUAUUGUGUUAAUUUCAUAUUAUUAGUAUUAUUAAAGGACUAUUAAAUUAUAUUUAGAUUUACAAAAAAAAAUGAUUACUAUUAAAUGUUAAAAAUUAAAUAUUUGAAAAAAUUUAUAUUGGUACUGAUUUUUAUGUUUUAAUCCUUAAUUUCAUAUUUAUAGUCCAUUCUAGGUAUUUUGCUAUAUUAAAAUAAAAUUUAUUUUAUAUGCUAAAAGAAAAUAUUUUCAAAUAGUUUCGAAUUAUCGAAAAGUUUGCUACAUAACUCAAUUUGCUUAGGAUAACCUAUGAAAGGUUUGCCUCAUUAAAUUUAUGUUUUUGGGUUAAAUUUUGAUUUUUGAAUAUUUCUUGAAUUAUUAGGAUAUCAAGAGAAUUGAGUAAUUCACUGUUUAAGUUUCAAUUUAGCGCAUUAGGUAAGUGACUUGAUAUCUCUUUGAUUUCUAUGUCCCUAAAAAUCAAUCUCAAUAUAUUUAGAGUUGAAAUAUAUAAUAUAUAUUGUUUUGUCCAUUUGUUUUAUAAAUCAGGUUGAGCAUGUAAAAUGUAUCUAUGAUUUCUUUGUUAUGAAUUUGGAAUAUGGUUUGACAUUAUUUUGAUUUCUGAAUAUGAUUUCAGAAUAAUAUAUUUAUAUAUCCAUCAUUUGUCAGAAUAUAAAAUUUUGCUUUGAAACGAUUAUGGAAAUUACUUUGUAUAGAUUAUAUUUUGAAAAAAUUUAUAAAUAUUGAAUUUGUAUAUGUUAGGUAAUCUGAAAACAUAUUAUGGUUUUGUCUCAUAGUAUGGCUAUGUUCUGACCCUAUUAAUGGGGAUUAAUUGUAGGCUAUGUUGACAUAUACUUUAUGCCAUUGAUAUCGAUUUUGAAUCGUGCCACCAGUUGAAAAUAGUGAUUUUUGUUCACUGUGCCAUCAAUGACAUACUUUUGUCCCAUUGCACUAAAGGGGUUACUAUAAUUUUUGUUCUAUCCCUUUACAUUAAUGGGUUAAUUAUGAUUGUCAGUGCAAUGAUUUAGUUGCUUUUGAUAUAUUUCUAUCCUAUUACACUAAAAGAAAAUUUUUGAUUUCGACUUAUGCCACAAGAGUUAAGUGUAGUUAUAGUAUUUUACGGGAGACUAAAUAAAUUUAUAAUUUUGUGAUAUUUGAUUCCAUUUUGUGAUAUGAGAAUUUGGUUUUGAAAAUAUGUUUGUGAAUACAAGAUUACCCAAAAUAUUUUUGAAUCAUUUAAUUAAUGUUUUUGCCUAAAUGAUUUGUGACAUACUUAAUCUAACUGAGGUGAUGUUGGGUAUUUGUUGAGACAUCUUAGUCAUUUUUUUAUUUUUCUUUACUUUUUCAAAUUUUAGUGUUUGUGUCUUGGGAGACUGAAUGUUGACAAUUACUUGGAUUAGUAAAAUUAGUAUCUGUCUUUAGAUUGGUAUUCUUUCAAAGUGAGUAUUUUAUUGUUGAUUCUAAAAGAUUUGCUAAUAAGAACUUUAGUAUAUUCAACUAACUUGCAAAGAGUAUAAUUUUAUAGACUUGAGAUUUUGUAGAGCAUAGUUUAGAGAUUAUUGAAGAUUUUAAUUUAGUUUGGUAUUGAGAUUUUGUAAAGUAUAAUUUACAGAUUAUUGAAGAUUUUAAUUUAAUUUGGUAUCUAUUGCCUUAUAUGGUUGUGAGAUUCAUCUCACGAAUAUGCAGUGUUAGUACAUUCUAAAUCUUUGGGUUUGGGGCUUGACAUAUUGAACCCUUAGAAUUUGUCGAGUACAAUCAGAUAGAGAAGCAUUUAUAAAAAAGAAAUAUAACAUGUAUAGUGUUUAAGAGAAUAAAACUUUCGACAUAUAGGUUUGGUUUUUGUUGUAAUAAUUUUAUUUAUUUAUGCUACAAUCAAGUACAUGCAAAAAUUUAGAUAUAUUAGUUUAAAAUUUAAUUCAACUGAUUUAUAAAAUUAUUUUUAAAAAAUAAUAUUCAAUUGAAAUUUAAAUCUCAAUACUUGUAUUUUUUUUUAUUUCAAAUAACUUCUUUUAAAAAAAAAAAAUGAGUCAUGUGGAAAUUUUUUUGUUGACUUUUUAUUAUUUGUUAAUCUACCUUUGGUCCAACUUUUCUAUAGUACACUAUUAAUUUAAUAACUACCGUACCGCUUAAAUAAUCUUAACCAUACAAUUAAAGAGGUAAAACUUCUCCAUUGAUAAGAACUUACUUAAGUAACUUCUUGGUCAUGAAAAUAGCAAUCUCCAUAUUGAAAUGUUAAUCAUGAAAUUAAAUCAUUAAUCCUGCUGCAUAACUUGUUCAAUAUGAACUAAUUUGAUUGGAACAUAUAUCUAAAUUUGAAUAUAUAUGUGAAAACAAUAGACAGAUGAUUCUUCAGUGAUGUAAAAACUUGUGAAAUUUGAUAUUCAAAUCUUAACAUUUUUUUUCAUUUCGAAUCAUUGCUAGACAAUCAUAAUUAAUCUUCUUUCAUAACAAGAAAAAAAAAACUAUAAAUAAUCUUUUAUCUGUAACUUUAAACUGAUGAAUUUAAAUUGCUAAGACUUUGCAGUCAAAUUUUCAUUGGCAAAGUUUAUUUACAUUUAUUUCAAAAGUAGAGAAAAAAAGGCCAUUUGGCCUACCAAUCAAUAUCAUAUUGAGCAACUUCGCAAUAGAUGAGCAUUGGCCUCCGAUCUGCCCUAAAACUAAUUUAUUGAGGAACUGGCAAAGCUUGAGGCAAAGCCUGGUUUGAUGCUGAAAUCGUUUGCAAUUUGCAGUCAACAGAGAUUAGUUGAGCAGAAUUAUCCUUGUUUUCCUCAACAGAAAUCAUGUUGAUUAUUUGUAGCAAAACACGCUCGAGCCCUUCACCAUCACUCCAUUCAUGAAUCUCCGCCUUGAUGAGCAAAGGGUUCCCGCAAAUUAAAUCCCAGACUGGAAAAUUCUUCCUGGGCAUCAUAUAGUCUGCUUUUCCAAGCCUUAGACUUGGGCAGUAAUCACCGGUACCAUCUCCAAGGUAGAUGAUUUUUUUCCUCCCCUCUAAAGAAGCUUGAAUCCUUUCAAUGAUCAUCCCCUGUUACACAAAGCAGAAGCCAAAAUUAAAAUUGUUGACAUCUUGUUUCAUGAUUGUCAUUAAAUUUAUAUGAUUGUUGACCCAUGUCAAGGUCUUGGGUUUGUUUAUGACCUUACAUGAGCCAUUACUUUAAUAGAUUAAGUGGGGUCAAGAAAAGAAGUUGACAUAUCUAAAAUGAAAAUAGAUUUAAAAAAUAAAGAGAUAAAUAAAAACUCCAAGCAAGUUGGACGAAUUUGACUCUGUACAUGUGGAAUACCAUCAAGUAAUAAAAUUUUCUAGAAAUUUUCACUUAAUAUGAAAAAUCUAGGUCUUCCUACAAAAGUUUGGUGUCUUGAUUUAAAAUAUUUACAAUUGUGAUAUUCAUGAAAUUAAAUCUCAUGUUACUGAUGAAAAACAUAUGAUACCUUGCACAAAUUUGGGGGGCAGAUGUUGCAGCCAUGAGAACUCUUGGUGAAAUCAUGAUAAGGAAUGAUCCUCAGCCUCCCUUCUUCAUCAACAAAGCCGGGGUUGGUAUUGAUCUCUGAGAAAUAUUCCCUCAAUCCAAGAUGCUCCAGCAUUGUCUCAACGAAGAACAUGUUUGCAUCACUCACAAUCCUGAGUUCACACCUGAAAAAAUAUUCAAACCAAUUUGAUCACCCUAUAUUUCUAUUGCUUCAAACUGUAGUUUUUAUAGUCACAGGUCAAACACCAAGAGGAGAAGCAUAGAAAUAACGGAGUACCCUAAAGAAUGAGCUGAUUUAAUAGCGGGCACGAUCCUAGGAUGGAUAGGAGCUCGUUUCAGAACCUCAGCAAUGUCAUCAAUGGUUUUUUCUUGGGCAUGAAGCUCCUUCAUCAUCCUGUCCUGUAAUUUUAUUCCACAAACACUGAGUUUCAUUUUUUAUAAAUGUAAAGCCAACAGAAAGAGAAAUUGCAGAGGGCUUAAUAUGGGUUACCAUGAGAGAAUUCCAGGGCAUGAUAGGAAGAAGCUGGUUGAACAAGUCGGUGAAACCCAAGUCAUCGACAACCCAGUUAUCACUAUCACAGUCGAUGAUGGUUUUGUCAAAAUCAAAAACCACAACAGUUCCAGCCAUCUCUCUGAAUGAAAAUCAAACAAAAUACAAAACAAGAUUGGAAAAACUCAGCAACACUUUGAAUGUUUUCUUGUUGGUAUAGCAGCGUAACAGGGGAUGGGUAUUUAUAUGCAAACAAUGGAUUUUAUUUUAUGCCAAAGGAAUAUUACGUGAAGGGAUUAUUAGGUGUAAGUAGGAAGCAAUAAGUAGGACACAAGAAGCCCUUUUUCCUGCAAGCUUCCUACGCAACACAUACUAAUCUGAUACAACUGCUUGUAAAUUAUUACUCCGGUAUAAGCAAUAUUUACCGUUUGAUGGAUGACUUUUGAACCAUGUGAUUAAUCAAGUUUAGUCAGCGGAUCAGGGGGAAAAAGGUGUAGGUUAAUUAUGAAAGGGAUUAGGUUUAAGGCUUAAGGUUUGUCAAACUCCUCUCCAUUACUCCAUUCGCAUACUUGUGCCUUUACUAGCCUCCUGUUUUUUUGCAAAUCAAUUCCCAAACUGGGAAAUUCUUCCUUGUCAUUACAUAGUCCCCAUCUCCCUUCUUCAAACUUGGACAGAAAUCGCCAAGCUCAUCACCGAGGUAGAUUAUUGUUUUCUUCUCCUCCACGGGCAUGAGAGAGACUUGGAUCCUUCCAAUCAUAAUACCCUAUUAAGAAAGAAUUCAAUCAUUAGUCAGUUGGAUGGGAAGAAAAUGAAGAUAACUUAAAAAUAAUUAUAGCAUAAAAUUAUAUAUCUUACAGCUAAUCAUGCUUUGGAUUCAUUACGUUUACUAAACAUUAGAAUUCAGUGGCGGAUGCAUAUGGUAUAGUCGGGUAUUCAUGUACACCUCCAAAGGUUGGAAAAUAAAAAUGUUUUCUUCGGACACCUUCAAAUUUUCUUUUUGAACAUAUCUUUCUUAAUUCCUUAUUCUUCAAUCCUUCAUUCACUGCCACUAUCUAAUAUCCAAUCACAUCUCACAGUUAGUUAAUGCCCAACACACCUCCAUAAAAAAAAUCUUGCAUCCGCUACUGUUAGAAUUCAGUAAUAUUUCACGCAUGAAUGCAUGAUUCAUGUUAAAAAUGAUAUACCUUGCACAUGUUUGGAGGGCAGGGAUGAUGAAAUCCAUGAGUAGAUUGAGUGAAAUCAUGGUUAGGCAAGAUCCAUAGCCUGCCUUCUUCAUUUACCAAACCUGGGUUGGUAUUGAUCUCUGAAAAGCAUUCCCUCAGGCCAUGAUGCUUCAAAAUUGUGUCGAUGAAGAACACGUUCGCAUAACAUACAAUCUUCAAAUCUCACCUGAAAUUAAUAAUGCCAUACUAGUAUUUUUUUUUUUCUAGCGAGAAAACCAGAAAGAAACUUUAAAUAUACAUGCCGGCCGGAUUGUAGUUGGCGGGAAGGAAACUCCUAAAGCUAAGAAAUGUUGCCAGAGAGCUUAUAAAGUGUAUGGUCUUGCGACGGAGGAAUAAUAUCACAGGCUGCAAUCCCUGAGAAUGCAACUGUGGCAUCUGCUCUCUCGACAAACGAUUGGAUGCAAUAUCUCACUUCUUCUCUACUGAUGAGGGAUAUGCAGCAGAUGUCGGCUGGUCUGAUCUUUACUGAACAAGAAGAUGUUGUUUGGCAGGCAUCAAAGUCUAGCAAGUUCUUACUUUCAAAUACAUGGGACUGGAUCAGGGAAAGGCAACCCACUGUGGUUUGCCAUAAACUGGUCUGGAUUCCUCUUCACUCACCAAACAUAGUUUUAUCACUUGGCUUAAGGUUCUUAGUAGAUUGAGCACAGUAGCUAAUAUUAGGAGUUGAUGUACUCAAAUGUCACUAGGGAUCAUCUUUUCCUUUCUUGUGACUUCUCAAAGCAAGUUUGGCAAUUAGUUUUAGCAAAAGUGAAGUGUGUUUUUUAUUGCAAUAUCCAAAAAUGACAGCAGGAGCUCGAUUGGAUUAUUAUAGGUGAAACUUUUUAGACUAUGAUUCUGAGAGGAGUGUGAACAAGUAUAAAUAUAUCACAUUUGGCAUGCGAGGAAUUCUCCAAAACUUGGUAUUUGUUCUCUAAACAUUGACAAAUACUUUGCUAGACAUUAGUUUUAAUGUAAAGUUUUGCCUCUUAAAAUUUGUAAAAAAUAUGAAUAAUCCAUCUAUUAGCUCUGUAUGUAAAAAUUGAGGGCCGGGAUUGUAUAGGCAAUGCUAAAGCUCAUUGUUUGAUUUGUUGACUGGUGGCCUCCUACUUCUUUGGAUCAAUGAAAUACCAUUUAUGAAAAAAAAAAAAACUAAAUAUACACGAACAGAGAGAAAAAUGUAUGCAUAGCGCAAAGCAUGAGCCGAUUUAAUGGCUUUGAUGAUUCGGGGAUGCAUCGCAGUUGUUUGUAUAACAGCUACAAUGUCAUCAAUUUUUAUUCCUUACGAAUGAAGUUUUUUCAUCAUUAGAUCCUGUUUUGUAAAUAAAAAAAUAAACCCUGGUUCUUACAUUUGGAAAAGAAGGAAAAAGAAAAACAUAAAUUAAAAGACUAACCAUAAGAGAGUUCCAAGGCAUGUAGGGACGAGUUGAUUGAACAACUAUGUAGCACGUCAGAGAUCUAAGACAUUUGAAAUUCAAGUUAAUUGAUUUAUGAAAUUAUUUUUAAGAGUUGAUAUCUAGAGACUUAAAUCUCAACAUUUACAAUCAUUUCUCAUAUUCUCAAAUGGACUCCUUAAUAAAAAAAAAUGUCUAUAAUAAGAAAUUAAUUAUGUUUAAUUUGUUUGAAUUGUCAAGCUACUUUAUUCUAAGUUUUAAAAUUUUUUACUUUUUUAAAAAUAUGUUUAGAUUUUAAGUUAUAUAAUCAGAAACAAGUAAUUUAUAAUCAUAUUUCACAUAAAAAUCAUUUCUAGUUUAUAAGAUUUAAAUUUAAAUUAUAAUUUCAAAUUCUUUCUAAAAAUUAGAUCAUGUAAAAUCAAGAUAUAUUUAAAUUUAUGCUUUAUUCUGAUUCUUAAUCUCUUUAUUAUUAGAAUAAUUAAUCUACAUAAGUAUCUACAUAUAUAUUCAUAUCCAUAAUGUGUUUCUAUAAAAGUGAGAAAAUUUCUCCUCAAGAAGAAUCAAAGCAUGUAAGGAAUAUUGAACCUUUGGAAUUUGCCUAGUACAAGCAGAUAGAGAAGCAUUUCUACAGAAGCUGUAUAACAUGAGUGGGGUUUAAAAGAAUAAAAAGUUAGACAAAUAAAUUAAAUAGGUUCGGGUUUUGUUUUAAUAAUUAUAUUUAUUUACGCUAUAGUCAAGUACGUGCAAAACAUUAGUUUAAAAUUUAAUUCAGUUAACUUAUAAAAUUAUUUUUAAAAAUUAGUAUUCAAUUAAAAUUUAAAUUUCAAUACAUGUGUUAUCUUCUUUUAUUCCAUGUAAUCUUUUCUAAUAAAAAAUUAAGUCAUGUAAAGUUUUUUGUUAAUUUUUUAUUAUUUGUUAAUCUACCUAUUCUACAGUAUAUGAUUAAUUUAAUAACCACCACUCCACUUAAUUAAUCUUAACCUUGCAAUUAAAGAAGUAAAACUUUUCCAUUGAUAGGAACUUAAGUAACUUCUUGGUCAUGGAAAUAGCAAUCUCCAUAUUGAAAUGUAAAUCAUGAAAUUAAAUCAUUAAUCCUACUACACAAUUCGUCCAAUAGAAACUAAUCUAAUUUGAACAUAUAUGUAAAUUUGAGUAUAUGUGCAAAAACAAUAGGCGGACGAUUCUUAAGUGAUGAAAAAUUUAGAUAAUUUGAAACUAAACUCUAGUAGGUCAUGUAUAUAGUUGUUUUCGGAGAAGGUAUUCAAUAAGUUUAAGGUUUAAAUCUCAACACUUUCUUUCAUUUCAAAAUUACGAUCUCUUUUGUAACAAAAAAAAAAACUAGAAAUAAUCUUUUAUUUGUAACUUUAAACUGGUGAAUUUAAAUAACAAUAAAAAAAGACAACAAAAGGAAGUUCAUUUGCUCCUCAAAUAAAAUGAUUUGAAAUAGCUAUCAGAUAUAUGGGAAGGUAUGAAUCGGUCUAGAUAGUUAGCCUUUUGUGAAAAGUAUGGUCAUAUUACACAUCUCCUUUCAAUGGUAGUUGAACAUUCCCUCAUCAGAGUAGCAGUGCAAUUAUGGGAUCCUUCAUAUAGUGCUUCAUCUUCAAUAAGGUUGACAUGACACCAACUAUAGAGGAGUAUUUUACAUUGAUGAGUUUGCAUCUCCAAUUACUAGAUAAGAUAUAUGUUAGAAGGCAAAAAUCAACAUUUCGUAAAAAACUCAUAGAUAUCAUGGAGUCAAAAAGGAAGAUGUAAAUGUAUAGAUUUAAGAAAGAAAUGACCAUAUUUGUCUGCUUUGAGAGUUUUUUCAUAAUUUCAUCACAAAGCAUCUGAAUGAUGAUCAAGGGUUGGAUAUAUUUGCUUUAGCCAUAUAUGGCAUGGUAGUUUUUCCUAGAAUUUUAAGUCAUAUUGAUAUAGAAGUGAUUGAUUUUUUGUAGCAUGUGGAAAAAGGUUGCAAUCCCUCUUCUACAAGCUUAGUUGAAACAAUUAUAUCGCUGAAUUAUUUACAUCAAAAAGGCAAAGGGCACUUUGUUGGAUGUAUGCCAUUAUUAUAUUUGUCAAUGAAGAGUCACUUUAUGUGUAAGAAGAAUGCAUUUUCCAAAAUCUACUUUCGUAAUAGAGCUUCAAUUAAGCAAUUUUGUAAGAAUGAAUGGCCAAAGCCCAAAGUUAAGGAGGAAUGGAUGGUCCUGCUACAAGGUCUUAUUUGCACCCAAGUGAAAUGGUUAGUUCUAUGAAUGGAUCAUGAACUGAUGUUAUAUCCAUAUAAAGAUGAAAUAGGGGUCCCACUUCUAGGUUUAUAUAGAGCAACAAGUUAUAUAUCGCUUAUGGUUUGAAAGUAAUUUGAGGCUAAGUAGUUCAUUCUUAUGACAUACAAACUCACUCAAUCAGAUUUUUUACAUAGUGUGUUAAAAUUACUACAAAAGGUGGAUAAUGUGAUCAAGGCAUGGAAGAAGCCCAAAAGAGUGAAUCCUUGGUUAGCUAUUGACAAAGUCACUUAUAAGUAUUUGGUGUGGAAAGCCAAGAGAGGUAAGUAGGUUGUGUUUACACUCAAAGAUCAUUGCCAACCAGUGAAUUAGGAGUUGGAUGAGAUACCUUCAGAGUUAGAGUUUGUAAGGAAAGAAUUUAAAGCUAAGAAAGACAAGAUAAAAUAAGAGAUUCAAUGGCUUUAAGAAGAGGAAAGCAAUGGAAAGACAAGGUAGAAAAGCUAGAAGUUAGAGUCCACAAGAUCUCUAAUGAGCGUGAUACAAAAGUUAAUAAUUUGGCCAAACUUCAUCAAUAACAUAAGAAGUUAGAAUUUGAAUGUAAAGCCUAAAAUGAUGUUAGAAAACAUGACAAUGACUUUAAGGAGAUAAUGGAAUUACAUUAAAAGUAUAAAAGAUUACAUAUCCAAGUGAAGGCUAAAGAAAUAAAUAUCAUUAAUUUGAUUUUUUAGAAGGAAAAGUUGAAUAGAGAAUAUUCCCAAAUGGAGGAUAAUUGUGUUGAAGCCCAAAAGGAGAAUGAGAUGCUUAGAAGGUAUAUUUAGACAUUGAAGUAAAAGUUGAAUGAACAAAGAGGUCAGAUCAUGGUACUCACAAAAGAGCAUAGAGAGCUAUUUUACCAAGUAUGAUUUGGCAAAAAAAAAAGUCUGAGAAGGUAAAAAUACAUAGAGCAUCUUGCAACCUAAAUAAGUAAAGUAGUGAUCGGGGUAAGGGAAAUGGUUUAAGAGACUGAUGCAUUGAGAAUAAUGGUUACACCAAUAGAAGAACAUGGAUAACAUUUAUUAAACUUCAUUAAAGAGUUUAAGGAUCAGUAUAAGCAAAUUAAAUGUUUUUACAAGUAAGAAUAAUAGACUUAGUGUAAAACAAACUUUUAUGGAAUAAAUGAAAGUUCACUUGUGUUGAAAAUUUUUAAAGAAGCAAAUAUUUUCUUUGUUUCUUUUUUAUACAUUGCAUUCAUUCAUACAUAAUUAAAAUCUUAAUCGUGGCAAUCCAUAAUAAGACCAUUAAUUUAAGGUUAUGGUAUACAAAGUUCAAGGAUACAUCAAACACUAGUGCAACAUCAGAGCUCAAGCUAGAAUAAUUGAACAAGAUAAUGCAAGUCGUGUUGAGAAAUUACAAAAAGCUCAAGAGAAAAUCAAGGGAGAAUUGAGCAAAAUCUUUAAAGCUUUGACUAAGCUAAAUAAGAGAAAUACAAUAAAAGAAGACAUUUUAUAUGAAGUUACUGAUCUUUUGUAUUCUUUGAGUUAUGGCCUGUACCAAGCCCAAUCUACUCAAAGCUUCCCACCAUAACAGCUCACAUUGAUACAAGCUAUAUUUAUUUAGAAAUGCCACCUGCACUGACAACAGAGUAUCUAUAAAAUCAUACAACUUGGACUGAGACUAAGAUAGACUUAUCCAAAAAUAAGAUGGACAUAUCCUUGGUCCAAAUCCACAAAGUAAAUGCAAAAAUAAGGUAGACUAUACUAGGAAGGUUGUAUUCACACUAGUUAGAGUAGAAGAGGAUGAAUAUAGAUAAGAUUAUGGUCAAAUUCAUUAUUAUGUAAUUUGCAGGAGUAAAAUAGUUCAUAUGCAAAUCAUUUUAUUUUAGGCAUGAUUCUAGCAAUACAAUCUGAAAGUUCCCAUGCUUGAAGGGAUAUUCCUAGCCUAUAUAUUUUUUAUUAUUCUUUGGUAGAAGGCAAAAUAGAGUUUUCUUUAUCCUUAAGCAAUCUUUUAGAUUGUUUUUCAAGUUUUGUAUCUUUUAGGUGGAUUUCCUAGAAUGGUGAACUUUUAUUAUUCUGUAUCUUUGAUUGGAAUUCUUAUGGUGGUAUUUUUAUAUCCCUUAAUUGCUAGUUUUGGUGAUGAACUUUUAUCCCUUUUAAUCCAAUAAUCAUAUUUUGUCAUUAUUCAAAUCCUUGUGAGUUAUUUUCUUUAUGAGUUUUUUUAUUUAUAGUUAAUCUCCACAUCUUAAACAUCAAUUCUUAGCAUCAAAUUGGUAUCAAAGCUAUUGCAGGUUAUCGUCAUCAAGCAUAAGUAGAAGAGGUUAAAGCCAACACCGAUGUUGUAACAACUAUUAAUAUUGACUACUCAUAGAGGAGAUGCAGCAACAGAUCCUUCAACUAUAACAUCAACUAUAUAUACAAAAAGAAAGAGUGGAGAUAAAGAGGUAAUAAAAGAGAAAUGAAAAAGAUGAAGGAGAAACCAAUCCAUACCUUAGAAAUAAUAAUGAUUUUAAUGAUAGCAUCCUCUAUCACCUACGGUAAGUCAGAAAGUAUUUAAGCAGAAACCAAUUUCAAAUUAGCAUAUUCAAUCUGAAGAUAGAGAUUCUUGAGUUUAAGAGAAAAACGCAACCUGAAGAAUUCUUAGAUUGGCUAUACACAGUGGAACACAUAUUUAAAUAUCAUGAUGCCCUUUAACAUUGCAAGGUAAAGCUAGUGGCCAUCAAACUUAAAAAACAUGCAUCUUUCUAGUGAAAAAAUUCGAAAAAGCAAAGGGAAAAAAAGUAAGAGAAAAAUUAUAACUUGAGAGAAAAUGAAAAUAGUUGAAAAAAAAAAUAUCUCCCAGACAACUUUUGGCAAGAUGUCUUUCUUAGGCUUUAUAACUUGAAGCAAAGAGAUCUGUUAGUGAAAGAGUAUACUGCUAAGUUUGAUCACCUUAUGUUACAAUACGAAUUAAUGGAAUAAAAGGAGCAGACUAUUACCCAAUAUCUUAGAGGAUUGAAGAUUGAGAUAGCUAAUGUGGUACAGCUACAACCCUAUUAGACUUUCAAUGAUGUAUGCAAGCUUGCCCUUAAGUUGGAGAGACAACAAAAAGAGGCCUAUGAUAGCAAUUUAAGAUUUAGGUUUCGAAAAAGCAAGCCUUUGUCUAGUGCACAAGCUAGAAGGUGUUUUAAAUGUCAAAGGCUUAGACACAUUGCCUCAGAAUGCCCAAACAGAAAGAUUAUAAAUCUAGUAGAGGAAGACUUAGAGAAAAAAAGAAAAUAAGCUGGCAGAAAAGGAUUAAAAGCUUAAAGAGGAGGAAGAGGUAACUUAUGGCUAUUGUAAAGCAUCAUUAGUCAUACAAUACAACUUGAGUAUCGCACCUGCUAAGAAAAAAGAUUAGUUAUGUAAAAACAUAUUUCACACUCGUUACACUACCCAUGCGAAGGUAUGUGAUGUUAUAAUUGAUAGUGAAAGUUAUGAAAAUGUUGUUUCUACCUUUAUGGUACAAAAAAUAGGCCUCAAAGUAAUGGAUCACCUCUAACUAUAUAAGCUGUAUUGGCUACAAAAAGAGAAUGAAAUGAAGGUUAGCAAAAGGUGUUUGGUUCUUUGUUCCAUAAGAAAGUAAUAUAAAAAUGAAGUGUGGUGUGAUAUAACUUCAAUGGAUGCUUGCCAUUUACUGCUUGAAAGACCUUGGCAUUAUGAUAAAAGGGUUAUUUAUGAUGAUUACUGCAACACUUAUACAUUUGUGAAUGAUGGAUGCAAAAUCAUCUUAGGCCUUACCAAGCUCAUGGUGAUGUCAAAACCAACCAAAAAGAAAAAAAAACAGCUUGUUUACCAUGGCCAAUUACAGAAAAAAAUUAAGAUGGCCAAUACUAUAUACGUACUAGUAUUGAUUGAGAAGAAUAAGAUAGUGAGGAGAAUAAGAUAGUGAAGAGCCCUUAUAGUACCAUUGUUGGUAGAAUUUCAAGAUGUUGUUUAAGAAGAGUUAUCAGUUGGUUUACCAUUAAUGAGGGAUAUUCAACACUACAUAGACCUUAUCCUAAGAGCUAUUUUACCCAACAAGGCAAAACUUUUCUUGAAGAGUUACAUGGAAAGGAAAUUAAUGAGAACUUGUUUUACUAUAGGUGGAGUUUGCCUACAAUUAUUCACCAAGUCAAACUAUUGGUUAUAGCCCUUUUGAAAUUACUCUUAGUAAGAAAACAAUCUGGCCUUUAGUUUUAAGUCAACGUUAUACUAAUCAACAUUUUGAUGAAGAUGUAGAAAAAAAAGUCAAGAGUAUCAAAAUAUUUCAUGUAUAGGUUUAAAAUAGAAUUUUGUAAAAAAAUAAGAAAUAUAAAAGGGAAAUAAUCAUGCAUCGAAGACAUGUGAAGUUUAAAGAACAUGAUUUGGUGUGGAUUUACUUGCAAAAAGAAAGAUUUUCCCCAAAAAAGUUUGGCAAAUUACAACUUAAGGUAGACGGUCCAUUUAGAGUUAUCCAACGAAUUAGGGAAAAUGCCUACAAGAUACAGCUUUCGAACACUUAUAAAGUAUCUUUCACCUUUAAUGUUGUUGAUUUGUCACCUUAUCAUAGCAAGAAUACUAGUUUAGACUUGAAAACAAGUCUUUUUCAACCAAAGGAUAUUGACACUAAAGUAUCUACACAUCUUACAACUUAGACUGGGACUAAGGUAAACUUAUCCAAAAAUAAGAUAGGCCUAUCCUUGGUCCAAAUCCACUAAGUAAAUGGAAAAAUACACUAGCUAGAGAAGAAGAGCAUGAAUAUGGAUGGGAUUAUGGUUAGAUUCAUUAUUAUGUAAUAUGCAGAAGUAAAUGAGUUCACUUACAUAUCUCUUAAUUUUAGGCAUGAUUUUAGUAAUACAAUUUGAAAGUUCUCAUGCUUGGAGGGAUAUUCCUAGCCUAUAUAUUUUAUAUUAUUUUUUGAUAGAAGGUAGAAUAGAGUUUUCUUUAUCCUUAAAUAAUCUUUUAGAUUUUUCUUCAAGUUAUGUAUUUUUUAGAUGGACUUCUUAGAGUAGUGAACUUCUAUUAUUCUGUAUCCUUGAUUAGAAUUCUUAGAAUAAUAUUUCUGUAUCCCUUAGUUCUAGUCUUUGUGGUGAAUUUUUAUUCCUUUUAAUCUAAUAAUCGUAUUCUAUCAUUAUUCAAAUUCUUGUAAAUUGUUUUUAAUGAGUUUUUUUUUGUUUGCAAUUAAUCUCCACAUCUCAAACAUCAAUUCCCGGCAUCAUGCACCCAACCAAGGGAAUAUCCAAAGUUAUAUCAACCUUAUCUUCACUAAAAAGGUAGUUAAACCGAUCUAAGUUCUCAAUUUGAACGAUCUAAAAGAAAAACUAAAAUUAAAGAUGGUUGAGUCUUUAGAGGACUCUAAAACUAAUUAAAUGAUGAAAAUGCUAGAUGAGAGAUUAAAAGUUAUGAAAAGUAUUGAUUUUUAAGGUACUAAAGUUUGAGAAAUAUGACGAUACGAAAUAUCCCAUCAUGCAUGUUACGAUGUUCUGUUGUAAAAUGGUAGCUUACGCUAGUAAUGGAAAAUUACUCAUGCAUGUAUUCCGAGAUAAUUUAGCUGGUUUUGCUGUGAAGUGAUAUGUUAAGUUAGACAAAACUCAUACCCAAUCAUGGAAAAAUCUAACUCACUUUUUUCUUAACCAAUACCGUUAUAUCAUAUAUAUGGCUUUCGAUUGCCUUUCUUUACAAAAUAUAAAAAAAAAUGACUGAGUUUAAGGAAUAUGCCCAUAUAUGGCAAGAUAUAAUUGUUCAGGUCCAACUACCCUUAACCAAGAAAGAGACAACGGUUCUAUUUUUCAGCACUUUGAAAUCAUCCUAUUAUGAAAAGAUGAUAAGGAACGUGACUAAAAAUUUUGUUGAUAUGAUGAUUUCAGGCGAGAUAAUUGAAAAUGCCAUUAAGAAUGGCAAGGUUGAAAGAGGAGAGUCAUCAUGGCCAAGAGGAUGCCUAAGAAAAAGGAAAGUGAAACUUAAGCUAUGAGUUUCAAAAGGUAACAAUUCAGAAAUUAUACUCUUUACCCACAACCCAUUUAUCCUACAUACUAUUCCACCAAAAAUAAUGCUUUAACUUUUCAUACGAACUAGUUUCACAACUUUCUUAUCUUUUCACCUAUCAACCAGCAUUUAGACCACCCACCAAUGCAUACAACCCUAAUACCUCUCUACUAUAAGGCUUUUCAUGAGCCCAUCUAACCCAAUAAGUGGUCUAAAAAACCAUGAAAUAAUCGAAAGAAGCUUAUGUUUUGCCCUAUUCCCAUAAUUUAUAAGAAGUUGUAUAAAAAACUUUACAAUAAUCAUUUUAUUGCUCUUCUUUAUAUAAAUCCAUUUAAAUCUUUUUAUCUUAAAUGGUACAAUCCUACUGUUCAUUAUGAUUACCAUUAUGGAAUCAUAGGUCAUUUCAUUGAAAAUUACAUUACUUUGAAACACAAGGUACAAAAUUUAAUCAAAGAUAGGUUGAUUAACUUUGACACCAGUGAAAAUAACAUCCGAUGUUAGUGGUAAUCUAUUGCCCAAUCACACCGUAAAUGUUUUAAAUGAAGAUAAAAGACGUUGUAUGAAAAAGAGAGUAGAGGAGAUCAAAAGUCCAUUUAGUAGAUUGUAUGAUACUCUAUAUGAGGUUGGGAUGGUACAAUCAGUGGACCCACACAUUUACCAUAGGAGAUGCAUCCUAAAUCAAAGGUGUAAGUACCAUAGUGGGACUUUGGGUCAUUCUAUUGAGACUUGCAAUCAAUUUUAAGACAAGUUAUAGAAGUUGAUGGAUUCCUAUCAAAUUGAGCUAUAUGAAGAGGGAGAAACCUCGAGAAGUACUAAGGUGUCUAUGACUAAUAAGUCAAAGUGGGUACCAAAAUCAAUAACUACUUAUGGUGGUGAAAAGUCAAAAUCAAUUAUAGACAAGCUUGUCCAUAAGUUGUUACCUUCAAAGUCCAAAGCCCAUUCCCAUAUAAGGAUGAAAAGGUUAUACCGUGGAAAUAUGAUUGUGAAGUGAUAAUCCAAGGACAAGAGGAGACCAUACCCAAGCCAAACAUCACCAACAUAACUAGUGUAGGUGAUAUAACUAGAACUGGAAGGUGCUAUACUCUGAAGAUGGUGGAAAGGGCAAGAAAAAAAAUCAAUAAUGAUAGGAAAACAAGCUGAUCUGAAGGAUAGUUUCAAAAAAGACAAUCCAAGACCAUUGUUUGAAAAAAAAGCCUACGAGUUCUUGAAGCUCGUAAAACAUAAAGAAUAUUCCAUGGUCGAGCAACUAAACAAGAUGGUAGCUAGGAUCUCUUUAUUAUCAUUAUUAUUAAAUUUAGAACUGUAUCAUGAUGUCAUAUUAAAGGUGUUAAACCAAGCUUAUAUGGCCCACAAUCUAUUAAUAGAAUAUGUGAACCAUUUGGCUAGGAACCUAGUGGUGCCACAUUAUACAGCCUUUAACGAUGCGAAAUCCUAUCAAAAGGAAAAGGAAGCAUAAAGGUCUUGCACAUUAUUGUCGAAUGCAAGAGUCACAUAAUAGCCAAAGUGUUUAUUGACAAUGGCUCUAUUAUUAAUGUUAUGCCUAUAUCUAUUUUAGCGAGGUUGCCCAUUGAUGUGUCCUAUACAAAAAACAACUGUAUGGUUGUUUAAGCUUUUGAUAGGACUAGGUGUAAAGUAUUAUGAGACAUUGAAACGCAUUUAUAAAUUGGGCCUUGCACAUUUAAUGUAAAAUUCUAGGUUAUGGACAUCUCACCUUCUUAUAGUUAUUUGUUAGAUAAGCCAUGGAUUCACAUGGCAGAUAUUGUUCCCUCCUCUUUACACUAGAAAGUUAAGUUUAAUAUAGAAGGAUAAUUGGAGAUCAUGGUUAAAAAAAAGGAUUUGUAAGUAACUCAGUCCAUGAACAUUUCUUAUGUAAGGCUACGAAAAAAUCAUUGGAGUGUUCCUAUCAAUCCUUCAAGCUUGUCAAUACUAUGGGCAAGGGGUCUAAAUUACACUAACCAGAUUUCACUAGAAUUGUGGUUAGCUAGAUUAUCAAAAAAGGUUGGUAUCCUAGAGUUUGGUUGGAUAAAAUUUUGCAAGGACUAAAAAAGCCUCCAACGAUAAUAGAUAAUAGCAAAAGAUUGGGCUUGGGAUAUGAAGUAAAGAAAUAGGAAAUAAAGAUGAUGAAAAACAACCGAAAAGGAAAAAUGAUAGCGAGGAAUAUACUUGUCAUAAUAUAUAGAUUCAUAAAUCUAUAGUUAUACUUAACAAGAAGAGUCGCCACCAAUCUUUUUUUCUAUGUGUGAUUGGUCACCUAAUGAAUCUACCAUUUUAAAAAGCUUAUAAGCUUGACUAAGGCUCCCUAAAGAAUAGGUUCUGACCUUCUAAAUAGAAUUAGGUUUGAGACUUUAAUUAUUUAUGAAAAAAGUUAUAGCACCACCACAACGCCUAUCUUAAGAUGAUACUAUUUAAUUUUAAAUUAUCUUAACAAUUAUCCUAGUUCUAAAGGUUUUUAUUUUAAUGUUUAAAUAUUGGAAAUGAAUUCUAAGAUUUCUCCAUCAAUUUGAUAGAAUUCUUAAAAAUACUUCCUCACCUCAAGAGUAUAUAAGAAUCUCAUUUGUUUUCUUACAAAAGUUUUAUCGUCGAAAAAAUGUUUAAUCAUUUUUAUUUUAAUUUUUUUAUUAAAAAUAUAUCUAAUUAUUCCAGUAUUUAGAUCAAAUUAGAAAUAUCUUCUCACCUAGAACUUUCUUAAAUGAUCAACCAUUUGCAAUUACUAAGAAUUUCCUCAUCGGGAUUUAUUUUUAUUUUUAAUUUCUAAAUAUUUCACUAUUUAGGUCUAUUUAGAAAAUUUUUUUUUAUUUUUGGAAAGAACAUAAUAUAACAAUUAUUUUUUAAAUUUUCAUUUUAAUUCUUUCAUCAUUUGAAAUAAAUUUAAAGAAAAUUUCUCACCUAGAAAUUUUUUAAGAAUUUUACCAUUUGAAAUUUCUAAGUUCUCAACCUUGGAUAAUUGUCAAAUAUUUUUAACCAAAAUUUUUUAUUUGGAAAAGAAUACAAUUACCUUUAUUAAAAUUUUAUUUAAAUUAUUUUACCAUUUGAAACAAAUUUAGAGAAACUUCUCACCUAAAGAUUUCUUAGAGAAUUUACCAUUUAAAUUUCUACUAAUCUCAUCUUUGGGCAAUUAAUAUUUAAUUCCAAAAUUUUUUUAAAUUUUAUUUUUUUAUUUUGAAUUGAAAAUAAAUAUUUAUUAUUUUUAUUAUUUUUAUUGAAACUUUAUCUAAAUUUUUCUACCAUUUGGGACAAAUUUAGAAAAAAUUUCUCACCUAAGAAUUUUAUAGAAAUUUACCAUUUAUAGUUUCUAAAAAUUUCAUCAUUGGAUAAUUAUUAUUUAUUCUUUAAAAAAUUAUUAAUGUUUUAUUUUAUUUUUUUAUUACUUCUUUUAACUUUUUUUUAAAAUUUAAUUAAGCAAAAAUGCUUUCAAAAUAAAUAAACAAAAUAAAUAAAUAAAAUAAAAACAGCAAAACAGGAAUCGACUUGGCUUGGUUGUUGUGUAUGGCUAGGCUGUAAGCACGAAACUGGCUAAAAAGACUUGGAAAGUGACUUAACUUGGCUUAGUUGUUGGUUGCUGGAUUCUGGGAUUAACCACCAGAAUAUGAGUAAUUACAUUAGAAUUUUACCCUCAAUUGUUGUCAAACCCUUACUCUUACUUUCUCUUCUAUUUUUUUUUUUCAAUUGCUCUUUGAUUGUUGUCUUUUUGUUCUUUGAUUUAAAGGUCUAUUUAUAAGGUACAAUAUGGAGAAUUUCAUAUUGAUUCCAACUUAAAAAUUAGGAUUAUCAUGAAAAAAUAAAAUUUAUCUUUGAAAAGUUUAACUUCAAAUUUAAUCAUGAUAAAACUACAAUUAAAGAUAAACAACAAAUAAGCAAGAUAAAAUAAGUAAUAAAAUAAAAUAAAAAAGAUAAAUAAAAAAUAUAUAUAGAUAAAUAAAGUAAAAACAUAAUUUUGACAAUUAAACUUGGAUCAAAUCUGAGCCUAAUUGAUUUGGGCAUUUGGCCUUGAAAUUGAAUCAGACUUAGUUAAUUUAGACCUCGAACUAAAUUGGGUAUCUACAGUUGCCCCUCUUUCCUCAUUUUCUGUGCAAUAGGAAUUGUGCAACAAUAUAGAUAUUCAUUACAUCUAGAUAUAGCUUAACAACAAUUAUAAAAUCUCAAAACUCCAAAGAUUCACAAUUUGAAAUAUUCAAGAACUUCACAAUUAGACAAUUAGUAACGCAAGUUGAAACUCAAAGAUUCACAAUUUAAGUUCAAAAAAUCACCAUUUUGAAAUUCAAAGGUUCACAAUUCAAUGAUUAGCAAGGUUCAGUUUCCCAAGAAUUUGAUUCACACGGAUUUUCAAAUUCUCAAAAUUUCUAAUUCGCAAGGAUUUUUAGAUUUGCAAGAAUUUGAUUAUCAAAAUUUCAAUUUCACAAGGUUUUUUAGCUUAACAAGAUUUUUCAACCUCACAAGAAUUUAGAUUCACAUGAAUUUGAUUCUCAAAAUUUCAGUUUCACAAGGAUUUAGAUUCACAAAAUUUUAAAUUCGCAAGAUUUUUCAGUUUCACAAGAUUUCAGAUUUGCAAGAACUUAGAUUCACAAAAACUCAUAUUCAUAAAAUUUUAGAUUCAUAAGAACUUAGAUUCACAUUUGAGAGAUUCACAUCCAAAGUUCAAUUCAAGGAUUUGCAUCAAAAUUGCAAGACUCACAUACAACAUUUAAAGAUUCACAUUAUUCUAGAGAUUCACACCCAAAAGUUUAAAGAUUUUUAUUUAAAAAAGUUUAGGAAUUCAUUUCUAAGAUUUCAAAGUUUUUCAUUCGAUUUCCAAGAUUCACAUUUGAUAAAUUUUAGAGUUUCACAUCUAUAUUCAAAGGUUCUCAUUCAAAACAAAAAAUUAGGGGUUCACAUCUAAAAAUUUGAAAGCUUCUUAUUUGAGUUCAAAGAUUUACAUUCAAUAAAUUUUUGAGUUUCAUAUCUAAAUUCAAAGGUUAUUAUUAAAAAAUUUCGAGGUUCACAUUCAAAAUUUUUAAAGCUUCUCAUUCGAGUUCAAAGAUUCACAUUCGAUUGAUUUUAGAGUUUCACAUCUAAUUUAAAGUUUCUCAUUUAAAAAAAAUUUGGGGUUCAUAUCCAAAAGUUUCAAGCUUCUUAUUCAAGUUCAAAGGUUCACAUUCGAUUGAUUUUAAAGUUUUACAUCUAAAUUCAAAGGUUCUCAUUUAAAACUCAAAGAUUCUUACUUAAAACUUAAAGUUUCUCAUUUAAAACUUCUCAAAGAUUCUAAUUUAAAACUCUUUAAAGUUUUUCAUUAUUUUUAACUUUAAAAAUACUCCAUUAAAAGGCUCCAUAACUUUAAAAUUCUAAGUGUUCUCUUCAUAAAACAUUUUUCCAUUUAAAGAUUCUCAAAUUUAUAAAAAUUAUCAAUCUUUUAUCAAAGUCAAAACUUUGUAUAUAAAGAAUGUCAUGAUUAUGAUGCAAAUGAAACAAUCUAGAUUCUCUCAAUAAUGUAGACGCCAUAUUUUAAACCAUAAUUCAAAUGUCUACUACAUGAGGCAAAUGCAUGGCCAGCCAAGAUUCAAAUAUUCACCAGAUUAUAUACAUGUAUUCUUCAAAUAACGAUGCAAACACAAUGCUUGGAAUGCAAAUAUCAAUGUCAUGAAAUUCUUACUUAAUUGUGGUAAUAAGGUUCUUAAGACUCCACCAUCUCAUCUUUUCUCUUUUUAGUAUCUUGGCACUAAUUAUUUUAGAAUAAAUUCUAUCAAUUGAUCCACAUUAUUUUCACCAUUUGAUCACGGCUCAAAGGGUUCACAGCACUAGCAAUUUUAAAACAAAUUUUGUUUAUUGAUUCACAUUAUUUCCAUCACUUGAUCACAAUUCAUAGGUUAUGUCGAUCGAUCCAUUACCAUAUUCAUCACUUGAUCAUCCCAUGUGUCUUUCAAAUCAUCUUUUUAAGCUUUUUUCAUCUUUUUAUUUUCAUUUUUUUUGCCUUCUAGACUUCUUUUUAAAGGAAUACAUGAAUCUUUUCUAAAUAUUAUCAUUCAUUCAUUAUCAUUUCAAUUUUAGACAAAUAUAAUGCAAUCAUAUAUUUUCUUAAUUUAUUUUGAGGAUGCAAAAAUAAGAGAGUACAAGGUGAAUUACGAGAAAGGUAAUCAAUAUAAGAAUGAGUCUGGUACAAAAAUAAAUGGGCAAAGAAAAAAAUUCAAAACAUAUCACUAGGGAUGAUAUUGAAUGGUACAACAAUGUCCAAACAACGAAUACUCAAACAAUUCUUAACAUGAAUCAAAAAUUCUUUUCCAAAAACUCAUUCCAUUGUUUUUCAAAAUUAUAUGAAGCUUAUUGAACAUUGCCCCAGCCUUAAGGGAUUUUUAGAUGUCUUUGAUCUUUCAUAUAUUUGAAUUGUUUAUCUAACUUUCAGUUCAAAUGUUUUUUUACACAAAUCGCCCUUUCAGGUUUUCAAUUUAAGUUUUCCUUUUCUCUCGUUUUACAUUUUUUCAUUUUUUUCAUUUUCAUUUUUUCCUUUCAUUUUUUUUAUUUUUUAAUUUCUCAUUUUUUAUUUUUUUCUUUUCUCAUUUUUUAUUUUUUUCUUUUCUCAUUUUUCAUCCAUUAUUGAUAUCUCCCACACAUCAAUCUCUAAAACACAUAACAUGAUUCCAUUAUUCCAUUAGAAGCAUGCCCUAGCCUAACAUAUGAUCAUUCAAUUUGAAUGUUCACAUUUGAUCAAAAUAGACUUUUAAAGGUUGUAAUGUAGGCUAUGGUGAAGGGUCAUGAAAGAAAUUGAUAAAAUAGGCUCAAAACACAUGUUUAAAUGGUUCAAACCAAAUGAUCAUUUCCCAUCAUGUAAUGCAGUUUAGCACUUUGCCCUUUUUCAUACCAUUUCACUAUUUUUUUCAUCUUAUUUCUCACAAAAAGAUUCUCAUUACUUCAACCCAAAUCAUUUGUUGCAUUUAUUUUCUUUUUUUUUAUAUAUAAAGGAUUAUUUUUUCCCUUUUUUUUUUUACUCUUUAUCUUUAUAGCCUUUUGUGAUCUCUUGUCCUUUUCCUUCUUCAAGUAUGUUUUUCUCAAAAUUUGCCCUUCAGUAUAGAGGAUAAUCCUUGGUUGGGUUUCUUUAGGAAAAAAAUCAUAAUAAGCUCAAAAGGGGUAACAAUAAAUGGUUUUAUGAAUGGCAAAAGAAAUAUGAUCAUUUUUCAUCUCAAAUGUGAAUGUUUUCUUUAAAGAUCAUCUAUUAAACAAAGAUAAACUCAUGGAUCAUUAUAAAUGAUUGCAUAUCUUCAAGACAUAUCUAUUUUAUAUCUGCUAACAGCUUACUUUUCUUGCUCAAAUAGUUUCCAUAGAUCAAUGUGAAUGAGUUCUCAAAAUCAAAUCCUAGAAUUAUUGUUAUCAUUGUCUAAACAUUCAUCAUUAAGAAUUGGAAUAAAAGAUAUGUGAAAAAACUAAGCAUGGAAUAGUAGUUGGGAUAAAAGAAAAAAUAUAAUGAAAUACACUAUACUAACCUUUUAUUAAAAUGAUAAAAAAAUGAAAUCUUAUUACACAAAAAAAUCCUAACAUUACUCUAAAAAGAAUCCCAAAAUGACAAGCAACACCAACUAACCUUAAUGUCCUUGUCCAUUUUAAAAUUAUGCCCCUGUGUGAUUAGGUGAAUGAUUUUUAUUGAUAUCUUGCCCCCUUAAUUCAUUAAAGCUCACCAAGCUUUUUUCGGAUUAAACUUUGCACCUUAUGUUUGAAAGUAGGGUAAGUUUCAAUAAAAUGACUCAUAAUCCUAUUAUGAUAAUCGCAUGUCACAUUAGCAUCAUACCAUUUUGGAUAGGGUGGUUUUAACGGUUCUAGAAUAACUAGAGAUACCAAGUCAUUCUUAACCAGUUCUGGGAAUAACUCAGUGUAAAGUCAUACGAAUAGGAUCAAUGUGAGCCUUUUCUUGGUUAUUUUGAGAUCUCCUUAAACCACUUACUUGGUUGUUAAGCUUUGAAGCUGAUGUAGUGAUAUAACUAGAUCCAUAUACAAGUAUUUGAAAUGUUGAUUAAUAAGUUAGUGGGUAAGCUAGUUAUGGAUAUGGUUGGUAAAGGGCCUCCGUAAUACAUUAAUUGUGGGAUAGUAAACAAGAUGAACAAGUGGUAGAUAUGAAGCAUAGCUUCUAAAUUGUUGCCUAUCAAAAUUCAUAGCUUAGGUUUCGACUUUUUUCUUUUUAGGCAACCCUCUUUUCCAGAUAGUUUCUCUUUCAUGAAACUUGCCACGUUGAUAGCAUUUUUAAUAAAUUUUCUUGAAAUCACUAUAUCAAUAAAUUUUUUUGUUGCAUUCCUUAUCAUAUUUUCAUAAUAGGGGAUUUUAAAGUACUUACAAAUAACACUGUGAUCUUUUUUUAGUCAAAAGUGGCUAAACUUAAGUAGCUAUAUCUCUUCACCUUUAGGCAUACUUCUUAAAUGAUUCAGUUACCUUCUUCUCCCUAUUUUGUAAGAAAAAGUAAUCAAAAGCUAAAUCUAUUAUAUAUCGAUACUAACUAAAGAAGUCACAGGCUAUCUUACUCCAAAAGUGAAUGCAGGUCUUGUCCAAUUGGUCAUACCAUCUAGCAGUAGAACCAAUAAGUUUAUCUUGAAAUACGUAUAUUAACAGCUUCUCAUUAUUAGCAUAGGCAACCAUCUUCUGACAAUAUAUAGUAAUGUGGGUCUUUGGACACUUUGUACCAUAAUAUUUCUCAAACUCUAGUACUUUAAACUUCAACAAAAUAACAACAUCUGAGAUUAAAUUGUGCCAAGUAGCAUCUAUAGAACCAUAAAAACCAAUUCCCUCUACUGCUCAUAACCUUUCCUCGAGCAUAUUCAUCUUUCUAUCAGUUAUUAAUCCUUCUAAAGUCUCUUUCUCCUUAGGCCUCAGUUUAUUUUUCUCUUUUAGGUCAUCCAAGUUAGAGAUUGGUAUUGAUUCUACUAUUUUCUCAAUAAAGAUAGAAUUUACAUAACUCUGAUAAUGCCUUAGAUUUGAGUCGAUGGCAUUACAGGGUAUGUAUACCCUACAAGGUAUUUCUAUUACUAUGAUAAUGCAUCUUGUGUGGACUAGGCUUGAUGUGGCCCAUAACUAGGAAGAUAAAGAGGAUCAACAAUAUCUUAUACGGAAUGGUUUUGCAAGUUGGUUUUUUGUACACUUUUUCCCUUGUUCAAUUUAUUCAAAAAUAUUAUAAUCUUAUUCAACUCCCCUUCGAGCUUUUCUCGAGCUUUUUUUAUUUUUUCCAAAUGAUUUGCAUUUUCCUAUUCCAUUUGCCUAGCUCGAGCUCUGGUGUUGUACUGAUGGUGAAUGUGUUGAAUUGGGUUCUUAAACAGUGGAGCUAUCUUUAAACCUUGUACCAAAUUAGCUUACUUAUGUUACUAAAUGUGUAUGUGAAGAAGCUUUCAAAAUUAACCUAACUGUUUUAAGAAUGAAUGCAUUGAAUACUUGACAUAACAACUUACGAUUCAUAAACACAUGAAUGUAUGCACAGCAAUGUAUGAAUGCAUGUAUUGAUGUUUGUCCCAUUAUGAUGCAUGGGUGGAUACAUAUGUUAGUGAUGCUAAAAUAAAAUACAACACACAACAUGCAACAAAUUAAUCAACAAGGAUAAAAUAAUGUUUAUCAUGAAGUUGAUAUGAAUGAAGCUCAAAAGGUUCACUCAUAUGUCCUAAUUAGGGUUAUAUUCUAAUGAUAGGUAGAUAUGGCUCUAACCUAAGGUUGGCUUCUUAUUUUAUAUAUAGUUUGGGUUAAAUCUGAAGGUUCCCAAAUUGUUCUCCUUCAUCACAAGCUAGUAAGACACUCCAAUCCUCACCCAUCAUAAGCUACAAACGAAAAAAAUUCAAUUUAAGUUAGAGUAUUUCAUUUGCCAUUACAAAGAUUACCAUCUUACAAAAAUGUAGGUACUUUACUCUUUCUUAAAGAGGAUAGAGCCCGAGUAUAGAGCUCAUAUGAUGCAUAUGCAUGUGAUGGUGUGUGAAGGAACACAUAUCUUUAUUCAUAAUUUUCACAAGCCAAGUUAAAGAAUAAAAAAAUAAUAAUUCAAGAUCAACCAAAAAAAAAAAAGAUAAUUCAAAAGUAAUUAAUGGCCUAACUCCUAGUAUCCCUAGUAGAGUCGCUAUACUAGCAUAAUAUAUAGAUUUGUAAAUCUAUAGCUAGACUUAACAAGAGAAGUUACCGCCAAUCUUUUUUCUAGGUGUGAUUGGUCACCUAAUGAAUCUACCCUUUUAAAAAGCUCCUAAGCUUGACUAAAGGCCCUUAAAAAAUAGGUUCUGACCUUUUAAACAGAACUAGGUUUAGAAUUUCAAUUACGUGUGGGGAAGGUUAUAGUGCCCCCACAACACCCAUCUUAAGAUGAUACCAUUUAAUUUUAAAUUAUCCUAACAAGUAUCUUGGUUAUAAUGGUUUUUAUUUUAAUGUUUAAAUAUUGAAAAUGACUUCUAUGAUUUCUCCAUCAAUUUGGUAGAAUUCUUACAAAUACUUCCUCACCUCAAGAGUAUUCAAGAAUCCUAUUUGUUUUCCUAAAAAAGCUUCGUCGUUGAAAAAAGAUUUAAUCAUUUCAAUUUUUUAUUGAAAAUAUAUCUAAUUAUUCCACAAUUUAGGCCAAAUUGGAAAUAUCUUCUCACUUAAAAUUUUUUUAGAUAAUUAACUAUUUACAAUUAUUGAGAAUUUCAUCAUCGAGAUUUAUUUUUAUUUUUUAUUUCUAAAUUUUUCACUAUUUGGGUCUAUUUAAAAAUUCUUUUUUGUUUUUGUUAUUUUUGGAAGAACAUAAUAUAACAUUUUUUUUUGAAAUUUCAUUUACAUUCAUCCACUAUUUAGGUUAAAUUUAAAGAAAAUUUCUCACCUAGAGAUUUCUUAGAAAUUUUACCAUUUGAAAUUUUUAAGAUUCUCAUAUUUGGAUAAUUGUCAAAUACAUUUAGCGAAAAAGUUUUAUUUGGAAAAGAAUAGAAUUACUUUUAUUAAAAUUUCAUCUAAAUUAUUCCACCAUUUGGGACAAAUUUAAAAAACAUUUUCACCUAAAAAUUUCUUAGAGAAUUUACCAUUUCAAUUUUCUAAGAAUUCAUCCUUGGAUAAUUAGUAUUUAAUUCCAAAUUUUUAUUAUUUUUUAUUUUGAAUUGAAAAUAAAUACUAAUUAUUAUUAUUGAAACUUUAUCUAAAUUAUUCCACCAUUUGGGAUAAAUUUAGAAAAAAAAAAUUUUACCUAGGAAUUUUAAAGAAAUUUACCAUUUACAAUUUCAAAUAUUUCAUCAUUUAAUAAUUAUUAUUUAUUCUCAAAAAAAUUAUUAUUAUUUUUUAUAUUUUUAUUAUUUUUUCUAACUUUUUUUAAAAUUUAAUCAUGCAAAAAUACUUUAAAAAUAAAUAAACAAAAUAAAUGAAUAAAUAAAUAAAUAAAAUAAAAAAUACCAAAAUAGGAACCGAUUUGGCUCGAUUAGUGUGUGUGGCUAGGCUGCAGGCACGAAACUAGCUAGAAAGGCUUGAAAGUGGCUCAACUCGACUUAGGUGUAGGUUGCUAGAUUCUGGGAUUGACCAUCGAAAUCUGGGUAAUUAUGCCAGAAUUUUACCCUCAAUUGCUUUCAAGCCCUUGCUAUUAUUUUUCCUUUAUUUUUCUUUCCAAUUGCUCUCUGAUUGUUGUCCCUUUGUUCUAUGAUUUAAAGUUCUAUAGUACAAUAUGGAGAAUUUCAUAUUGAUUCCAACUUAAAAAAUUAGGAUUAGCAUGGAAAAAUAAAAUUUAUCUUUGAAAAGUUUAACUUCAAAUUUAAUCAUGAUAAAACUAUAUUAUCACUAGUCACUCCUUUUUAAUUUAUGGCCAUUCAUUCUUUUUUUCAAUUAUCCAUUUUUUUUGAAAUAUCCAGAUAAAUUUUAAAAAAAUUAGACAAAUAUAAGGGAAUACAAUUAAAGAUAAACAAUAAAUAAAUAAGAUAAAAUAAAUAAUAAAAUAAAAUAAAAAGGAUAAAUAAAAAGAUCUAUAUAGAUAAAUAAAGUAAAAACAUAAUUUUGACAUUAGGCUUGGAUCAAAUCUGAGCCUAAUCGAUUAGGGCCUUUGGCCUUGAAAUUAAAUUGGGCCUAGUUGAUUUAGACCUUGAACUAAAUUGGUUGUUUACAACUGAUGGUCAUUCUAGUAAGAUAUAUAUAUCUAAGGUCAAAGGAAGAUGCUAAAGAGAAACUGAGUGUGGAAGAAGCUUUUGCCAAGUUGUCCAUCCAGAUAAUAGCUGAAAAAGAUAGAAAAGUCCAAGAGAAAAUGUGUUGGUCCAUCCAUGUCUACCAAGCUUUGAACUAAAAAAUUAGAGUAUCAUCAAGACACUUGCUGUCCUUAAUACCUUUCAAUAUAAUUAUAAAUCCCAAUUGCCUAUGGCCAAAAGUAUUGGGAUGGCCUUUUAUGUACAGGCCUUUUAUCAGUUAUUAUCUUAAUAAAAGAAUAGAAGUAUGCAUUUUCCUUCAUUUUUUCUAUUCAGUUUUCAUUUUUCAUCUAGUCAAAACAUUUUUCCAAAACUUUCCAUUUCAUUUAUUUUAGAUCCUUAAAUUAAUAUGAAGAUAAUCAUAAUAACAAUUAGAAAUUUGAUUUUGAAAACUCAAUUAAUGCUGAUGAACUUAACACCAAAGAUGACUAUGAAAAAUGCACUUUACCUUUAGAUCUAAAGAAAUUGAUUGAAUAGGAGAAUAAAUCUAUUAAGCCUCAUCAAGAAAUCACUAAGAUGAUAAAUUUAGGGGAUGAUAAGAAUAAAAAGGAUGUUAAGGUUUGCUUAUCACUUCCAUCAACUGAUAGACAAAAGUUAAAAGAUCUACUUUAAGAGUUUAUAAAUGUGUUUGCCUAGUCCUAUCAGGAUAUGCCAGGGCUUAGCACCAAAAGAGUGGAGCAUAAGUUACCUUUGAAACCUAAAUGUAAGCCUGUUCAACAAAAAUUGAGAAAAAUAAAGCCUAAAAUGCUAUUGAAGAUUAAAAUAGAAGUAAAAAACAGUUUAAUGUAGGUUUUCUACAAGUGGCCAAAUAUCUUAAAUAGGUAACUAAUAUAGUAUCUAUUCUUAAAAAAGAUAAAAAAAUAUGAAUAUAUGUAGAUUAUCGUGAUCUAAAUAAGGCUAGCCCGAAGGAUAAUUUUUCUCUACCUCAUAUAUACACAUUGGUGGAUAAUAAGGCCAAGCAUUCAAUAUUCUCUUUUAUGGAUGAGUUCUUAGGUUAUAAUCAGAUAAAGAUGGCCCAAAAUGACAUAAAGAAAACUAUAUUCGUAACCAUAUAAGGUACUUUUUGUUACAAAGUUACGCCUUUUGGAUUGAAAAAUACCAGCGUAAUUUAUCAAAGGGUUAUGGUAACACUCUUCCAUAACAUGAUACAUAUGGAGAUUGAGAUGUAUAUGGAUGAUAUGAUCACAAAAUAUCGUGAACAAGAAGACCAUGUAACUAACCUCAAAAAGUUGUUUGAGAGGUUAAAAAAGUUUCAACUAAAGUUAAAUCCAUCUAAAUGCACAUUUGGAGCUAAGCCAAGCAAAUUGCUAAACUUCAUGGUUUGUGAAAGAGGGAUUAAAGUUGACUCAAACAAGAUACAGGCCAUUCAAAAUCUAUUUCCUCUAAGCAUGCCAAAGGAAGUUUGAGGUUUUUUAGACAAAUUGAAUUACAUAUCUUGAUUCAUUUUUCAACUUACCUCUAAAUGCAAUCCCAUCUUUAAACUCUUUCAAAAGAACAAUCUUAUUGAGUGAAAUAAAGAGUGUCAAAAAGCUUUUGAUAAGGUUAAGUAGUACCUAUCAAAUUUUUUAGCGCUGGUAUCAAUUCUUUUAGGAAAAUCGUUAAUUCUAUAUUUAACUAUAUAUAAGAAGUCAAUGGGAUGUAUGUUUGGGCAACAAGAUAAGUUUGGUAAAAAGAGAAAAGUUAUUUAUUACUUAAGCAAGAAGUUCAUGAAAUAUGAGUCCAAGUAUUCAUUAUUGGAGAAAAUGUGUUGUGUUUUAGCUUGGAUAGCUAAAAAACUCAAGCAGUACAUACUCUACCAUACCAUUUGGCUUAUAGCCAAAUUGGACCUAAUCAAGUAUAUUUUCAAGAAAUUGUCAUUUUUAGAAGAAUUGCAAGAUGGCAAAUAAUGCUAUCGAAGUAUGAUAUUGUGUAUGUAUGCCAAAAAGCAAUCAAAAGAAGUGUCAUAACAGAAUUUCUUAUAGAUUAUGUUACUGAAAGCUAUGAGCCAAUGAAACUUGAUUUUUUAAAUGAAUAACUAAUGGCCAUUUUUUAGCCAUAAGAAUGAGAAAUCCUAGAAAAUGUACUUCAAUGGGGCUGAUAAUGCCUUGAGGCAUAAAAUUAGGACAAUUUUGAUAUCUCUCGAAGGAUAGUAUUAUCUCGUUAUGGCAAGGUUGAACUUUAAUUACACUAAUUAUGUGGCAAAAUACGAGGCCUAAGUUACAAAUGGCUUUGAAUAGGAAAAUUAAAGUGUUAAAAGUGUUCAGGAAUUCAACUUUAAUCAUUUAUCAAUUGAAAAGAGAAUGGGAGACAAAAGAUUUGAAACUUAUUCCAUAUCAUAAAUAUAUCUUAGAGUUAUGCAAACAGUUUAAGGAAGUUUAAUUUAAACAUGGCAGUGAUAAUUUGGGUUAAUAACAAUACUAAGAUUUAGCUCAUUAAGUUAGAUAUCCAAGAUAUGCUAAUAACAUUGCACUAAUGUGAAAGAGGAAGAAGAUGGAAAGCCUUGGUAUUAUGACACCUGUAAUACUUAAGGAAUUAGUAAUACCCAGAUCAUGUAACAGAGAAUGAUAAGAGAGUCCUGAAGAGAUUGGCUAUGGUUUCUUCCUAGAUGAUGAGGUCCUUUAUAAAAGAAGUAGAGAUCAGAUGUUAUUAUGAUGUGUAAUUAUAGUUGAGGAAAAGAAGAUUAUUGAGGAUGUGCAUGAUAGAGUAUGUAGAGCAUAUGCAAAUGGACACAUGAUAGCAAGAUAGAAUAUAAGAGCUAGAUACUACUAGUUAAUAAUAAAGAGCGACUGCAUUGAUUAUGUUCAUAAGUGUCAUAAGUGUCAAAUUUAAGCUAACAAGAUCUAUGCUCCACCAAUUAUUUUACAUGUUUUGGCACCACCUUGGCCAUUCUAUAUAUAGGGCAUGGAUGUUAUUGGUCCCAUUACUCUAAAAGCAUCAAAUAAAAAUAGAUUCAUUUUUAUGAUGAUUAAUUAUUUCACUAAAUUAGUUGAAGCAUCUUCAUAUAUGAAUGUGACAUGAUCAAUGGUUUGCAAGUUUAUAAAAAAAAAAAAUCUACAAAUAUGGACUCUGAGAGAGGAUCAUCUCAGAUAAUGCUAAAAACUUAAAUAGCAAGAUGAUGAAAGAUAUAUGUGCUUAGUUCAAAAUUAAACACCAUAACUUAGCAUUAUAUUACCCAAAGAUUAAUGGGAUAGAAGAAGCUGCUAAUAAAAAUAUCAAAAAAAUUUUAGAGAAAAUUACUAAAAUGUAUAGAGAUUGUCAUUAGAAAUUACUUUUUGCUUUACAUGCCUAUUGAAUAUUAUUACAUAUCUUUACUGAGGCAACCUCAUUUUUCCUGGAUUAUGGGAUGGAGGUUGUAUUACUAGUUGAAGUAAAAAUCUCAUCUUUCAAAGUCUUAAAGAAAAGUGGGAUUAGAAAAAGCUAAAUGGAUUCAAGAAUGCUAUGAACAACUAAACUUCAUUGAAGAGAAGAGGCUAUUAAUGUUGUGUCAUGGUCAAUUAUAUCAAAAAAGAAUGAUAAGAGCUCAUGACAAAAAAAUUUGACCUCAUCAAUUUUGAGGAGAAGAGUUGGUGUUGAAAAGAAUUUUCCUAAGUCAGAUAAUAAUAGAGGAAAGUGGACCCGAAUUGGAAAAGGUCAUAUAUGGUAAAAAGGGCUUUUUAAGAUGAAGCAUUAAUUUUAACAAAGAUGGUUGGAGAUGAUCUUUCCAAUCCCAUAAAUUCUAAUGCUAUGAAGAAGUACUUUACUUUAAAAAAAAAGAAAGUCCAAAUCAAAAACUUGAAAGGGCAAUUUAAACCAAAAAUAGGUUUAUCCAAGUUGAAAAUAUGUAAAGGCAACUUGGAUAAGGAGAGUAUAGCAUCAUUUGGAAGGUUCACCAACCACAAAGCUAGUAUAUUUUGAAGACCUCUAAAGCACUAAGGGCAUUGGGUGGUUGAGUUUUUGAAAAAAAUCAGAUAUAUGUUGUCAUGAUUAUUUGAUUAUAUAUCUUGAGGCAUUGUUAACCCAAAUAGCCAUCAUUAUAUACCUUUACCAUGUCCAAUUAGCCACCAUUUGUAAUCUGGCUUCUUUUCCAAAUAAAGAUAUUCAUUUCAUUAUUUAUAUCUCAUUUUCAAUCAAUGUCAUUUCUUUAAAUUAUUUGCAAUGAAUAGAAAAAAUGUUUGAUUUGCGUCUUAUAUGUCUUGAAAAUAACAUAAUGAUUGAUAAUUGAAUAAUAUCAUGAAAAAAUAUAUAUUACUUUAGAAAGAGUGAAAGAUACAAAGGCAAAAGAUAAAACUUUCAAAACCUGGUAAGGACAUUGAUUUAGGAAAGAAAAAAAAAAAAACUCUUCUAAAGAGAAAGGCAAGUGCAUACUUUGAACAAUGAAAAAUAGAGCUAAUUUUGUUCCCAUUAUUGGAAAUUUGAAGAGUUUGGAAUUCAAAAGAAAAAUUCUUAAGAAUCUACUAAUUUUGUUCCCAUUAUUGGAAAUUUGAAAAGUUUGGAAUUCAAAAGAAAAAGUCUUAAGAAUCUAUGUACCACAACUAAAAGUUCAUUAAUUAUCAUUUGCACUGCAUACAUUGCAUAUAGGGAUAUCCUUUCCAUUUAUCUAGAGUAGGGAUGUCAUAAGAUCCAAUAUAAAUAAUGUGAAUCCAAAGAUUUCAAAUUUUUAAUAGAGAAGAAAUUUUUAAGGUAAGAUUUUUUAAUCUUCAAAGAAAAAGCUUUUCAAAAUCUUUAAACCUUUGAUUAGAGGACUCUAAUUUAAAGUUAUUUAGCCUUUGUAUAAAAAAGCCUAUUUCUUAGUUUAAAGUUGUUUAGCCGCUAAAUAAAGAAGCUCCUUUCUUAGUUUAAAGUUACUUAGCCUCUGUAUAGAUGAGCUUAUUUCUUUAUUUAUUAGCCUAUGUAUAAAGGAGUUUAUUUUGUUGAAUCUCUGUUUAGAUGAGUUAUUUGGAGUUUUUAAACUUUAUGCCUCUGUUUAGAGAAGUUUGUUAAAAUUUUUCAAAAAUUCGAUGCCUCUUUUUAGAGGAUUUUUUUAAAAUUGCUUGAGUUGAACUAGACUCAAUGGUUGCCUAAGUCUUUACGUCAUUCUUAUUUUACAGAAAUAUGCAAAAAGAGGCAACUAUAGACACCUCAUUUCAUAUGGUGCUCGUAAUUAAACUUUAGUUUGGGUUUUUUGGGCUUUCAAGGCGUCUAUCAGGCCUAUAAAUUGGAGUGGAGCCUUAAAUUGAUUAUAGGCUUUAAGCUAGUAUAGGGUACCAUUUGAUAUUUGGGCUUUGAAUCCACUUUAUAAUUACACUUAUGUUUUAAUUAAAUAUUAAUAAAAAAAUUAAUUUAAAAAUGAUAAAAAAAAGAAAUGAAAUCAGGAAUUUUUUGAAGAUCAAUCCUGAAAUCAUGAUUGAAUAGAAUUGGAAACAAAUCAAAAAUAAAAAACAUUGACCAAAAUCAAAUUAAAACCCAAAAUCAAACAAUGAUUUAGAACAAAUUUGUUAAUGGCAGAUUUGAUCUUAAAUAAUGGAACGUUAAAAUUUUUUACUAGGAAAUCCAUAUAAAUCAUGCUCAAACCCACAAAUACAUAUAUAGAGAUUAAGCAAAAGCAACAAAGAGGAAAUUUUUUGGUUGUAAAAAAGGGUUAUAGUCACCUAUCUGUGUCCGGGGUCCGUCGCAUCAAUUUUUAUUUUUUUUGCCACUAAUGUUACAUUACUACCCUAUUAUUAUAUUACUACUAUAAUAUUAUUAUAGUAUUAUAUUAUAUUAUUAUUAUAGUAUGCUGAUAUUAUACUACUAUUAUUAUAUUAGUAUUAUAUUAUAGUAUAGUAUAUUAUUAUAUUGUAUUAGGUUAUCAUAUUAUGAUUAUUAUUAUUAUUAAUAUUAUUAUAUUUGAUAUUAUUAUUCCUUUUAUUAUUUUUAUCAGAUUGUCUUUCUUUUUCCCUAAUCAGGGCUGAACAAAUUAUGGAAACCGAAAUCAAAUUGGUCAGUCAAAGGUUUUAAUGUAGAAUCAUGUCUAGAUAAUGGUUCAAUUCAAUGGAGAUCAAAUCAGUAAACAAAAUCACGCUCGGGCAAAAUCCAAUCCCAAGAUUCAAGCUUGGAAUUGAUUCUAUUUGUUUUUUAAAAUUUGUUCUAAGGGGGCCUAUAAAUUAAACAAGAAAUCAAAGGAAUGAUAGAAAAAAAAAAGUAGUGAAAAAGCUAGGGUUAUUAUUUUGGAAAUAAUUUUUGGGCAAUAGGGUUUUCUAGAAAAUUUUGGUCUUUUGGGAUUUGGAUUUUUGGGAGUUAUUGGUUUGAUCUAGAGUUUCUAGGCUUAGAUUUGGGAUUAUAAGAUAGCUUUAGAUUUUUUGAGGGAUUUUGGAGAAUUUGGGAAAAAUCUAUUUUUUUCUGGAAAAUUUUGGAAUUUUGGAAAAACAUAUGAAUUUUUUGAUGAAGUUAUUGGCGGGAGUUUGAAGCUUUCAGUGAGAUUUUAGCAAGAUUUUCAAAAACUGGCAAAGUUUAUAUAUUCCAAUUAAAUUUCUAGAUAGGAUUUUAGAGAAAGGGGAAAGAGUUUUUAGGUUAAAAAGAGUGUGGGUAGAAGGUUUCUAAAGCUAAACGUAAAGGCUUAGCUUUUUUACUGGUCCAAAAUGAUAGCAUUUUGAACACCCCAGAUCCGUGUGUCUACCUAGCAACCCACGUGAAGAUUCGCAUACAGACCUAACCCGUUUCACAAGUUUUUUUUUUUUCGUUUUCAUUUUAUUUUUUAAUUUUAAUUUUAAUUUUUAUUAUUUUCUUAAGUUUUUAUUUUAUUUUCAAUAUUUUUUAUUUAAUUUUGCUAGUUUUCAAAAAAAAGAAAAAAUGUUUUCUGGAAAACAGAAGAAGCAAAGAAUAAAAAAAAAAAAGCUAAAGAAAAUAAUCCCUCCAAAUAAGUUUAAAAAACAAAUAAAUAAGUCUAAAAAAGAAAUCUUUUUUCAAAUAAAUUUAUGGAAUCCACCAAACUAUUGAGAAAUUUCAUAAAUUAGUUUUUUUAAAAAGAAAAAAGAAUAAUAGAAUAUUUUUCCUCUAAACUAUUGGAGGAUUAUUUUUAAAUUAAGUUUUACCAAACUAUUGGAAGACAUUUAGUGAAAUUUACAAAAUUGUUAUAAAUCUUUUUACUAUAAAAUCUCAUAAACUAUUGGGAGAUCUGCCUCAAUGUAAAUCCUACCAAACUAUUGGGAGACUUUACUAAUUUUUUUGAAUAAAAAAUUAUAAUAAAUCUUAUGACGGAGCCUCUUUAGAAUAUUACACUAGUCUCUAUGAAUACUCUUGAGGUGAGAGAAUUAUCUUAAAUUACUACCAAACUAUUGGGACAAUUUUAAGAUUAAUUUUCAAUAUUAAAUAAUUUGGUAAAUUACAAAUAUGAUCAAGGCUUGGAUAAUUUGAAAUCAAACUGGUACUAUCCUUUAGAUGGGUGCUUAAGGGUGCUAUAACAUUUCCUCACAUGUAACCGUACUUUUGAACCUAAAAUUUGGUUUUACAGAUCAGAAUCUAUUUUAGGUGGUCAAUCACACCUAAACAAAAAAGAUUGGUGAUGACUCCUUUAAUCUAUGUCUAGCAUUAGGUCCACGAAUCUAUAUGUUAUGACAAUUUGGUGACUCCACUUGGGACAUUGAAAGUCAAUCUAGUCAAUGAUUACUUAUUAUCUAAGCCUUGCUUAAUAAAUUUGAGAUUAUUUUCUAUUUUUCUUAUUUAUUUCUUUUCAUUGCUUAUACUUUAAUUAUUCAUUUAUUUCUUUUCAUUGCAUAUGCUUGCUUAAUUAUUUAUUUAUUUGUUUUAUAUAUAUAUAUAUAUAUAUCUAUCACUCAUUUAUAUAUGCAUAACAUAAGCUAUCUACCCGAGCUUUACCUUUAGGAAAGAGUGAAGUACCUAUGCCUUCAUGAGAUUUUAUGUAUUCGCAUGGGUCUGAAAAACACGUCCACUCAAAUUGAACCCUUUCUGCUGAUAGCUUAUGAUGGGUAAGGAUCGAGAUGCCUUACUAGUCUAUGAUGGACAAUGAUAUAAGGAACAAUUUGGAAACCUAUUAGAGUUAACCCAAACCAUAUAUAGUUAACUUUAAGACCCAAACCAUAUAUAGUUAACUUUAAGAGCUCAACCAUACGUAGAGCCUUAUCUUUUCACCCUUUUUAGCCAAUCCAAAAUUCAAGGUCAUAUUGUUAUCUUACUUGCUAUAUGAUGCUUAUUCUUUUUUAUUAUUAUUAUUAUUGAAGUGACUAACUAAUUUUCUUGUUUUCUUUUUAUUUCUUUUCCUCUUGUGCAUAUUUAUAAACAUACUUACAUAUUGCAUAGUAUUUUUACCCUAAAAGUCAUUUCAACAAAAGCUCUUAUGGACUCUACAGAACGUCAGGUUUGUGCCUUAUCUAUAUUUUUCAAAUGUGACUUGCCUAUAAAUGUGAAACUAGAAUUAAAGAAGAGGCAGCAAGAAAGAGAUUGUUUACCACUUGGUUAUAUUCCACAUUAUCAAAGGAAGUUUGCAUGCUCUUCAAACAGAAUAAUUUGAAAAGCCUAUCAGAUAUAUAGAAUAGCAUGACUCCUUCAAGGUAGAAAGCUUUUUUUCAAAAGUUUGAGCAUAUUGCAUAUCUUUUAUCAGUGGAUGUUGAUAACUCACUCAUUAAAGUGAUGCUAUAAUUUUGAGAUCCUUCAUACUGUUACUUCAUUUUUUAAUAAGGUUGAUUUGGUGUUAAUUAUAGAAGAGUAUUCAACUUUAGUAGGUAUGCAUCUACUAUAUCCAGAUAGAAUAUAUGUGAAAAAACAAAAAUAAAGAAAUUACAAGAAAUUAAGCCAGAUAUUGGGAGUGAGAAAAAAGAUUAUAGAUUCAUACAUUCAAGAAAAAAAAGAUCGUAAGAAUAUUCCAGGGAAAAUUCUCUAAGAUUUCAUUAUUAAAAAUUUGAAUAAUGAUUAGGGAAUGAAUGUGUUCGCUUUAGCCAUAUAUAGGAUGAUCAUCUUUCCUAAAGUCUUAAGCCAUAUUGAGAUAGAAAUGGUUGUUCUAUUUGAGUAGAUAAAAAAAGGGUAACUAUCUUGGCAGAAACCAUCAGAUCUCUGAACUUUUGUAGAUAAAAUGACAAAGCAAGAUUCAUGAGUUGCAUACCAUUACUAUAUAUGUGGAUGAAAAGCCAUUUCGAAUGAAAGAAGAGUAUUUUUUUUCUAAGCUCUUUUUUAUAGUUGAGUCCCAAUUAGGGAGUUCUCUAAUUGCAUUUGGCCACAAGCAAAGACUCAGAAAUGAUGGAAAUGUUUGUUACAAAAACUCAUAGUCGGUCAGGUAAAAUAGUUAGCUCCGUGGAUGAAUCGAGAACCUAUGUUGUAUCAAUGUGGAGCUGAGAUAGGGGUUCCACUUUUAGAGUUAUGCGGGUUAACAAGUUAUGCACCACUAAUGGUAAGGAGACGGUAUAGAGAUGAAUAGUUUACUCCUAUGACUUGUUAGCUCAAACAAUUUGAUUGUUCAUAUGAUGAGCUCAAAACCUUUUAAAAGAUUGAUAGUAUGAUCAUGGCCUAGAAGAAGCCUAAAAAAGUAAGUCAUGUACCAUUUACUAAUAAGGCCACUAAAAGGUAUUUGAUUUAGAGAACCAAAAGGGGCCAAAAAGUGGCAUUUAUACCUAAAAACCAUUACUAGUUAAAGAGUCAAACGAUGUGCCUCUAAAAUCAGAAUCUAAAAUGAAAGAACUUGAAGUAGAGAAAGAGAAAUUGAAACAAGAACUUUUGAAGCUUCAAAAAGAAAAUGAACAGUGGUAAAACAAAGCAAAAAAAUUAAAAGUCCAAGUCUACAAGAUUUUCAAGGAAUAUAGCAAGGCCUAAAAAGUAAUCCAAAAAUGAGAUGAUGCCUUUAAGAAAUUAAAAGAGCUGCGAUAAAAGCAUAAGAGAUUACAAAUAUAGGUGUAGGCCAAAGAGAUAAAUAACACGAAUCUAGCUUAUGAGAAUGAAGAGUUGAAAAAAGAAUGUGCACAAAUAGAAUAUGAUUAUGUUAAAGUUCAACAAGAAAAUGAAAUGCUCUCAAAUUACAUUUUAACCUUGAAACUGAAGUUGGAUGACCAAAGAAACCAUGUUAAAAUGCUCACGAAAAAGCACAAGGAAUUAUCUUAUAAGGUGUGGUUCAGCAAAAGAGAAGGGUUAUGAAGACAAUGAUACAUAGAGCAUCUCACAACUCAGAUAGGUAAAACAGUAAUCAAGGUAGGUGAAAUGGCAUAAGAGGCUGAGGCGUUAAGAGCUUCAGUCACACCAACAGGAGAGCAUUGACAGAGAUUGCCAAACUUCAUUGAGGAGGCUAAAUACUAGUAUAAGCAAGUUAGGUGUUUUUAUAGAGGGACAGUAUUAGAUUUGAUGUAAAAUAGACUCUUGUGAAAUAAAUGAAAGUUUAUUUUUGUUAAAAUUGUUAAAAAGGCAAACAUUUUUCUUUUCUUUCAUUUUUUUCAUACAUUGCAUCACAUUCAUUCAUUGUUAUUUAUUGUCAUGACAUGAUCACUGAUUUUAAAUCAUGGUAUUAAGGUGCAAGAAUAGCUAUGCAUUCGUAUAAUACCUAGCCUAAAGCCAGAAAGAUGGAGUAGGAUAAUGCAAAUCAUCUUGAAAGAACAGAAAAAGCAUAAUAGAUACUUGAAAAAAAAUUUAGCAAAAUUCUGGAAGCUCUGAAAAAAGAAAAUAGAAGAAAGGCAAUAGAGGAAAAUACCUCACCUGAAGCUAUUGAAUCAACAUAUCCUUUAAGUUUCAGUCUAUAUCAGACCCAAACUACCCUAAUUUUUCAACCAUAACAGCCAACCAUUCUAAAUUAUAACUACCCAAGAAUGAUUUAUGUACUUGAUCAUGAGAAUGUCCAAAAUUAUAAUAAUUUUAUUUUUGUCAAAAAGGUAACUGAACCUACUCAACUCCUUACUUUAGAUAACAUAAAAGACAAAGAAAAGUUGUAAGCAACUGCAUCUUUGGAAAAUUCUAAGACUAAUUAAGCCAUGAACAGGAUUAAAGAAAGAUUACGGGUUGUAAAAAGAAUUGAUUUCUACAAAUCCAUGAAUGCAAUAAGACUUUGGUUAGUACCAGACGUAAUGAUACCUCUCAAAUUUAAAGUAACAAAUUUUGAGAAGUAUGAUGGUACUAAGUACCCCAUCACAUAUAUCACAAUGUACUUGCACAAGAUGGCAGCACAUGAUAGCAAUAAAAAGCUAUUCAUAUAUAUCUUUCAAGACAACUUGACUGGAUCUACUGUAAAGUGGUAUGUGUAACUAGAUGAAACCCACAUAAAGUCAUGACAAGAUCUGACCCAAUCCUUUAUUAAUCAAUAUCACCAAUCAUUGAUGUGGCUCCAAUCGCUUUUCAUUGCAAGGUAUUGAAAAGAAAAAAUUUGAAUCCUUUAAGCAAUAUACCUAAAAGUGGCAGAAUGUAGCUGCUAAAGUACAACCUCCCUUGACAAAAAAAAAACUACAGUGCUAUUCAUGAGCACUCUAAAGUCACCAUACUAUGAAAAAAUGAUAGAAAAUACGACUAAAAACUUUGUUGAUAUAGUGAUUUUGAGAGAGAUCAUAAAAAAUACCAUCAAAAAUAACAAAUUUGAAGGAGAAGAGUCUUCUAAAAAAGUGUCUAAAAAGAAAAAAAAUUGAGACUCAAGCUAUGAGUCUUGAAGGGUAGUAAUCCAAAAACUACUUUCGACUAACCUAUCCCAUAUAUCACAACACUGUAAAUCAUACUUCCACUUCCCCUUACCAACCAAUUACACAACCUUCUUAUCCAUCCUCACCAUAAUCACUUACAUAUCCAGUCAACAUAACAAAUAGUGCUUGUGAACCACAAACAAGGAAAAUACCCGUUUUUGAUCCUAUACCCAUAAGCUACAUAGAGUUAUAUCAAGAACUUUACAAAAACCACCUCAUUACCUUCGUUCCUACAAAACAACUUGAACCUCCAUAUCUCAAAUGCUAUGAUGCCAUCAUCCACUGUCACUUAUGGAGUAAUGGCCAUUCUACUAAAAAUUACCUUUUUUUAAAGCAAAAAGUGCAACAUCUGAUUAAAAAAAGGCUAAUAAGUUUUGAUGCUAAUGCAAACUCAGCACCUAAUAUUAGCAAAAAUCUUUUACCUAAUCAUACAGUUAAUGUCUUAGACAAAGACAAAAAGCACAUCAAAAGAAGGGUAAAAGAGCUUAAGAUGUCAUUCAACCAACUGUAUGGUGCUUUAUAUAAGGCUGGGUUGAUACAACCAGUAGCCCUACACACCUAUACAGGAAGAUACAUCCCUAAUCAAAGAUGUAAGUAUCACACUAGAGUUUUAGGUCAUUUUAUUAACAUCUGUAAACAAUUCUGUGAUGAGGUGCAAAAACUAAUAGACUCAUACCAAAUAGAAUUAUGUAAAAAAUCAAAAGCUUUAAAAAAUAUUUGGGUGGCUAUGACAGAUAGGUGGGUGCCAAAACCACCUUAAAAAAUAUAAAGACUGGCACGAAAAAUAACUUUUACUCUACAUGCUUAUCGGACAUCUGUAUGUACUUUCACCAGGGUAAUUCCAUUUUUCCUAGUCUACAAAAUGAAAGCAUAUUGCCAGUAAAACUAGAAAUCUCAUUUUUGAAAGUCUUAAGAAAAGUGAUAUUAGAAAAAGCUGAAUGGAUUCAAGAGUGCUAUAAGCAAUUGAACUUUAUUAAAAAAAAAGAUUGACAACACUCUACCACAGCCAACUGUACCAAAAAAGAAUAAUGAGAGCUCAUGACAAAAAGGUUUGACUCGAUCAAUUUCAAGAAGAAAAAUUGAUAUUGAAAAGAAUUCUUCUAAGCUAACAUGAUGAUCAGAGAAAUGGACUCCAAAUUAGGAAGGACCACAUGUUGUAAAAAGAGUUUUUUCAAGAGAAACCUUAAUCUUGUCAGAAAUGGAUAGAGAUGAGCUUCUUUAUCCCAUUAAUUCCAAUGUCGUGAAGAAAUACUUUACUUAAACAAAAGAAAAAAGAGGAAGUUCAAGUUGAAAACCCGAAAGGGUAGUUUGAACAAAAAAAAAAAAAAGUUCAAGUUGAAAACUCUGAAAGGUGGCUUGAAUGAGAGCAUCUUGGAUGAAUAGAAUAUGGCAUCACUUGAAAGGCAUAAUAGAGACAAUAAAUUUCAAAGAGUUCAAAAAUGUUAAGGCAUCAUGUUUUGGUUAAAUUUUUUAUGACAUCCAAGAUUUGUUGCCAUGAUUACCUUAUUGCUUACCUAAUUGCUUAUAGAUCCGAUCUUAGUCUAGGUCAAAUCAUUUUUAGACUUACAGUAUCAUUCCAAUCAUUAAUCUAUGAUCUUGACUUGGUCUUGGUCACUUUCAAACUUGCAGCAUCGUUUCAGUCAUUAAUAUAUGACUUCGACUCGAUCUUGGUUACUUUCAAACUCGUAAUAUCAUCCCAGUCAUCUGAUCUCGAUUCAAGUCAAAUCAUUUUAAGACUCACAGCAUCAUCCCAAUCAUUAAUCUAUGAUCUUGACUUGAUCUUAGUCGCUUUCAGACUCGCGUCAUUAUCCUAGUCAUAUGAUCUCAAUUCAGGCCAAAUUUUGAUUUAGGCCAAAUCAUUUUAAGACUCGCGACAUCAUCUUUGUCAUUAAUUUAUGACCUCUACUCGAUUUUGAUCGCUCUUAGACUUACGACAUCAUCCUAGUCAUCCAAUCUCAAUUCAAGUCAAAUCAUUUUAAGACUCAUGACAUCAUUUUAAUCAUUAAUUUACGACUUCAACUCGAUCUUGGUCAUUUCAGACUUGCAGUAUCAUCUCAGUUAUUCAAUCUAGACUCAGGUAAGAUCAUUUUAAGACUCACAGCAUUGUCCCAAUCAUUCUUUUUUUACCUCAAUUUGAUCUUGGUCACUUCUAGAUUUGUGUCAUUAUACCAAUCGUCCAAGCCAGAUUCACAUCAUCGUCAUAAUCAUUCAUCUUCGACCUUGACUCGAUCUUGGUCGUUUGCUGACUUGCGACAUUGUACUAGUCAUUCAACCUAGCUCGAUCCUGGUCACUUUUCAACUCGCGAUUUAUUUUUUAUCAGUUUUACUACUGAUUUAACUCAACCAAAGUGGGUAUCUAGGUCUUUACAUCAUCUCUAUCUAAUAGUGAUGUGCAAAGAAGGACAACUGUAGACACCUAUCUGUGUCUGGGGUCUAUCGCAUCAAUUUUUAUUAUUUUUUACCACUAUUGUUACAUUAUUAUACUAUUAUUACAUUACUACUAUACUAUUAUAAUAUUAUUAUAGUAUUAUAUUAUAUUAUAUUAUAUUAUUAUGAUAGUAUGUUGAUAUUAUAUUACUAUAUUAUAUUAGUAUUAUAUUAUAUUAUAGUAUUUUAUUAUAUUAUAUUAGGUUAUCAUAUUAUAAUUUUUAUUAUUAUUAUAUCCGAUAUUAUCAUUACUUUUAUUAUUUUUAUCAGAUUUUCUUUCCUUUUCUUGAUUAAGGCUAAACAAAUUAUGGAAACUGAAAUCGAAUCAAUCAAUCAAAGGUUUUAAUGCAGAAUCAUUUAUGGAUAAUGGUUGAAUUCAAUGGUGAUCAAAUCAAUGAAAAAAAUCCCGCUCGAGUAGAAUCCAAUCUCAAAAUUCAAGCUUGGGAUUGAUUAUGUCCAUUUUCUAAAAUCAAUUCUAAAAGGGCCUAUAAAUUGAACAAGAAAAAAAAAGGUAGUGAAAAAACUGGGGUUAUUAUUUUGAAAACAAUUUUUGGGCAAUAGGUUUUUUAAAAAAAAUUUUGGUUUCCUAGGAUUUGGAUUCUUAGGAGUUUUGGGUUUGAUCUAGAGUUUCUAGGUUUAGAUUUGGGAUUCUAAUAUUAUAUUUAGAUUUUUAGAGGGAUUUUGGAGAAUUCGGGAAAAAUCUAUUUUUUUCUAGAAAAUUUUGAAAAUUUGGAAGAGCAUAUGAAUUUUUUGAUGAAGUUUUGGGUGGGAGUUUGAAGUUUUCAAUGAGAUUCUGAUGAGAUUUUCAAAAACUAGUGAAGUUUCCAGAUUUUGGUUAAAUCUCUAGGUAGGUUUUUAGAGAGAGAAAAAAGAGUUUUAAGUUAGAGAGAGUGUGGGUAGAAGGUUUUUGAAGCUAAACAUAAAGGCUUAGCUUUUAUACUAAUCCAAAAUGAUAGCGUUUUGAACACCUUAGAUCACGCGUUUACCCAAUAACCCAUUUGAAGAUCCGCUUAUACACCUGACCCAUUUCGCAGGUUUCUUUUUUUCAUUUUCAUUUUAUUUUUAAUUUUUUUUUGUUUUCUUAAGUUUUAUUUUAUUUUCAGUAUUUCUUUUAAUAGUUUUGCUAGUUUUCAAAAAAAAGAAAAAAAUCUUUUCAAAAAUAAAAAAAGCUAAAGAAAAAAAAUCCUUUCAAAUAAGUUUAAAAAACAAAUAAAUAAGUCUAAAAAAGAAAUUUUUUUAAAUAAAUUUAUAGAAUCUACAAAACUAUUAGAAAAUUUCAUAAAUUAGUUUUUUUAAAGAAAAAAGAAUAAUAGAAUAUUUUUUCCUCUAAACUAUUGAAGGAUUAUUUUUAAAUUAAAUCUUACCAAACUAUCGGGAGACUUAAUGAAAUUCACAAAAUUUUUAUAAAUCUUUGUACAAUAAAAUCUCACCAAACUAUUGAAAAAUUUGUCUUAAAGUAAGUCUUACCAAACUAUUGAGAUACUUUACUAAUUUUUUUGAAUAAAAUAUUAUAAUAAAUUCGAUGAUGAGCUUUUUUAGAAUAGGAUAUUAGUCUCUAUGAAUACUCCAGAGGUGAGAGAAUUAUCUUAAAUUGCUAUCAAACUAUUUGAACAAUUUUAAGAUUAAUUUUUAAUAUUAAAUAAUCUGACAAAUUACAAAUACGAUCAAGGUUUGGAUAAUUUGAAAUCAAACUGGUAUUAUCAUUUGGAUGGGCACUGUGAGGGUGUUAUAACUUUUCUCACACAUAACCGUACUCCCAAACCUAAAAUCUAGUUUUGCAAAUCAAAAUUUGUUUCAGGUGACCAAUCACACCUAAACAAAAAAGAUUUAUGGUGACUCAUCUAAUCUAUACCUAGCAGUAAGUCUACGGAUCUAUAAAUUAUAACAAUGGUUUUUGAAUUUUUGGCUUUAUUUUAUUUUCUAGGACUUUUGCACUUGGUUUAGUUUUUUUUUUUUUUUGGAACUAGGAUUCAAUCUUUUGUUUGAUUGGAUUUCUUUUAGGUUUUUAGGGAUUUUGGAUUCAAGUUUUUGAUUUUUUUUUUAGAAUUUUUGGAAAAUUCUUUGAAUUUUCUUAUGAAGGGUUGAAGUUCCCAGCAACCGGCAUUAAAAAUCUUGCCAGCUUUUAGAAUUUUUUCGCCAGAUUCUGGGCACCAUUGAAUUUACUAUUUGAAUGCUAAAGAGAGAAACAGAGAAAAAAACGUGUUAGAGAGAAAAUAUUCCAGUAGUUCUAAAAAGAAAAAAAAUGAGAUUUAGGGGUUUUAUUCUUGUAUAAAACAACACUAUUUUUUGGAUUCAUAAAAACCUAGGAUCUAUGCAUUUUACCACAUUCUAACCUAACCCACAGUGUGGCCCAUCCUUUAACCUGAAUUUCCUUUUUGCUCUGAGCCAAGCCAUGCCUUAGUUGAGUGUCGAGCCAUGUCGAUCCUUGUGCCUGCAGCCGCACUCUUUAGCCACUAAGCCAAGCCGACUUGAGGUAUUUUUUAUAUGCUUAUCUUAUUUAUUUGUUUUAUUUACUUAUUUAUUUAUUCAUUUAUUUAUCUACUUGUUUUUUAAAAUACUCUUACAAAAUCAUAUUUAAAUAAAAAAGUCUUACCAAUAAUUUGCAGAACCAAUAUUUUAUUUUCAAAAUAAAGUUUUACCAACAUAUUAGAAUGCUUUACAAAUUUUAAUUUUAAAAAAAUAAUUUUUAAAAAAAGCCUUACCAAUAUAUUAGAGUGCCGAUAUUUUAUUUUCAAAAAUAAGGUUUUAUCAACAUAUUGAAAAGCCUUAUAAUUUUUUUAUAAUUUUGAAUAAAAUAAAAUAAUAUUUCUUUUUUUUUUCAUAAAUUCUUAUAAAUAUAUUGGAGGAUAAUUUUUUAUAAAAAAUUUUAUCAACAUAUUGAAAGGUAUUCUGACCAUAGACUAGGUUUGUAGAAAUUUACUUCUACAAGCAAAAUUAAAUGAAUUUGAUGGCAAAACUUUUUUAAAGCGUGACAAAUAAUCUCCUUGAAUAUUUUUAAAGUGAGAAAAAAUUCUUAAAUUAUUACCAACAUAUUGGAGUAAUUUAAGGAAAAUUUCUAAUGUUAAAAUUAUUUGGUAAAAUUAUAAAUAUAUUUUAAAGCUUGGAUAACUUGGAAUCAAACUAAUAUCAUUUUUUGGAUGGGGGCUGUAAAGGUGUUAUAACCUUCCCCACGUGCAACUAUACUUUCAAACCUAAAAUUUGGUUUCAUAGACUAGAAUCUUCUAUUUAAAGAUACCUAAGUUAAUCUUGAGAUUUCUUUUUAAAUAAAAUAGAUUUAGUCAAAUGGCUAAUCACAUCUAAACAAAAAAAAAUUAGUGACAACUCUUUUAAUUUAUGUCUAGUGAUAGAUCCACAGAUUUAUUCGUUAUGACAAAACUCAAAUCUCAACAUUUACAACUAUUUUUCGUAUUCUCAAACAUUCUCCUUAAUUAAAACAAAUAGUCUGAAUAAAAAAUUAGGUAUGCUUAAUUUGUUUGAAUUGUUAAGUUACUUUGUUCUAAGUUUUAAAAUUUUUAACUUCUUUUCAUAUAUGUUCAAAUUUUAGGUUAUAUAAUCAGAGACAAGUAAUUUAUAUUCAUAUUUCAUAUAAAAAUUGUUUCUGAUUUAUAAGAUUUAAAUUUAAAUUAUAAUUUCAAAUUCUUUCUAAUAAUUAGAUCAUGUAAAAUCAAGAUAUAUUUAAAUUUAUACUUUAUUCUUAUUCUUAACCUCUUUAUUAUUAGAAUAAUUAAUCUAUAUAAGUAUAUACCAUAUAUAUUCAUAUCCAUAAUGUCUUUUAUGAAAAUGAAAAAAAUACUCAUCAAAGAAGAAUCAAAGCAUGUGCAAGGAAUAGUGAACCUUUGGAAUUUGCCUAGUACAAACAGUUAGAGAAGCAUUUCUAAAAUACAACAUGUAUAGGGUUUAAAAGAAUAAAACUUUGACAAAUAGGUUUGGUUUUUGUUUUAAUAAUUAUAUUUAUUUAUGUUGAAGUCAAGUACGUGUAAAAAGUGAGAUAUGUUAAUUUAAAAUUUAAUUCAGUUAAUUUAUAAAAUUAUUUUUAAAAAAUAGUAUUUGAUUGAAAUUUAAAUCUCAAUACUUGUAUUUUUUUUGUUUUAUUCCGAAUAACUUUUUUUAAAAAGAAAAAAUGAGUCAUGUGGAUUUUUUUUUUGUUGACCUUUUAUCAUUUGUUAAUCUACCUUUGGUCCAACUUUUCUACAGUAUACUAUUAAUUUAAUAACCAUCACUUCUUUGAAUAAUUUUAACCUUACAAUUAAAGAGGUAAAACUUUUCCAUUGAUAAGAACUUACUCAAGUAACUUCUUGGUCAAGAAAAUAGCUAUCUCCAUAUUGAAAUUUAAUCAUGAAAUUAAAUCAUUAAUCUUGCUACAUAAUUCAUCCAAUAUGAUUUAAUUUGAUUGGAACAUAUAUCUAAAUUUAAGUAUACAUGCAAAAAAAAAAGCAGAUGAUUCUUAAGUGAUGAAAAAACUUAUGUAAUUUGAAACUUAACUCUGUUAGUUUAUGCAUAUAGUUGUUUUUGGAGAUGAUAUUUAUUAAAUUUGAUAUUCAAAUUUUAACACUUUCUCUCAUUUCAAAGCUACGAUCCUCUUUUAUUACAAGAAAAAAAAACUAGAAAUAAUCUUUUAUUUGUAACUUUAAACCGGUGAAUUUAAAUUGCUAAGACUUUGAAGUCAUAUUUUCAUUGGCAAAGUUUAUUUACAUUUAUUUCAAAAGUAGAGAAAAAAAGGCCAUUUGGCCUAACAAUCAAUAUCCUUUUGAGCAACUUCGCAAUAGAUGAGCAUUGGCCUCCGAUCUGCCCAACAACUAAUCUACUGAGGAAUUGGCAGAGCUUGAGGCAAAGAUUGGUUUGAUGCUGAAAUCGUUUGUAGUUUGCAGUCAACAGAGAUCAAUUGAGCAGAGUUAUUAUUGUUUUCGUCAACAGAAUUCAUGUUGAUUAUUUGUAGCAAAACACGCUCGAGCUCUUCACCAUCACUCCAUUCAUGAAUCUCAGCCUUGACGGGCAUAGGAUUCCUGCAAAUUAAAUCACAGACUGGAAAAUUCUUCCUUGGCAUCAUGUACUCUGCUUCUCCAAGCCUUCGACUUGGACAAUAAUCUCCGGUACCAUCUCCUAGGUAGAUGAUUUUUUUCUUCCCCUCUAAAGAAUCUUGAAUCCUUUCAAUGAUUAUCCCCUGUUACACAAAGCAGAAGCCAAAAUUAAAAUUUUUGACAUCUUAUUUCAUGAUUUCAUUAAAUUUAUAUGAUUGUUGACCCAUGUCAAGAUCAUUGGUUUCGUUUAUGUCCUUAUAGGAGGCAUUACUUUAACAGAAUAAGUGGGGUCAAGAAAAGAAGUUAGACAUAUCGAAAAUGAGGAGAAAAGAAGUUAGACAUCUAAAAUGAGGAGAUUUAAAAAAUAAAGAAAUAAAGAAAAACUUCCAAGCUAGUUGGAUGAAAUUGACUAUGUACAUGUGGAAUACCAUCAAGUAAUAAAAUUUUCUAGAAUUUUUCACUUACAUGAAAAAUUUAGGUCUACAAAAGUUUGGUGUCUUGAUUUAAAAUAUUUACAAUUGUGAUAUUAAUGAAAUUAAAUCUCAUGUUACUGAUGAAAAAGAUCUGAUACGUUGCACAUAUUUGAAGGACAGAGGUUGCAGCCGUGGGAACUCUUUGUGAAAUCAUGGUAAGGGAUGAUCCUCAGCCUCCCUUCUUCAUCAACAAAGCUGGGGUUGGUGUUGAUCUCUGAGAAAUAUUCCCUCAAUCCAAGAUGUUCCAGAAUUGUCUCAAUAAAGAACAUGUUCGCAUCACUCACAAUCCUGAGUUCACACCUGAAAAAAUAUUCAAACCAAUUUGAUCACCUUAAAUUUCUAUUUCUUCAAACUUUAGUUUUAUAGUCACAGGUCAAACACCAAGAGGAGAAGCAUAGAAAAAAAGCAGUACCCUAAAGGAUGAGCUGAUUUAAUAGCGGGGACGAUCCUAGGAUGGAUAGGAGCUCGUUUCAGAACCUCAGCAGUGUCAUCAAUGGUUUUUCCCUGGGCAUGAAGCUCCUUCAUCAUCCUGUCCUGUAAUUUUAUACCACAAACACUGAGUUUCAAUUUUUAUAAAUGUAAAGCCAACAGAAAUAGAAAUUGCAGAGGGCUUAAUAUGGGUUACCAUGAGAGAAUUCCAGGGCAUGGUAGGAAGAAGCUGGUUGAACAAGUCGGUGAAACCCAAGUCAUCGACAACCCAGUUAUCACUAUCACAGUCGAUGAUGGUUUUGUCAAAAUCAAAAACCAGAACAAUUCCAGCCAUCUCUCUGAAUGAAAAUCAAACAAAACACAAAACAAGAAUGGAAAAACUCGACGACUCUUUGAAUGUUGUUUUCUUGGUAUAGAAUCACGUAACAGGGGAAGGGUAUUUAUAUGCAGAAAAAUGUUAUUAGGUUGAAACAACGGAUUUUUCUAUGCCAAAGGAAUAUUACGUGAAGGGGUUAUAAGGUGUAAGUAGGAAGCACCAAGCAGGCCACAAGAAGCUGUUUUCCCUGCAAGCUUCCUACGCAAAACAUACUAAUCUGAUACAACUGCUUGCAAAUUAUUUCUCUGGUAUAAGCAAUGUUAACCGUUUGAUGGAUUACUUUUGAACCAUGUGAUCAAUCAAGUUCAGUCGGCGGAUCAGGGGUAAAAGGGUGUCGGUUAAUUAUGAAAGGGUUUAGGUUUAAGGUUUAAGGUUUAUCAAACUCCUCUCCAUUGCUUCAUUCGCUUACUUGUGCCUUUCCUAGCCUCCUGUUUUUGCAAAUCAAAUCCCAAACUGGGAGAUACUUCCUUGUCAUUGCAUAGUCCCCAUCUCCCAGCUUCAAACUUGGACAGGAAUCGCCAAGCCCAUAGCCGAGGUAGAUUAUUGUUUUCUUCUCCUCCACGAGCAUGAGAGAGACUUGGAUCCUUUCAAUCACAAUACCCUAUUAAGAAAGAGUACAAUCAUUAAUCAAUAGGAUGGGAAGAAAAUGAAGAUAACUUAAAAAUAAUUAGUAGCAUAUAAUUAUAUAUCUUACAGCUAAUCAUGCUUUGGAUUCAUUACGUGUACUAAACAUUAGAAUUCAGUUGCGGAUGCAUACGGUAUAAUCGGGUAUUCAUGUACACCUCCACAGAUUCGAAAAUAAAAAGUGUUUUCUUUGGACGCCUUCAAAUUUUGUUUUGGAGACCUUCAAAAUUUUCUUUUUGAACAUAUCUUUCUUAAUUCCUUAUUCCUUAAUCCUUCACUUACUGCCACUAUCUAAUAUCCAAUCACAUCUCACAGCCAGUUAAUGCCCAACACCCAGUAAACAUCCACUAUAAUAAAUGGACACCUCCAUAAAAAUAUCUUGCAUCUGCUACUGUUAGAAUUCAGUCAUAUUUGAUGCAUGCAUGCAUGGUUCACGUUGUUAGUAACUAGUAUGAUUUUCAAGUUAAAAAUGACAUACCUUGCACAUGUUUGGAAGGCAGGGAUGAUGACAUCCAUGAGUAGAUUGAGUGUAAUCAUGGUGAGGCAAGAUCCUUAGCCUGCCUUCUUCAUUUACGAAACCUGGGUUGCUAUUGAUCUCCGGAAAGCAUUCCCUCAGGCCAUGAUGCUUCAAAAUUGUGUCGAUGAAGAACACCUUCGCGUCGCAUACAAUCUUCAAAUCACACCUAAAAUUAAUAGUGCCAUACGACUUUUUUUUUUUUUUUUUAUAGCGAGAAAACCAGAAAGAAAAAUUAAAUAUACAUGCCGGUAGGACUGAAGUUGGCAAGAAGGAAACUCCUAAAGCUAAGAAAUGUUGCCAGAGAGCUUAUUAAGUGUAUGGUCCUUUAAUUGCUUCUUGCGACAGAGGAAUAAUAUCCCAGGCUGCAAUCCCUGAGAAUGCAACUGUGGCAUCUGCUCUCUCAACAAACGAUUGGACUCAAUAUCUCACUGCUUCUCUACAGAUGAGGGAUAUGCAGCAGAUGUUGGCUGGUCUGACCUUCACUGAAGAAGAAGAUGUUGUUGGCUAGCAUCAAAGUCUGGCAAGUUCAUACUUUCAAAUACAUGGGACUGGAUCAGGGAUAGGCAACCCACUGUGGUUUCGCAUAAAUUGGUCUGGAUUCCUCUUCACUCCCUAAACAUAGUUUUAUCACUUGGCUUGAGGUUAUUAAUAGAUUGAGCACACUACCUAAUAUUAGGAGUUAGUGCACUCAAAUGUCAAAAAUCACUUGCUACUUUUGUGAUAAAGAGGAAGAGACUAAGAAUCAUCUUUUCUUUUCUUGUGACUUCUCAAAGCAAGUUUGGCAAUUAGUUUUAGCAGAAGUGAAGUGUGUUUUUGAUUGCAACAUCCAAAAGUGGCAGCAGGAGCUUGAUUGGAUUAUUCGGCAUACCAGAGGUAAAACUUUUAAGACUAUAAUUUUGAGAGGAGCGUGAACAACAAGUAUAAAUAUAUCACAUAUGCCAUGCGAGGAAUUCUCCAUAACUUGGCAUUUAUUCUCCAAACAUUGACAAAUACUUUCCCAGACAUUAGUUUUAACGUAAAGUCUUGCGUUUUAAAAUUUGUAAAAAAAUAUGAAUAAUCCAUCUACUAGCUCUGUAUGUAAAAAAUUGAAGGAUUGUAUAGGAAAUACUAAAGCUCUUUCUUUGAUUUGUGGACUGGUAGCCACCUACUUCUUUGGACCAAUGAAAUACCAUUUAUGAAUAAAAAAAAAACGAAAAUAUACACGAAGAGAGAGAAAAAUGUAUACAUAGCCUAAAGCAUGAGCGAUUUAAUGGCUUGGAUGAUUCGGGGAUGUAUAGGAGUUGUUUUAGAACAGCUAUAAUGUCAUCAAUUUUUGUUCCAUGUGAGUGAAGUUCUUUCAUUAUUAGAACCUGUUUUGUACAUAAAAAAAAAUUAAGCCCUGGUUCUUAAGUUUGGAAAAGAAGGAAAAAGAAAAACAAAUAAAUUAAAAGACUAACCAUAAAAGAGUUCCAAGUCAUGGCAGGGAGGAGUUGAUUGAACAACUAUGUAGCAGAUUUAUGAAACCUGGAAUUCAGGUUAAUUGAUUUAUAAAAUCAUCAUUGAGAGAUGAUAUCUAACUGAAACUCAAAUUUUAAUAUUUACAAUUAUUUUUUAUUUUUUCAAACGGUCUUCUUAAUAAAAAAAAAAACAAUCUAUAAUAAAAAAUUACACACCCUUAAUUUGUUUGAAUUAUCAAAUUAAUUUGUUCAAAGUUUUAAAAUUUAUAACCUUUUCUCUUAUACGAUCAAACUUUAUGUUAUAUAAUCAGAGACAAGUAAUUUAUAAUCAUAUUUCAUAUAAAAAUCAUUUUCAAUUUAUAAGAUUUAAAUUUAAAUUACAGUUUCAAAUUCUUUCUAAUAAUUAGAUCAUAUAAAAUCAAGAUAUAUUUAAAUUUAUGCUUUAUUCUGAUUCUUAACCUCUUUAUUAUUAGAAUAAUUAAUCUAUAUAAGUAUAUACCAUAAAUAUUCAUAUCCACAAUGACAUUUAUAAAAGUGAGAAAAAUUCUCAUCAAAGAAGAAUCAAAGCAUGUGCAAGGAAUAUUGAAUAUUGAACCUUUGGAAUUUGCCUAGUACAAUCAGAUAGAGAAGCAUUUUUAGAAAAGCUGUAUAACAUGUAUAGGGUUUAAAAGAAUAAAAUUUUUGACAUAUAGGUUCGGUUUUUGUUUUAAUAAUUAUACUUAUUUAUGCUGCAAUGUAGUACUUGCAAAAAAGAAAUUUAUUUUAAUUGAAUUAUAAAUUUAUUUUUAAAAAUAACUUCCUUAAGUAACUUUUUAAGGAACUUCCUUAAGUAACUUCUUGGUCAUGGGAAUAGCAAUCUCCGUACUGAAAUGUUAAUCAUGAAAUUAAAUCAUUAAUCUUAUUGCAUAAUUCAUCCAAUAUGAACUAAUUUGAUUGGAACAUAUAUCUAAAUUUAAGUCUACGUGCAAAAAGAAUGGGCAGAUGAUUUUUAAGUGAUGAAAAAAAAUUAAAAAUAAUCUUGUAAUUUGAAACUUAAUUAUGUUAAUUCAUGCAUAUAAUUAUAUUUAAAAAAUAAUACUUAAUUAAUUUAAAAUUUAAAACACAACACCUUCUCCUAUUCCAAAGUUACUAGCACUUUUGUAAAAAAAAAAAAAUAAUAAUAAUAGUCUGUACCCCGUAACUCUAAACUGGUAAAUUUAAUUUGAUAAGAUUUUGCAGUCAUAUUUUCAUUGAAAAUGUUUAUUUACAUUUAUUUCAGAAAUAGAGGAAAAAAAAAGGCCAUUUGGCCUAACAAUCAAUAUCCUUUUGAGCAACUUCGCAUUAGAUGAGCAUUGGCCUCCGAUCUGCCCAACAUCUAAUCUACUAAGGAACUGACAGAGCUUGAGGCAAAGCUUGGUUUGAUGCUGAAAUCGUUUGCAGUCUGCAGUCAACAGAGAUUAAUUGAGCAGAGUUAUCAUUGUUUUCCUCAACAGAAAUCAUGUUGAUUAUUUGUAGCAAAACACGCUCGAGCUCUUCACCAUCACUCCAUUCACGAAUCUCAGCCUUGAUGAGCAAAGGGUUCCUGCAAAUUAAAUCCCAGACUGGAAAAUUCUUCCUUGGCAUCAUAUAGUCUGCUUCUUCAAGCCUUAGACUUGGCCAGUAAUCACCGGCACCAUCUCCAAGGUAGAUGAUUUUUUUUCUUCCCCUCUAAAGAAGCUUGUAUCCUUUCAAUGAUCAUCCCCUGUUACAGAAAGCUGAAGCCAAAAUUAAAAUUGUUGACAUCUUAUUUCAUGAUUGUCAUUAAAUUUAUAUGAUUUGACCCAUGUCAAGAUCUUGUGUUUGUUUACGACCUUAUAUGAGCCAUUACUUUAAUAGAUUAAGUGGGGUCAAGAAAAGAAGUUGAAAUAUCUAAAAUGAAAAUAGAUUUAAAAAAUAAAGAAAUAAAUAAAAACUCCAAGCUAGUUGGACGAAUUUGACUCUGUACACGUGGAAUACCAUCAAGUAAUAAAAUUUUCUAGAAAUUUUCACUUAAUAUGAAAAAUCUAGGUCCUCCUACAAAAGUUUGUUGUCUUGAUUUAAAAUAUUUACAAUUGUGAUAUUAAUGAAAUUAAAUCUCAUGUUAGUGAUGAAAAACAUAUAAUACCUUGCACAUACUUGGGGGGCAGAGGCUGCCAGCCACUGAGAACUCUUGGUGAAAUCAUGGUAAGGAAUGAUCCUCAGCCUCCCUUCUUCGAUCAAACAAAGCCUGGGGUUUGGUGUUGAUCUCUGAGAAAUUUCCCUCAAUCCAAGAUGUCCCAGAAUUGUUCUCAAUGAAGAACAUGAUUGCGAUCACUCACAAUCCUGAGUUCACACCUGAAAAAAAAUAUUCAAACCAAUUUGAUCACCCUUAUAUUUCUAUUGCUUCAAACUGUAUUUUAUAGUCACAGAUCAGAACACCAAGUGGAGAAGCAUAGAAAAAAGGAGUACCCUAAAGAAUGAGCUGAUUUAAUAGCGGGGACGAUCCUAAGAUGGAUAGGAGCUCGUUUCAGAACCUCAGCAAUGUCAUCAAUGGUUUUUCCUUGGGCAUGAAGCUCCUUCAUCAUCCUGUCCUGUAAUUUUAUACCACAAACACUGAGUUUCAUUUUUUAUAAAUGUAAAGCCAACAGAAACAGAAAUUGUAGAGGGCUUGAUAUGGGUUACCAUGAGAGAAUUUCAGGGCAUGGUAGAAAGAAGCUGGUUGAACAAGUCGGUGAAACCCAAGUCAUCGACAACCCAGUUAUCACUAUCACAGUCGAUGAUGGUUUUGUCAAAAUUAAAAACCACAACAAUUGCAUCCAUCUCUCUGGAUGAAAAUCAAACAAAAUGCAAAACAAGAUUGGAAAAACUCAACUACUGUUUGAAUGUUUUCUUGUUGGUAUAGGUCACGUAACAGGCGAGGGGUAUUAUAUGCAAAGAAUAGAUUUUUUUUAUGCCAAAGGAAUAUUAAGUGAAGGGGUUAUUUGGUGCAAGUAGGAAGCACUAAGCAGGCCACAAGAAGCCCUUUUUCCUGCAAGCUUCCUACUCAACACGUACUAAUCUAAUACAACUGCUUGUAAAUUAUUUCUCUGGUAUAAGUAAUAUUAACCGUUUGAUGGAUGACUAUUGACCAUGUGAUCAAUAAUCAAGUUUAGUCAGCGGAUCUGGGGUAAAAGGGUGUGGGUUAAUUAUGAAAGGGAUUAGGUUUAAGGUUUAACGUUUAUCAGACUUCUUUCCAUUGCUCCAUUCGCAUAAUUGUGCCUUUACUAGCCUCCUGUUUUUGCAAAUCAAAUCCAAAACAGGGAAAUUCUUCCUUGUCAUUACAUAGUCCCCAUCUCCCAGAUUCAAACUUGGACAGAAAUCGCCAAGCCCAUCGCCGAGGUAGAUUAUUGUUUUCUUCUCCUCCACGGGCAUGAGAGAGACUUGGAUCCUUCCAAUCACAAUACCCUAUUAAGAAAGAAUUCAAUCAUUAGUCAAUAGGAUGGGAAGAAAAUGAAGAUAACUUAAAAAUAAUUAUAGCAUAAAAUUAUAUAUCUUACAGCUAAUCAUGCUUUGGAUUCAUUACGUUUACUAAACAUUAGAAUUCAGUGGAGGUUGCAUAUGGUAUAGUCGGGUACUCAUGUACUCCUCCAAAGGUUGGAAAAUCAAAAACGUUUUCUUUGGACACCUUCAAAUUUUCUUUUUGAACAUAUCUUUCUUAAUUCCUUAUUCCUUAAUCCUUCACUCACUGCCACUACCUAAUAUCCAAUCACAUCACACUGUCAGUUAAUGCCCAACACCCAAUAAGCAUCCACUAUAUUAAAUGGACACCUCCAUAAAAAAAUUUCUUGCAUCUGCUACUGUUAGAAUUCAGUCAUAUUUGAUGCAUGCAUGCCUGGUUCAUGUUGUUAGUAACUAGUAUGAUUUUCAAGUUAAAAAUGAUAUACCUUGCACAUGUUUGGAGGGCAGGGAGGAUGAAAUCCAUGAGUAGAUUGAGUGAAAUCAUGGUGAGCAAAGAUCCUUAGCGUGCCUUCUUCAUUUACCAAACCUGGGUUGGUAUUGAUCUCUGAAAAGCAUUCCCUCAGGCCAUGAUGCUUCAAAAUUGUGUCGAUGAAGAACACGUUCGCAUCGCAUACAAUCUUCAAACCACACCUGAAAUUAAUAAUGCCAUACGAGUAUUUUUUUCUUUUCUGGCGAGAAAACCAGAAAGAAAAAUUAAAUAUACAUGCCGGCAGGACUGUAGUUGGCAGGAAGGAAACUACUAAAGCUAAGAAAUGUUGCCAGAGAGCUUAUUAAGUGUAUGGUCCUUUAAUUACUUCUUGCGACAGAGGAAUAAUAUCACAGGCUGCAAUCCCUGAGAACGCAACUGUGGCUUCUGCUGUCUCAACAAACGAUUGGACUCAAUAUCUCACUACUUCUCUACAGAUGAAGGAUUUGCGGCAGAUGUUGGCUGGUCUGACCUUCACUAAAGAAGAAGAUGUUGUUUGGCAGGCAGCAAAGUCUGGCAUGUUCAUACUUUCAAAUACAUGGGACUGGAUCAGGGAUAGGCAAUCAACUCUGGUUUGGCAUAAAUUGGUCUGGAAUUCCUCUUCACUCCCUAGACAUAGUUUUAUCACUUGGCUUGAGGUUCUUAAUAUAUUGAGCACACUAGCUAAUAUUAGGAGAUUCUGAGAGGAGCGUGAACAACAAGUAUAAAUAUAUCAAAUAUGCCAUGCGAGGAAUUCUCCAAAACUUGGCGUUUGUUCUUCAAAUAUUGACAAAGUCUUUCCUAGACAUUAGUUUUAAUGUAAAGUUUUGCCUUAUAAAAUUUGUAAAAAAAUAUGAAUAAUCCAUCUAUUAGCUGUCUGUGAAAAAUUGAAGGAUUGUAUAGGAAAUGCUAAAGCUUAUUCUUUGAUUUGUUGACUGGUAGCCUCCUGCUUCUUUGGAUCAAAGAAAUACCAUAUGAAAAAAAAAAAAAAACUAAAUAUAUACGAACACUGAGAAAAAUGUACGCAUAGCCUAAAGCAUGAGCCGAAUUUAAUGGCUUGGAUAAUUCGGGGAUGUAUUGGAAUUGUUUUUAGAACAGCUACAAUGUCAUUUAUGUUUGUUCCUUGUGAAUGAAUUUCUUUCAUCAUUAGAUCCUGCUUUGUACAUAAAAAAAAUAAGCCCUAGUUCUUAUAUUUGGAAAAGAAAGAAGAAGGAAAACAAAUAAAUUAAAAGACUAACAAUAAGAGAGUUCCAAGGCAUGGUAGAGAGGAGUUGAUUGAACAACUAUGUAGCUAGUCUAGGAUUUAUGAAAUCUGAAAUUCAGGUUAGUUGAUUUAUAAAAUUACUCUUAAGAGAUGGUAUUUAACUGUAACUCAAAUUUUAAUAUUUAUAAUCAUUUCUUGUACUCUCAAAUGACCUCCUAAAUAAAUAAAUAAAAAGUCUAUAAUAAGAAAUUAAGUAUGCUUAAUUUGUUUGAAUUUUCAAGUUACUUGAUCCUAAGUUUUAAAAUUUUUAACUUUUUUAAUAUAUGUUCAGAUUUUAAGUUAUAUAAUUAGAGACAAGUAAUUUAUAAUUAUAUUUCACAUAAAAAUCAUUUCUAGUUUAUAAGAUUUAAAUUAAAAUUAAAAUUUUAAAUUCUUUCUAAUAAUUAUGUCAUGUAAAAUCAAAAUAUAUUUAAAUUGAUACUUUAUUCUGAUUCUUAAUGCUUUAUUAUUAAAAUAAUUAAUCUAUAUAAGUAUAUACCAUAUAUAUUCAUAUCCACAAUGCCUUUUUAUAAAAGUGAGAAAAUCCUCAUCGAAGAAGAAUCAAAGCAUGUGCAAAGAAUAUUAUGUAAUACCUAAGUCCAAGUUAUUAUAGCUUAAUUAGUGAUCCAGCCCAUAAGUAUCAUUAGUAAAAAAAAAAAACCUAAAGAAGAAAAAAAAAAAAAAGAAAACUUAUCAACAACUUUUGUCGAUAGUUUUUUUUGAGAAAAAAAAAAAGGGAAAAAUUUUAAGAAAUACUUGGGAUGAAGAAAAGAGGAAGAGAUAAUGCAAAUCAAUUCUAGAAAUCACUUAUUAAGAUAAAAUUUUACUUAAAACUCUUGAAAUUUUUAUGUUUUAUACAAUUUUCUACAAACCCAAAUUAUAUUUUUAUAUCUUUUCAACUUCAAAAAUAUUUCAACGACCUCUUAGUGACAAUCUGACGAAAUUGAAGGUACUAAUGGAAAGUCUCUUUAAAACCUUUCUAAUGGUAUGUGUGGUACUUUGUUUAGUUAAGUAAUUUAAGAGAAUUUAGUGUUUUAAAUUUUUUAUUUUUUGGUUUUUAAUAAUUACAGAUGCCCAAUUUUGACCCAUCGAAACUCUUUACCCUGGUAGCCAAUUUGGUUGAACAUUUUAUGCUUUUGAUAGUACAAAAUGUGAAUUUUCUAUUGGUAUAAUUGGUUUGUUUAGAUUAUUUAUAGGCUAAAAGAAUCGAAACUCCAAAAUAGGCUUCAUGAAUCUAAAACUCAAAAAAUCAGGGCUGUUUAUGAUGAUUUGUCAAGUUUUAACCAUUGAAACUUUGGUUUUUAGAAAUUAGUUUUGCCAAAACAAAAUUUUAUAUUGUAGUAUUACAUCCUUACUUUAAAUUCGCGCUUCAUUUUGUCAUUAGGAACUAUAGAAUGUUCAAGUUUUUGUGACUCAAAUUAAACCAAAUGAUCACAUAAUUUAAAAAUUCUCAUUUUUAAUUAUUUUAAAAAUUAUUUCCAGCCAAUAUUUAAUGUGUUUAGCUAUAAAUUACUUAAAUUUUAGUUAUAGUAUUUUUAAAGAAUUUUUACUUAUUUUAAUAUAUUUUUAUUGUGUUAAUUUUAUAUUAUUAAUAUUGUUAAAAGACUAUUAAAUUAUAUUUAGAUUUACAAAAAAAAAAUGAUUACUAUUAAAUGUUAAAAAUUAAAUAUUUGAAAAAAUUUAUAUUGCUACUGAUUUUUAUGUUUUAAUCCUUAAUUUCAUAUUUAUAGUCCAUUCUAGGUAUUUUGCUAUAUUAAAAUAAAAUUUAUUUUAUAUGCUAAAAGAAAAUAUUUUCAAAUAGUUUCAAAUUAUCGAAAAGUUUGCUACAUAACUCAACUUGCUUAUGAUAACCCAUGAAAGGUUUGCCUCAUUAAAUUUAUGUUUUUGGGUUAAAUUCUGAUUUUUAAAUAUUUCUUGAAUUAUUAGGAUAUCAAGAGAAUUGAGUAAUUCGUUGUUUAAGUUUCAGUUUAGCGCAUCAAGUAAGUGACUUGAUAUCUUUUCGAUUUCUAUGUCCCUAAAAAUCAAUCUCAAUAUAUUUAGAGUUGAAAUAUAUAAUAUAUAUUGUUUUGUCCAUUUGUUUUGUAAAUCAGGUUGAGCAUGUAAAAUGUAUCUAUGAUUUAUUUGUUAUGAAUUUGGAAUAUGGUUUGACAUUGUUUUGAUUUCUGAAUAUGAUUUCAGAAUAAUAUAUUUAUAUAUCCAUCAUUUGUUAGAAUAUAAAAUUUUACUUUGGAAUGAUUAUGGAAAUUACUUUAUAUAGAUUAUAUUUUGAAAAAAUUUAUAAAUAUUGAAUUUGUAUAUGUUGGUAAUCUGAAAACAUAUUAUGGUUUUGUCUCAUAGUAUGGCUAUGUUCUGACCCUAUUAGUGGGGAUUAAUUUUGGCUAUGUUGACAUAUACUUUAUGCUAUUGAUGCCGAUUUUUAACUGUGUCAUUAGUUGAAAAUAGUUAUUUUUAUUCACUGUACCAUCAGUGAUAUACUUAUGUCCCAUUGCAUUAAAGGGGUUACUAUGAUUUUUGUUUUGUCCCAUUACAUUAAUGGGUUAAUUAUAAUUGCCAAUGCAAUGAUUUAGUUGCUUUUGCUAUAUUUUUGUCCCAUUAUACUAAAAAAAAUUUUUGAUUUCGACUUAUGCCACAAGAGUUAGUGUGGUCAUAGUAUUUUACAGGAGACUAAAUAAAUUUAUAAUUUUGUGAUAUUUAAUUACAUUUUGUGAUAUGAGAAUUUGGUUUUGAAAAUAUGUUUGUGAAUACAAGACUACCUAAAAUAUUUUUGAAUCAUUUAGUUAAUGUUUUGUGGCAUACUUAAUUCAAUUGAGGGGAUGUCGAGUACUUGUUGAGACAUCUUACUCAUUUUUUUAUUUUUCUUUACUUUUUCAAAUUUUAGUGUUUGUGUCUUGGGAGAUUGAAUCUUGACAAUUACUUGGAUUAGUAAAAUUAGCAUCUCUCUUUAGAUUGGUAUUCUUUCAAAGUGAGUAUUUUAUUAUUGAUUCUAAAAGAUUUGUUAGCAAGAACUUUAGUAUAUUCAACCAACUUACAAAGAGUAUAAUUUUAUAGACUUGAGAUUCUGUAAAGUAUUAAUUUAGAGAUUAUUGAAGAUUUUAAUUUAGUUUGAUAUCUGUUGCCUUAUAUGCUUGCGAGAUUCAUCUCACGAAUAUGCAUUGUUGGUACAUUCUAAAUCUUUAGGUUUGGGGCUUGACAUAUUGAACAAUUUGCUUAGUACAAUCAGAUAGAGAAGCAUUUCUAAAAAAGAAAUAUAACAUAUAUAGUGUUUAAGAGAAUAAAACUUUCGACAUGUAGGUUUGGUUUUUGUUUUAAUAAUUAUAUUUAUUUAUGCUACAAUCAAGUACAUGCAAAAAGUGAGAUAUAUUAGUCUAAAAUUUAAUUCAACUAAUUUAUAAAAAUUUUUUAAAAAAAUAAUAUUUAAUUAAAAUUUAAAUCUCAAUACUUGUAUUUUCUUCUUUUAUUCCAAAUAACUUCUUUUAAAAGGAAAAAAUGAGUCAUGUGGAAUUCUUUUGUUGACUUUUUAUGUUUGUUAAUCUACCUCUGGUCCAACUUUUCUAUAGUACACGAUUAAUUUAAUAACCAUUGUACCGCUUAAAUAAUCUUAACCUCACAAUUAAAGAGGUAAAACUUCUCCAUUGAUAAAAACUUACUUAAGUACCUUCUUGGUCAUGAAAACAGCAAUCCCCAUAUUGAAAUGUUAAUCAUGAAAUUAAAUCAUUAAUCCUACUGCAUAAUUUGUCCGAUAUGAAAAAAUCUGAUUGGAACAUAUAUCUAAAUUUGAAUAUAUAUGCAAAAACAAUAGACAGAUGAUUUUUAAAUGAUGUUAAAAUUUAUGAAAUUUAAAAUUUAACGCUAUUAAUUUAUGUAUGUAGUUGUUUUUGGAUAUAGUAUUUAAUAAAUUUGAUAUUCAAAUCUUAAUAUUUUUUUUCAUUUCAAAGUUAUGAUCUUCUUUCAUAACAAGAAAAAAAAAACUAUAAAUGAUUUUUUAUCUGUAACUUUAAACUGAUGAAUUUAAAUUGCUAAGACUUUGCAGUCAUAUUUUCAUUGGCAAAGUUGAUUUACAUUUAUUUCAAAAGUAGAGAAAAAAAGGCCAUUUGGCCUACCAAUCAAUAUCAUAUUGAGCAACUUCGCAAUAGAUGAGCAUUGGCCUCCGAUCUGCCCAAAAACUAAUUUAUUGAGGAACUGGCAAAGCUUGAGGCAAGGCCUGGUUUGAUGCUGAAAUCGUUUGCAAUUUGCAGUCAACAGAGAUUAGUUGAGCAGAAUUAUCCUUGUUUUCCUCAACAGAAAUCAUGUUGAUUAUUUGUAGCAAAACACGCUCGAGCCCUUCACCAUCACUCCAUUCAUGAAUCUCCGCCUUGAUGAGCAAAGGGUUCCUGCAAAUUAAAUCCCAGACUGGAAAAUUCUUCCUGGGCAUCAUAUAGUCUGCUUUUCCAAGCCUUAGACUUGGGCAGUAAUCACCGGUACCAUCUCCAAGGUAGAUGAUUUUUUUCUUCCCCUCUAAAGAAGCUUGAAUCCUUUCAAUGAUCAUCCCCUGUUACACAAAGCAGAAGCCAAAAUUAAAAUUGUUGACAUCUUAUUUCAUGAUUGUCAUUAAAUUUAUUUGAUUGUUGACCCAUGUAAAGAUCUUGGGUUUGUUUAUGACCUUACUUGAGCCAUUACUUUAAUAGAUUAAGUGGGGUCAAGAAAAGAAGUUGACAUAUCUAAAAUGAAAAUAGAUUUAAAAAAUAAAGAGAUAAAUAAAAACUCCAAGCAAGUUGGACGAAUUUGACUCUGUACAUGUGGAAUACCAUCAACUAAUAAAAUUUUCUAGAAAUUUUCACUUAAUAUGAAAAAUCUAGGUCUUCCUACAAAAGUUUGGUGUCUUGAUUUAAAAUAUUUACAAUUGUGAUAUUCAUGAAAUUAAAUCUCAUGUUACUGAUGAAAAGCAUAUGAUACCUUGCACAUAUUUGGGGGGCAGAGGUUGCAGCCAUGAGAACUCUUGGUGAAAUCAUGGUAAGGAAUGAUCCUCAGCCUCCCUUCUUCAUCAACAAAGCCGGGGUUGGUGUUGAUCUCUGAGAAAUAUUCCCUCAAUCCAAGAUGCUCCAGCAUUGUCUCAACGAAGAACAUGUUUGCAUCACUCACAAUCCUGAGUUCACACCUGAAAAAAUAUUCAAACCAAUUUGAUCACCCUAUAUUUCUAUUGCUUCAAACUGUAGUUUUGAUAGUCACAGGUCAAACACCAAGAGGAGAAGCAUAGAAAAAAAGGAGUACCCUAAAGAAUGAGCUGAUUUAAUAGCGGGGACGAUCCUAGGAUGGAUAGGCGCUCGUUU